GAACUUGUAGAAGCCCCUGGCAGUGACUCAAUUCAAGGACUCUCAGUUUAGAAAGUUGAAUGAUGCCUGCAAGUAUGCUACUAAAACAGUCCAUGCUUAGAUUUAGACCUGAAGCGUGCAAACCCUCUAAACAUUGCAAACUCCUCAGGUUCUCGGGAAAUUUCUCAAGUUUUGUACAGAAACUGACAUUUAGAAUUUUGAGAGAACUCAAAUUACAAAUGCUUUCUGGAAGACUCACAAGGUUGGUGCAUUCUGCAAGAUUCAAAUAUUGAAGCCCUCUUAAAUAUUGAAUUGAUGUUGGUAGUUCUUCUAUAGCAGUUCCAUCUAAAUGAAGCUCUCUUAAAUUUUCCACAUCCUCAAUGAUUUCCGGAAAGCUCCUUAAUCGUAAACAGCCUGAGCAGAAGAGAGUUGUAAGGGAUUUCAACUCACAAAUGCUACUGGGAAGACGCUCAAGGUUUUUGCAUUCUCGCAAACAUAAGCUAUUAAGUUUAGGGGGACACUCAAUAGUGGGCAGUUCAUUGAUGGCAUUUCCCUUUAAACAAAGCUUCCGUCGGGAUUGCACAUCCUCUUGACAUUCCCGGCAAAUGGUGGGUAUCAUUGCUUUACCAUUGUUCUUUUCAUGAUCAUGGGCAUAUAUAAGAUGGAUCCCACACUCUUCCACUUUCAUUGCUUUACCACGUGAGAAGCCACAAAAUGAAGCUGUCAACUGCCUCCAUUUAUUUGAGGGGUACUUCUUCACAAUCUCCACCUUCGGAUAAUAAGUCAUCCACAUUUUUCGUAGAACAUCAUAGCAUUGACACGAGGGAUAAAACGAGAGUUUAUCCACAAACUGAAUUUUAUGACCACACAAAGUCAAACCAUACUCGAAGUAAGUUGCUUCAUUCUCCAGUGUCUCCUCAGAUUCAUUAUCAAGUGGAUCAUAGAGAGAGUACAAAACAAAACCCAACAAGUCGUUAUUUUUAUACCAAUUUUGAGGAAGCUUUGCUACUACUUUAGCUCCCUUUUUGCGAUGGCUUAUCCAUUUUGGCAUUCCACAACUUACUGAAAUAAUAAGAUUUACUCGGGUAAAACGUUUUUCUCUAGGAUAAAUCUCGCAUUCAAAAUCCUGCACGAAAUUUAAUCAACACGUAAAUCCCUAUGUCUCCACAAAAAAAGUUUUGUUCUAUGAAUAUCAUACCUGAAUCACUGAUUUGAAGCAGUUGAAUAGAGAAGACCAGAGUAGACCUGAAGAAGUUUCCAGCCGUGUGCACUCAUGUACAUCUAAGACACGCAAACUGGAUGGAAGCGCUGGAAUUUGUCGAAGCUCUUGACAGUGACCCAAGUCAAGGAGUCUCAGCAUAGAAAGUUGAUUGACCCCAGCAGGUAUGCUCCUAAAAAGAUUCCCGAAUAGCAGUAAUUGUCGCAGAGACGAUAGGUGGCAAAUUUCGGUGGGGAUUCCUCCUUCAUCUAUACUGCAGAAAGAUAGAUCUAACGCUUUCAACGAGUACAAGCAGCAAAUAUCACUCAGGAUUUCUCCUUGCAUUAGCUUUGACCCAUGUAGAAUUAACUUCUCUAAGGAGCAUAAACCUGACAAAGAAAGCAAUUGGCAACAUGUUGAAUUUAAGCCACAAGCAUGGAGAUGCUUCAAGCUUUGCAGCCUCCCCAGGUUUUGUGGCAAUUUGUGGAGUUUUGAACAGUAACUGACAUCGAGAACUUCAAGAAAGCAUAAAUUAGAAAUGCUUUCUGGAAGAGUCACAAGGUUUUUGCAGCCAUCCAGAUUCAAAACUUCAAGCCUAUUCAAAUGUUCGAUUGAUGAUGGUAGCUCUUUUAUAGCCGUUUCAUUCAAGUGAAGCUCCCUUAAGUUUUCUAUAUUCUCCAAGACUUCUGGAAAGUAUUGUAAUUGUGAACAGUGAGAGCAAAAGAGAGAUUUAAGGGAUUUGAACUCCCAAAUGCUUGUUGGCAGACUCUCAAGGUUUUUGCACUCUCGCAAACAUAAGGUAUCAAAUUCAGAGGCACGCUCAAUGGGUAGUAGGCUGAUUGUCUGACCCUUUAAACAAAGCCGUCGGUGUUCCACGUUCCUCUGACAUUCCAAGCAGCUAGCAUCCACAUCCCCAGUCUGUACUAUUGGAUCUUGGGCGUAUAUAGGUUGGAGCCCACACUUGACCACCUUAAAAUGAUUGCGAGAGCCCAUAAAUAGAGCCUCAAGACACAUGAAUCGAUUGGUGUGACAGCUCUCCAGAAUAGCAGCCUUGGGAUAGAAUAUCACCCACAUUUGUUCUGAUACACCUCCAUUAUGGUAGCAUUUACAAGCAGUGCGAAAACUGAGAUGUCGCACACGUAGGGAAGAAAAUCCAUGUACUUCACUCAAUGACAAUUGACAUUUUAACUCAGUGGAGAUUGAAGAUUCAGCUUCAAGUAAAUCAUCAUAUUCAUUUAGGGCUUCGUCACCAGAUUCAUUCUCGGAUGUAUGUGCCAAAUCAUUUUCUGGUAUGUCCUCACAUUCAUCAAGUGGAGCAUAAACAAAGCAUAUAGCAAUUCCCAAGAAGUCAUCAUUUUCAUUACAAUUCAGAGGAAGCUCCAUUGUGGUCUGAUAUCCCUCUCUCUGAUUCCUUAUCCACUUGGGAAUUCCACUGCUUCCCGGAACAACAAUACAGAUUCCAUGGUCAUUGUAGUGAGAAUCAGCGAGAAAUACUCCAUUUGAAUUGCUCUCGUGUUUCAAAUCCUGCACAAAAGGUCAAUGAAAAUCCAGUGGGUCUGCCAUUAUGUGAGUUUUUAUGAGAGAGUUUGUUAUCAGUUUUCGAUAAAUUGAUUCCCAGUAUUAACUUUCUUUGAUCUAUGCUCCUGAAUCUACUUAAUAUCCCUUUUAGAUGACGGAUAAUCAAUCAACAUGAAAGUGAAUGCCAAGAUUAAGUCUGGAAACUGGAAGUGAGUGGAAACUGAAACCGAAAGUGAGUAGAAUAAGCAGAUCUCUUCUUCACUUGCAGUAGCUUCUUCUCCAUACAGAUUCAUAGAUCUUAGAAUUGUAGCUUCAACUUAACUCUCAAAAUCUUGAAGACAAAGUUCGCUCAAGUUUUAAAAACUCACAGAAAAAUUUCUCCUCAUGUUUCUCUUAAUCCCAUGAGGUGAGAUACAUGUAGCACACACUUAUUGGCUUUUUUCCAUGCAAGUUUCAAGGUGGAGCGUCUAAUGAACUAAAACAUUCCCUCAAAUCCUAGUGGAAAUUCACACUAGAAAUUUCAGAAUUUGCUAAAGAAAGGUUAAUUCAUUUUAUCCAUGAAUAAAAAAAGCAUGUGAGGACAUUUUAACUUCCUAAUAAUUAUUAUAUUAAACUAUAAUUCUCAUUAUUUAAACUUAUGAUCCUUAACUUUAUCAUCACAAUUUGAAGAGACAUUCGUCAUCUCUUCCAUGAAUUAAUUGAUGUUUAAGGAGGUAUAAUAAACUUUUAAUUGAAUUUAUAAACUAUUAUUAUUUUUUUAUACUCUUAUCAAAAUAAAUAAAAACUUAACAAAAAAAAAAAAAAUCAAAACAAACUUUGUAAAGUUAUCAACACUUAUUUACAUCCUUCUUUUUUUUUAAAAAAAAAUUAUAAUUAAAAAAAAUGUAAUUUAAAAAUUAUAAAGAAUAAAAUAUUUAGAAAAAUGUACUAGUUAUUUGAAAUAAAAUAUAAGGGAAAUCAAAAUUCUUAGUAAAUGAAUCGUCAAAACAACUAUAAUAGCUAUACAAAUGAGAAAAAAAAAUUAAAAGUAAAAAAAAAUUAUGAAUGUCAAGAAUGAGAAACAAUUUUUUUCUUUUUUUUUUUUGUAAAUUAUUUUUAUUCUUAUUUUAUGUAUUCAUUACAAUUUUUAAAUUAAUAAAUAAAGUUUUUAUCACAAAAUUUUAAAAUGGUAUGUAUGCUUUAAAAUUUAUAUGUUGUUCUUAGAUUUUUAUAAAUUUCGUUUAUAUCUUUCAAAUUAGAAUUAUUAAACUCACAUUUUAAAAUAAGAUAUCAAAUAGUUAUUUUUUCAUCCUUUAGCAAUAUCAAAUGUUUUUUGUACUUUAAUAAAAAAAAACUAUUUUUCUCUAAUUAAUGACUAUUUUGUAUAGUAUUUGGAUAAAUUAUUUAAUAUAUAAGUAUUACUUAUUUAAUAGUUUAUUUUUUUAAUUUAUUAGAGAAAGAGUGGUGCAUAUAUAAUUCAAAUAAAAGGUAAUUUCGUAUUGCAAGAAAGUUUGUGGAAAAAGGAAAUUUGAACAAGGAUUGAAAUUUAUAGGAACCAUAUUGGACACCUAGUUUUAGGUUUGUUCCAUUCGAACAAUCAUGACUUGAUAGUAGCCUAAUCUCAAAUCUAACUUUGUCAAGCCCUUCCUUUACUAAGUUGAUCAAACAAGUUGUUAACAAGCAGAAUAAGAUAUUUUUCACUUUCACCUUGUUGAGUCUUCAAUAAUCGAUACACAUUCAGAGGGAUCCAUUAUGUUUCUUUUAGAAUAAUAUUGGUGUGACAUGUGAAGCUUUAGUUUGUUGGAUGUAUCCCAUGUUAAGCAACUCUGUAAGUUGUUUCCUUAGUUCUUCUAAAUUAGGCAGUGCCAUCCUAUGGGACCCCUAUGGCAAGGGGCUUAGCUUCUGGCUCUAAGUCAAUUUUGUGCUCCCAUUCCCUUAUUUAUGUGAGUUUCUUAUGUAACUUUAAUAGCAUCUAAGGAUGGCAAAGUUUGAUACAAUUUGUCAACCAGACUUGAACCUGAGGCAUUUUUAGUGGGUUUGGGUUGAGUAUAAUCAUGUUUAGGUCAAAUUUGUGUAAACCUAAAUAACUUGUUUAAUAAAUAGGUUGUUUUUUUUAGUCAAACUACAUAAUACAAAUUUCACCUAAAUUGAGUUGUGUAAUAAUGAUGUUAAUUAACUAGAUUAUAACCAUAACCUAUUUAACCCACAUUUGACUCAUUUAAAACUUGAUUUUGAAUAAGUAGGUUAAUUAAGUCAUAAACAUGUCAGAUUGGGAAGUUAAUCAUAUUAACUUAAACAAGAUCUAACUUGACAUUAUUAUUAAAUAGGACAUUAUUAUUAAAUGGACUAUAUGACAUGUUACUUAUUUAAUAAUUAGGUUAUGCCCGAGUUCAUUCUUUUAACCUAAUUAUUAUUUUUGUGUCAUGUUUGAAUUGAUUUAUUUAAUCAAGUGUCUUUGCUUUGACACAUUGUGAACAUGAUCCACCAACAUGAAUUGUCACUUCUAGUGGCAUCACAUACUAGAACUCUUCAAGUACCACCUCAAUUACCUUGUGAAUGAGUUCCCUUAUUGUAUCAUUCUUUUCCUCCUUUAAUAUAGCCAAGUAGGUCAUUUGCUUAUUCUUCAAUACCUUCUUUACUUGCAUAGUUGAUAGCAAGAGGAUCUCAAGUGUACCUCAAUAGCUAAUGUCAUGAUUCAUUGUAAAUUUUGUCUAAUGUGUAAUCAUAUAUACAAAUGCACUCACCUUAAAAACCUCAUCCCAAUGACUAAGACAAGUCAUCCCUCCAAUUAGAAGGUAGUGUAUUAUAAUCUCAAAUGGAUUGUCUAAAUCCAUCAACCAACCAUGAACAAAUCAUAAAUCUUGCAAGGAACCCAUGACUUAAAUCUUCCGCGUAACUCCUAAUGCAUUUUAGUCAUGUACAAUACCACUAAUGCAUGCAUGCAUACUCAAAUCAAUAUCAAUGUGAACAAAGAUAAAUUAGUGGAAACUCAAGCCUAAAUUUGUUACAUCAUGUCUUGCUUGCAAGGGCUAUAUUUUAACACAAAUAACCAAAUAGGUUCUUGAAAUACAAUAUAAUAUGUGCUAUCUCUCAGAGCACUUUAUUUUUUGUUUCAAUAACUUCAUUUUUCUAUGAAGUUUUAGAUGUUGAAAGCUCUUCUUUAAUUUCCUUCUCCUCACAAAAACUCUAGAAGUCAGAAUUAUAAACUCCUUUCCUCUAUUAUUUCUUAUUGAAAAUCCAUUUUUAUUCAUCAUUUGAAAGCAUAACACUUUGAAUCUUAGGAUGUACUUCUUUCUUCCUAGGCAUUGCACUCUCAUAGGACCCAUUAAAUCCACAUGCAACAUCUUUAAGAUCCUAGAAGAAGAGAAAAUCGUCUUUUUCUCUCACUCAUCUGAAUUCAUUUUCCUAGAUAGAAUAAAUAGGAUUUUUAGGCUUUCCUAAAUGGGACUUGCUUUAAUUAGUUCUUUAUUUGUAAUCCUAGACAAAUCAUUAGAGUUUAAAUGCACUAUCAUAUAAUGCUAUAUGUCUUUGGAUGUAAAUUUCACAUUUUACAACUAUGUGCACUAGAUGAUGAGGAAGAAGUAGAGAGGCGUACAAAGGCAUAACAAACAAUAUAAAAAAUUCUAUUUCUUACCAACACACAUCCUUGAAUAGACACUAAUUUUGAGUAAAAUGAACAAAGCACAUACAAUCACAAAUUUAACUUGCGUUAAUUAAGUUUGCUUUCAAUCCCUCAAUAUAUAGUAACUCCUUGAGCAUAGGUAAAUUUGGACCUUCUAUGGUACCUUUUGGUUUCAAGUUGGUUAUAUGUAAUCCAACCAUCCCCAAAUACAACCAAACUUCCCUUUAUAGGUUCAAACGUGGAGAAAGACUCUAAGUUCAUUGUUGCUUUUACCUUUCCCAAAUACAACCAACUCCUUCUAUGAGUCCAAAAGUCAAGGAAGAUCUAAGUUCUAUGUCAUACAACUAGAGUAGCCACUCUCAAAAUCCAAAACGUGUUUUUCUCUAGCUCUUAGGCCCUAUGGUUAACUAAGGCUUUUUGGUUCUCCUUCUUUACCCAAUUUAUCUUUCCAAUGGGAAAUUUAAAGCCUAUUUAAGAAUUAUUUUUAAAAUUAAUUUUCCAGUUCUUAAAAAUAGAAACCUAUUUUCUAGACUAAAGCCAUGUUUGGUAACUUUUUGACAUAUUAUAGUUUUUUGAGAACUUGUUAUGAAAAUAAGGUAUCUCCUAAUAACAUAUUUUAAUUGCUUUCAAGUGUUUUCAUUUAUUUUGUAGGGUUGUUUUAAGAAAAUAAUGGUAAAAAUAUAAAGAAUGAUGAAAAAUAAAGAACUAAAAAUAAAAGUUAUUUUUAAGAAAUAUUUGGAAAUACAAAAAAUAUAUUAAAAACGUUCUAAGUUUCUAAAUAGACUUUUAUUUUAGAAAACAUUAGACCAACUAUUUUUGAAAACUUUUUUCAAUAAUGGUUUUGUAAGAAUUAUUUUUUAAAAAAAAAAAAAUCCUAAACAAAGCCUUAACCUUUGAGGAUCUAAAACUUUGCACUAAGUUUGGUGUUUUAUUGUUGGAUUUUCUUAGUCUUGCAAGCUUUAUGAUGAUCUUGCAAUAUUUUCUUUAAUUUACAUUUCAUGUUACCUGAGCAUUCAGUUUGGCUAAGUAUUGAAGAAUAACUUUGGCUUACAUUCAACUUUUUUUAUGGACAAAGGAAUGGAGCUAGAUCAGAUUUCUUUCAAUUUAGUCAAUUUUGAUUUACAUGGCUCAUAAUCAGAUUGUAAGACAUUCAAAUUUUUUAACAAGGUACCGUGCUCAUUUUCAAGGUAAGAGAUUUUUUUAAAGCAAGGAAGUCUUCUCUCAUACUUCUUUUAUUCUCAUCCAACUUUCACAAUUUUCAUCUUAAGGCACUGAUCAUACAAGGCUUCCUUGGCAAUCUCAAAUGACAACUUUUCUUCCAAAUAUGUUGUAUCAUGAGACGAACCUUCAAAAUUUUCAUAUUCAAGAUCAAUUUCAAAUUUAACAUUUUUCUUUUCAUUGAAAAGUGAUAUAGAAGGUAGCAAGUAUAUCAACAAUUUCCUCAGGCUUAUCAUGCUCAAAAGACACAAAUAUCAUCAACGUCAUGUGAUAAUAAAUCAUAAUUAUGUUUAUGCAUGUUUCCAGCAAAUUAAUGCAAUAAAAUUUCUACAUUCUUCAUCAAAAUCAUACCAAAUUACUUCUAUGACCUUAUCCUUUUGACAUUCAAGAAAGUGACCUUUCUUGACAUAGUAGAAGAAACUUUGAAUCAACUAGAUCUUUUUAGUGCUUUUUAUCUUUUUAUCACAUUUCUUUUCCCUUGUUUAUGGUCUCGAAGAGGUUAUCCUUUGUUUCUUGAAGCUUUUUGAACUUUUUGAAAGGUUAUCAAACCUAUAAAUUUCAAAUAUUGCUCAUUUUUUAUUCCUAUUCUGAUUCAGAUGCAUGUUUAAUUUUUUUGAUAGAUAACACAAAUAUAUUAAAGGGCAAAGGCCACCAAGCAUACAGGAAGUAUAGAAAUCAGCCUCAAAACGAGAGCACAAAAAAACAAGCACCCUUACCCUCCUUUAAGUGGCCGCUAGCCACUUCAAAAAACCUAAGAGUGAAGAGGACUCCUCUCCAAUAUACACCCUAGCCCAACUCCACAAGGUACAAACAAAAGAAUUUUUGAGUUUUUUUAUAUUUAACACCCCUCCCUUAAAAGCUAAUCUAUUCAUUUCCUUCCAUAUCAUUCAAAAAAUACACAACGGGAUAGAAUUCCAAAUUUUUUUCCUUUUUUUCCCCACAAAGGGACCCCUCCAACUGAAUAACACCUCCUUCACUAACUCUGGGAACACCCACUGAACCCCCACAUGGGCAAAAACGAUUUCCCAUAAGGCCCUUACCACUAUACAAUGUAAUAGAAUGUGAUUUACACUUUCCUCUUCACAGCCACACAAAAAACAACAGUUAGGAAACUGCCAACCCCUUUUUUGAAGCCUAUCCAAGGUGAGAAUCUUCCCUCACGCCACUUCCCAAGCAAAAAAUGCCGCUUUGGUUGGGACCUUGUCCACCCAAACGCAUCUAUACGGAAAGUCGCAAGCAUUGAUAACAACCAGCCCGUUGUAGGCACCCUUCACCCCAUACUUACCAUGGCCUCCCCUUUCCAAAGCACCACGUCCUCCUUUGAAGAUAUCUUGAAGUCCCUGAGCAUAUUAAGCAAUCCUCUAAUCAAGUCCAGCUCCCAAUCAUUGAAGUCUCUAUGAAAUCUAAGAUUCCAACCUCCUUGACCACUGCUAUGAUCCCACAUCUCAUUAACCGUUGCAUUCUUAUUGACCACCAUCUCAAAAAGCUGGGGAAAAGAAUGGGACAACAUCUCAUUCCCACACCACUGGUCAGUCCAGAAUUUUACUCUAGUCCCUUUCCCUACCUUAAACUUUAUGUUAUCCCAACACCACUUAGCUUCCUUCAUAAUCUCCUUCCAAACCCCCACUCCAUAAGUACCACGGGCUUCUUUAGUUCUCCACCCAAACUCUUCCUGACCAUAUUUCACCCUAAUCAUUAACCUCCAGAGGUUAUCCUUUUCAACGGCAAAUCUUCAUAACCAUUUACCCAACAAAGCUUUGUUUAGAGAGUCAAUCUUCCGAAUGCCAAGGCCACCUUUCUCCCUUUAAGUGCACACCACCUCCCAUUUAAUUAAGUGGACUUUCCUCUCCAAGCUACCCCUUCCCCAAAGAAAGUCUCUUUGUAAUUUUUCGAGUUUAUUUACAACACUCUUCGGCAUUCGAAAAAGGGACAUAUUGUAAAUAGGAAGGCUGGCCAUAGUAUUCUUGAUUAAGGUGAUACGCCCUCCCUUCGAAAUAUAGUCUUUUCCACUAGGCUAAUCUUUUCCUCAUUCUCUCUUCCACCCCAUCCCAAAUAGAGACAGCUUUGUGGUGAGCUCCAAGGGGCAGCCCCAAGUAAACAGUGGGCAGCAAUCCCACUUUACAACCAAGCUCCACAGCCAUCUCCUCAAUAUCUUCCACCUCACCAACCGGAAUUAAAACGCUUUUAUCUAGAUUAAUUCUGAGACCGGAAGCCGCCUCAAACCAAGCCAAAAUCCAACUUAGAGCGGACAGUUGCUCUUUGCUAGCUUCACAAAAGAUGAUCGUGUCAUCAGCAAAGAGAAGAUGGGAAACUAUCAUCUCCUCUUCCUCUCUCCCCCAAAUUCUACAACCUGACAAGAAGCCCCCAUCAACCGCCCUUCUAAUAAGAUUACUAAGUACUUCUAUACCCAACACAAAAAGAUACGGGGAGAGGGGAUCUCCUUGUCUUAGCCCCUUGGAAUUCGAGAAGAAACCAACCGGCACCCCAUUGAUCAUGACUGAAAAUUUGGCGGUUGAGAUGCACCACCAAAUCCACUCCAUCCACCGCGACCCAAAGCCCAUUUUAAGUAGAACUUUUAUGAGAAAGUUCCAAUUAAUUCUGUCAUAGGCUUUCUCAAUGUCCAAUUUACAGAUCAGCCCUUUCUCGUUCCUCUUGUGCCAAAAAUCGAUCACCUCAUUGGCAAUAAGAGACGCAUCCAAGAUCUGUUUGCCCCUCACAAAGGCGUUUUGGUCCCCGGACACCACCUUAUCUAACACCUUCUUUAGCCUAUUUGCCAACACCUUAGCCAAAAGCUUGUACAAACCCCCUAACAAGCUAAUUGGCUGGAAAUCACCCAAGUCUUCAGUCCCUCAUUUCUUAGGAAUGAGGACUAUAAAAGUGGAAUUAAGGCUUUUGGCAAAAGAACACUGGUCAUAGAAUUCUCUAAACAAUUCCAUAAUCUCCUCCUUCACUAGCUCCCAGCUUGAUUGCCAAAAAGCAAUUGUGAAACCAUCUGGGCCCAGAGCUUUAUCCCCAUUCAUACCUAUUAGGGCAGCAAAAAUUUCCUCUUCAGUAAACUGCACCUCCAAGGCUUCAGCUUCACAUGAAUUUAGACGCUUAAGGUGCAGUCCCUCAAUAUCCGCCCUCCAGUCUGGUUCUUUUGAAGGCACCUGCUGAAAAGCACUCACUAUUCCCUCUCUCAUCUCCUGUUCCUCAGUCAUCCAAACUCCAUUAAUUUUUAUUCUAGCCAGAGAGUUAUUCCUUCGGUGAGCAUUAGCCAUCCUAUGGAAGAAUCCAGUGUUUCUAUCUCCCUCCUUAAGCCACAAUUCCCUUGACAAUUAUCUCCAGUGGGUCUCCUCCAAUAAGACCCAUUUUUUAAAGGAAUCCUUGGCUUCUUUUUUCAGUUCAGUUUCACCUUCAGACAAGCUCCUUUCCCUUUCCACCCUGUCCCAAAACUCCACUUGUUGAAGGGUUGAGUUCUUAUUGGCUUCCAGUCUACCAAACACCUCCCUAUUCCACACUUUAAUCUUUUGUUUCAGCACCUUCAUUUUAGUGGCUAGUCUGACACUGACCCUCCUUCUUACCUCAACUUCCUGCCACCAACCCCUAAAAAGAUCCGUGAAGCCAUCAACUUUAAGCCACAUAUUUUUAAACCUAAACGGGGACGGACCUCUCCUUAACCCACCCCCCAUCAACACGAUAGGAAAGUGAUAUGAGGUAGGUCUGGGCAGCCUACAUUGCAUGACCUCAUUGAAAUGGUCAAGCCAACUCUGGGUCACCAGGAACCUAUCCAACCUGGCCCAAGCCUGAUUAUUUCUCCCCCUACUCCAAGAAAGCACCCCUCCUUGCAAUGGAAGAUCAAUGAGUUCUAGCUUAUCAGCAACCUGAGCAAACCUUCUCAUUGCACUCGUUAGUCUUCCCUGAUUGCUUCUUUCCCUCAGUGACAGGAUAACAUUGAAGUCACCCCUUAGACACCAAGGAUCCUCCCAAAUGCCUCUAAUUGCUCCUAUCUCCUCCCACAUCCACUCCCUUUCCUCUCUAGAGAAGGGCCCAUACACCCCAGUAAACAUCCAAACUAGCCCAUCUUCCACGUUCCUCAUCCUACAAGAAAUUGAGAAGUUUUCCACUUCCAUUUCCAUUACUUCCAAGGUCCUCUUAUCCUAGCAAAUCAGUAUCCCUCCCGCAGACCCAUGGGCAUCCAGAGUACCCCAAUUAAGAAACCUACCAAUGCCUAAGCUUCUCACCAGGCCCUCUGUCAUUGCCUGAAUCUUGGUCUCCUGGAGACAGAACAGAUCCACUCUUUGACUCUUGAUCAUGACCUUAAUCACCUUUCUUUUUGAGCUAUCGUUAGCUCCCUGAACAUUCCAACUCAAGAUUCUUAGCUUCAUUUAACCACCAUAAUCUGACACCCUCUUACUAGCAUUCCACUCUUCUGCUUCUUCCCCCCCUCGUAGUUAAUAGAGCAUUCCAACCUUUUCAAUUCCCUUUCAAACUUGGAUUUUUUUAGAAGGUUUUUGUUGUGGACUUUUUCCCUUCUUUUUUGGAUUUUAAUCAGAAAAUCCAAAAUUUCUUUCUCCAAACCUUCUGUUGAAAAUCCCAAGAACUUACUGAAUUUGGCCAACUCACUCUCCUCCCAACUUUCCUUCUCCCAUCCCUUUCCAUCUCGUGGCAUAGAUUGGGCUAACCUCAAUUCCUUUCCACAGCUAUCCUUGCAGUCGCUUGGGCCCUCCAUCAAAUCCUAGCGGCUUGCAUUCUCCUCUUCUUGGGAUCCCAGGGGAAGAAGCAUGCGUAAGGGGGUUUAUCUCAGGUGAGUCACCCUAUCAUCCCCAGAAAGGUCGCAAAACUCCCCCAAAGGAGUCCGACCAAAAAAGAAAAGAGAAGAAGGAGAGGGUCCAGACGCCAUCAAACCACAAGGGAUAGGAGCACACCCGUACCUCGACGCUUCUUCAAUUAGGGCACAGUCGGUCCUUAACUUCUCCGCGAGAAAGAGCUCCACCUCAACUUGCCUCCGCCUGCCAUCAUAAUCCCAGAAAGGGAAGCAUUCAACAUCUGGCUCCCUCAGAUGACUUGGACCAGCCCACACAAGAGGCAAAGCCACUCCAGAGCAGCCCACCAAGGACUGGGCUGGAUCACGACAAUCUUCCCUCCCCGUCAGCCCGCACAUNNNNNNNNNNNNNNNNNNNNNNNNNNNNNNNNNNNNNNNNNNNNNNNNNNNNNNNNNNNNNNNNNNNNNNNNNNNNNNNNNNNNNNNNNNNNNNNNNNNNAAAGGGAAGCCUUCAGCAUAUGGCUCCUUCAGAUGACUUGGACCAGCCCACACAAGAGGCAAAGCCACUCCCAGAGUAGCCCACCAAGGACUGGGCUGGAUCACGGUAGUCUUUCCUCCCAGUUAGCCCACACGUCCUAGUGGACUCCACUGGUCUAAGGCCCUCUAAUGACGAAGGCCCUACAGAUGACGAAGGCCCAAUAGGAUGCGGCCCGGUCUUAGGUGAAGAAUCGAGCCCAUCGGACCCAACACCCAAGGCCCUAUGCAAGCCUUCUAGGUCCCCUAGUAAUGACCCAAUUGGGCCUCGAGACCGAGCCUAAAGGGACCCCGACCCACCUGUUUGCUCCCUUGUCCCAUCAGCAAACUGCAGGUGGGUCUCGAGCCUCGCGCCGUCCACCACUUCCAUCACGCGCUUGCCCGCGCAUGUAGAGACAUCACCUUCAACCUCUCCUUCAACACCGCUGUUCUUUCCCCUCCUUUCUGCCGGCAGCACUCUCAUUACCGGCCUUAACUCCCACCAUAGGACAAGCAAAUAACACACCCCUUUGACCCCAAUUUCUAUCAUGCUAGGGAUCUCCUCGCCGGAUAAUUUCACCAAGAUUCUUGCCCACUGCAACUCUUCCAACCUCUCCGUCUGAGUAUCAAUCGCUAAGAGCCCCCCGCAUUUCUCCCUUACCUUUCUNNNNNNNNNNNNNNNNNNNNNNNNNNNNNNNNNNNNNNNNNNNNNNNNNNNNNNNNNNNNNNNNNNNNNNNNNNNNNNNNNNNNNNNNNNNNNNNNNNNNNNNNNNNNNNNNNNNNNNNNNNNNNNNNNNNNNNNNNNNNNNNNNNNNNNNNNNNNNNNNNNNNNNNNNNNNNNNNNNNNNNNNNNNNNNNNNNNNNNNNNNNNNNNNNNNNNNNNNNNNNNNNNNNNNNNNNNNNNNNNNNNNNNNNNNNNNNNNNNNNNNNNNNNNNNNNNNNNNNNNNNNNNNNNNNNNNNNNNNNNNNNNNNNNNNNNNNNNNNNNNNNNNNNNNNNNNNNNNNNNNNNNNNNNNNNNNNNNNNNNNNNNNNNNNNNNNNNNNNNNNNNNNNNNNNNNNNNNNNNNNNNNNNNNNNNNNNNNNNNNNNNNNNNNNNNNNNNNNNNNNNNNNNNNNNNNNNNNNNNNNNNNNNNNNNNNNNNNNNNNNNNNNNNNNNNNNNNNNNNNNNNNNNNNNNNNNNNNNNNNNNNNNNNNNNNNNNNNNNNNNNNNNNNNNNNNNNNNNNNNNNNNNNNNUAUCCUGAUUCAGAUGCAUGUUCAUCUACUUUUAGUGCAAUGUUAAUGUUUCUUCUUCUUAGGAACACUUAGGGUCAUCUCCAAUUGAAGGGAGCCAACUAUCUCAUCUAGCUUAAUUGAAUCAACAGUGUUCCAUUCCUCUAGUGUUAUGACCUCAGGUCUAAAACGAUCAGAGGGGAUCUUAACAGUUUUCAGGUAACCUUGGAAUCAAGUAUAUUCAGGGAUCUUACAUAGAUUGAAAAUCAGCAUUCACAAUGUCUAUGAUUUCAAUAAUAUAUUCAGAAAAUGUUUUUGUUGUGAUCAUUUGAAAUUCAUUCCUUCACCUAUCCCAACUAUACAUAGUUUUUCCUACCCUAGUGGAUAUAUAUCCCAUCUCUAUCUAGCACCAUAUCAGGAUAUCAACCAAAUUGAACAGAACUCCAAUCUCUAUCAGACUUCAUUUUCAGGAAGUACAUCUGUUUUACCUUGGAAUGAGCAUAAUUAUCUCCUUUGAAGUAUGGAGGUCUACCUAUAGAGGUUCCUUCUCGGUGAAUUUCCAUCUUAAGAGAAUAUAGUUUAUCCAUAUUGAGAGCAUGAGUAAACAUGUUUUGAUAUGAUUUAUGAGUUUUUAAGAGAGUAUGCUAUGAACUUGAGAUCUUUUUUAGAUGAUCAAAUAACAUAUGCACAUGAAUGUGAUUAAGUGAUUAGCACAAGGUCAUACGCUAAAAUGUCUCUAAUGAAAUCUCAGCAAACAAGCACACAAAUAUUGCACAAGAUAUAACAUAAAAAAUCUCUAAGGGGAGAAAGGAAAUAAAUAAAUAAAUAACAAUGGGUGCCUUUGUUGUUGCAAAUCCACUAUGAAUAUAAAUCCAGUUUUGCCUACAAGUCCUCCCAGAUCAAUCACCAAUCCCCUUAAGGAAUCCUCAGAGUGAUUAUUUCUUCAAUCCACACCUCUUUUUUAUAUGCUUCAAUAUGGCUCAUCAUGUGCUCACCACCAAUCUCUCGACAUAGCCUCCUUCAACUAUCUUCAAUUACCACGAUUUCUCUUCUCCUCCACUAAUUACAUUACAACAGAAUCACCUUCACUAUCUCAUUGAAGUGAUCUCCAAAAACUAUAAAACAAAAAUUCUAUUUGCAAAGCAACUUCUUCUUCAUAUAGAUUCAGAGAACCAAAAUAAGAAGAUGUUUUCACCUGUAGCAAAAUCUUCAUGUAGAUUUAGAGAACUGAAAUUGUAACUUCAAAUUCACUCUUAGAAUCUCAAUUAAGGUAAAGCUCUCUCACAUUUCAAAAUCCCCCACCAAGAGUUUCGCUUACUCUUCAUUUUGGAAAUGAGAGUAGAACCAACUUAGUGCCGAGGGACAUAAGGCACACCCUUAUGGGCCUAUUGUCAUGCAAAUUUUAAGGUGGAGCAUCCAACUAACUCAACAAAUGUUUUUUUGCUUCCAGCCAUUUGUUUCCAUGGUCUAGAAAAAUAUGUCCUAGAUGAUUCCCAUUGUUUCAACUCUUUCAUGAAAAAUGCUUCUCAAAUCACUCCGGUCUUUCACUCACAUUACAUGUGAACUCCAAUCUACAGUAGUGAAAUCCUAUUAACGAGCAACCUGGAACAAUUAGCUUAUCCUUUCAAUCCCAUUUUCAAGCUCAAUUCCCUCCACCAGUGAAAACAAAUGGUCUUAUAUGAUCAACUCCAUUCACUCCAGGGCUAUAAAGGAAACACUUGUGAGCUGGCAGGCAGUAGCUCCUCCCGACUCACCAUNNNNNNNNNNNNNNNNNNNNNNNNNNNNNNNNNNNNNNNNNNNNNNNNNNNNNNNNNNNNNNNNNNNNNNNNNNNNNNNNNNNNNNNNNGCAAUUCACCAAAGAAUGCAUAGGUGGCAAUGAGGUCCCAAUGGAGCUGUGCAUAUCUAACAGUCGCAGACUUGAAGGAAGCUCUGGAAUUUGUGAAAGCUUCAUGCAGUGACUCAAGUCAAGGGCUCUAAGGUUAGAGAGUUGACUGAUACCCACAAGUAUGUCACUGAGGGUUCCUCCUUCCUCUGGAUUGGACCGACUUAGAUCUAAUACUUCCAGUGAGGAUAGAUGGAAAAUACAAUGGAAGACUCCUCCAUUUAGAUUGCAGUUUCUUAGCCUUAAUUCUUUCAAUGCGUUCAAGCAGUUAUCACUCUUUAUUACUCCUGGUGUUAGAUUGCAUUGAUCUAAAUAUAGUUCCCUUAAGAGAGAUAAACCUGACAAAGAAGGCAAUUGACAACUGAGCGAAUUUAAAGAAAGAACCUCUAGACAUGGCAUUCUCUCCAGGUCCUCUGGCAAUCUGUCAAGUUUUGAGCAGCCUUCAAGACUUAGAACUUCAAGAAAUCUCAAAUUACAAAUGCUGUUCGGGAGACCCUCAAGGUUUUUACAAUUGUCCAAAUACAAGUUGCGAAGACCUUCUAGAAGUUCAAUCGAUGAUGGUAGCUCUUUAAUAGCUGUUUCAUCUAAACUAAGCACCUCUAGUUUUCCAAUGUUGCACUUGAUUUUUGGAAAACUAGUUAGUUUUGAACAGCCACUGCAAUGAAGAGUUAAAAGGUGCUUCAACUUAUGAAUGUCCCCAGGAAGACUCUCGAGGCUUACACACCCUAUAAAAUUCAAGGAAAAAAAAAGUUAGUUUUAUGACACUCUUAUAUGUGUGUGAACCUUAAGUAAAAUUAUACAACCUGAAAGAAUAAGUUCCUCCAAAUUUGGCACGUUUGAGAAAUUUGGUAAUUCAAUAAGCUGUUGUGAAUGACUGAGAUCGAUGUACCUUAAAUUUCUAAGACACUGGAACAAAAUAGAAUUUCUAUUAAUAAAUCAAUUUUAAAAAAUUUAAAAAUAUUAUGAAACAAAAGCAUAAAUAAAUAAUAAUCAUACCAUGUUUCCUUUCCAAAGUAGUUUUAUGUUACUAUUGCUCAAUUUGAGGAGAGCAAGAUCAUUUGGAUGAAAGUUUGAUGGUAGAGAUUCUAAAGAAUAUCCAUCCCAACUGAGACAUGUCAAGUCAUCAGACGAAAAUACAAAAUCUUCAGGAAGUUGUAUGCGAUUGUGGGAGACGACAAGCAAUCUAAGUCUAUUCAUCCUUUCGAAAGCUUUGCAUGUAAACUGUAUCUGUUCUGAUUUGUCCACAUCAAGGAAUAUCCCUUCAAUUUUUUCAGUCCCCUAGAUAAUAAGAGUAUAAAAUUAGAAAAGCACAAUACAUAUAAAUCCUUACUAAGGUGAUAAAGAUAAAUAACUUCUUGAACAAAACAUAUUUUCUAUAUAUAUAUAUCUUACCGUAUUUCUUUUUAAUACUCGAUAAAUAUCUGUAUGCCUCCAUAAUCUGCUCCUCUCUCCUGGCUCAUUAGGACAUUCUUCAUCAACAAUGCCCUUGCCCAUUUGGGCUAACAAAUCAUGCAUCUCUAUUGUCUUGUCCUUUGAAAUGGUUAUGAAACACCUAUCAACGAGAGCAUUUAUUCCACUUUCCGCAUUGAAUUCGGAACCAUCCAAUAUUCUUGAAACUAUUUCCACAUCACCUCCUUUAAAGAAACAUGCAAUGUCGAGAAAUAUCAUCCUUUGUGUAUAAUCCAAUCCAUCAAAACUUAUUUUAAGCACAUUUACAAUUUCCAUGUUAGGCACCUUUUCCAGCUUCCGCAAUUCGCUUUUCCAAUUUGGUAGUCUCUUUCCAAAUAAUAGAGAACCCAAAACUUUAAGUGCUAAUGGAAGACCAUCAGCAUAUCGUACUACUUGAUGAGAGAGAUCUGCAUAACCUUCCUUCAGAUGAUGUUGUUUAAAGGCAUAACGACAAAAAAGUUGAAGAGCUUCGUGAAAAUUUAAUUUCUUAACUUCAUAUAUAUCAUUCACUUCAUGCCUAGUUAGCAAAUCUUUUUUCCUAGUAGUAAUGAUGAUUCUACUUCCUGGACCAAACCAAUUAUGCUUUCCAAUCAAGUGUUCUAAUUGUGUCAGCUCAUCUACAUCAUCCAAAAAAACAAGAACCUUUUUUGAGGAAAGCUUAUCCCUUAUUAUUUUGAUACCUUCAUAAACAUUCUUUAAAACUAUUUGCCCCUUUGUCCUUAGAGUAUCAUCAAGAAGCUUUUGUUGUAACUUAAGAAGACCAGAAUUUUUUGUGGAUUCUUUCCUGACAUUUGUGAGCAAGCUAACACUUUCGAAUUGAUGUGAGAUUUGGUUAUAAAGAGCAUUGAUGAUGGUAGUCUUACCGAUUCCACCAAGACCAUAAACCCCGACCAUGCGAACAUCAUUCGACUCAAUCUUUAACAAUGAUAUUAGUUUUUCCAAACGAGAAUCCAUUCCAACAAUGUUCUCGUUAACACCUAAAAUCUUAGGUAAGUUUCCAUGAACGUUCUCAAUAAUUUCAUCAAUAAGCGUUGACUCAUACCUGCCAAUUGCAAAGCAUAAUAGAUCAUGUACUCAUGCAAUAGAAUGAGUAGCAAAAGACAAUAAAUUAUAUGAAAUAAAUUUAAUGAUGCCUACUUUUCCAACUAUAACUUAGCAGGGCUAAAAAUAAUUUAAAUUAAAAUAAAAUAAACCACAUCUAUCAAACUACUUAUGGGUACGAUUGCAUUAUUCUAUACAGUUGCUCGUGUGAUAGAAAUGAGGGAAGAAAAUGCAGAAUAUGAUUUGCAUUAUCAAAAGUGGAAAAAAGAAAUUGAAAUAUUUUUGUGUUAACUUGUCUACUCAAUCUUUUGGAAGGCUCAAAAUGAAGUUGACUUGUUUGGAAUAUUACUACCCUAUUUUGAUAAGGGAUUCCAUCACAGAAUCAACCACUAUUCUGCAUCCAAGCUUUUACGAUCAACGUUACCAUCUUUUGUACUUGCAUAACUUUCUCUCACCAUUCAUUUAGAUAAUGGUUCCCCUAGCUGUUCUUUAUUAUUAUUAUUAUUAUUUAUAAAUUUUUAUAAAAUUUUUUGAAAACCCUUUAAUCAAAAUAUAACUUUUAUAAAUUAAUUGAACAUAUUUUAUUUAUAAUUUUAAUUAUUUUGUCCGAAGGAAUUAAAAAAAUAUAUUUUAAAAGAAUAUCAAUUUUAACUUAAAAUAAUUUAGUAUAUUCUUUAUCAAGUGUAAAAUUUUAAUGAACAGAUUUUUAUUUUAUAAAAAAUAAAAAAUUUUAAAAUUUUAAAACUCACAUAGCUUUAAAUAUUUUUUAUAUCAGCAGACAGAGAAAAGGAGAGUACUUCAAGUGAAAAAUGAAAAGAAGUUACAAUUACCUGUUCUCCGCAACAUGUCCGGCUAGAUUGCCUGCUUGCUCCAUGGCAGUCCUCCAUUUCCUUAUCUUUUCCUUUCUCUCCUCGUCUGCAUUUUCCUCAUGACGGGUAAAUGCUUCUCCACAAAUCCCAGUUUGCUUCCGAACUUCAGACGGAUCCACAUUAUAGAAAAUUGGGAUAACUAUUUGUCCCCUUUCCUCUUUGCAUUCCAUGAUCUUGACAAGCUCGUCCAGACACCAUUUGGAAUGAGCAUAGGUUUUUGAGAAAACAAUAAUGGCAAUCCUUGAUUCUUCAAUAGCUUUUAAGAGCUCUGGUGCAAUCUCUUCUCCCCUUGGAAGCUCUUCAUCAUCUCUGAAGGUAUGAAUAUUGUUACGAAUCAAAGCCGAGUAGAGGUGAUCAGUAAAGCUUUUGCGAGUAUCUUCACCUCUAAAACUCAAAAACACAUCGUAGCUCCACUGAGAGUGAGAAGUGGAAGAAGAAGAGGGUCUCUGGAUGCUGGGGGAAGCCAUGGUUGAACAGAAAUUGGAGGAAAAAUAAGGGUCUUCGGGUACUGAGUAACUCAUUCCCCUAGCCUUACGUGAAGUUUGGAUGUUGGUGGUGGGAUGCGCUUUUUCUUUCUUAAUUAUUUCUCCCUAGCUGUAUCCCUCUAGCUUUGAAUGAUAGUGUGGUUCACAUGGUCAAGACCGCACUUCAAUCAUUUCCCUUCACUCUUUUCUUUUACAUUUUACUCACUUUUCUGAGUUUUCUCUUUUUGUCAGUCAACAAUGGCCGACAGUCUUGUCUCUGCCGUUUACAGCUGCUCUUUUCUUUUAUUCUAAAAUAAAAAAAAUAAAAAAUGAUCAAAUGGUCUUUGCUUAGCUCAUAAGAUCGUGUGAACGCACAUUAAAUUAAAGUUAUUCAAUUAAGUUUUGUCUUUUCCAUAGUGAGCAAUAUUAUAGUAGAAAAUAAAGGUUUAUUAAGUUGAUAUGUCAAGUAAAGCUAACAACUUUGGUAUUAUAAGCUUCAUUUUUGUAGAUAAAAAAUAUGAUAAUUCAUAUGACAAAAGGUAAAGAAAAUUUUGAUCUUGAAGAGUAGAAAGAAGCACAAAACCUUCAUGAAAUUUUAGGGAAGAAAGACCAUGCCCAAAACUCGAAAUUUAAAUUUUCACAGCCUUUUCACAUUUUGUAGUUGGCUUUAUUAUUAAUAGAAGCACAUAAAUAAAUAUUGUACUUAACCAUGUUACUUCUAAAAUUAAAUCCCAUUAAUUUAUAGGUCAUAAUGGCUUGUAUAGGUCAUCAUAGUAAUGAGUGUGAAGGUGGGUACUUCUAUAAAUAAUAGAUGAGAUUAAACCAAUUACCCUAAAAUUCAAAAGCACCUUUAUCAUAAAAGUCAUUGUCGUCGUAAUGGUAAUGAGGUUGGAGUAUUGGAUUAAAAUAACUUAUUUAUUAAAAAAAAUAUAAUAUUUAACAAAUUUUCGAAACUUAUGUUCAAAUUGAUUUUUUUUUUUAUACCAUGUAGGUGUCAUGUCAUUAAAAUUUAUUUAUUUUUAAUCAUUUUAGUUAAAAUCUCAGUUAGUAAAUCAUUUUAAUUAAAAUCUCAAUUAGUAACUAAGGCUUCAAUUUUUAACUAAAGUCGGUAAUUGUCAAUUAAGGCUUCAUUUUUUAAAUUGAAGCCUCAAUUGACAACUAAAGUUUCAUUUUUGAAUUAAAACCUCAAUUGGCAACUGAAUCUUCAAUUUUGAACUAAAACCACAGUUCCCAACUGAAGCUUUAAUUAUUUUUUUUAAAUAAAAUUUAUUAAAUUAUAAUUUAUGAUUGAAAUUUUAAAAAUAUACUUAAAUAAUAAAUUAUUUAUAUUUAAACUUAAGAAUCUAGUAUUACUUCAACAAACAUAAAUUGAUAAAUAGAAGAUAUUAUAAAUGAAUAUUUUAUUUAUUAAUAAAUUAAUAAUCUUAAAAUAAUAAAUUUACAUAACAUAUAAAUAAUAUAUAAAAUUGUAUAAUUUAUUAAUUUAAGAUAUUUAAUUUGUCGUUUUUUAAGAUAUUAAUUUAUUUGUAUUAUGACAAAUUUAUUUUUAUCGAAAUAAUAAUAUACUUUUAAGUCAUAGUUGCUAACUGAGAUUUCAAUUAUAAUUUUUUUUUUACUUUCAAAUUUAAUUAAAAACUAUUAAAUUAUAAUUUAUUAUUGAAAUUAAAAAUAUAUACUUUAAUAAUAAAUUAUUUAUAUUUAAACUUAAAAAUAUAGUAUUACUUCAACAAACAUAAAUUGAUAAAUAAAAUAUAUUAUAAAUAAAUAUUUUAUUUAUUAAUAAAUUAAUAAUCUUAAAAUAAUAAAUUUAUAUAACAUAUAAAUAAUAUAUAAAAUUGUAUAAUUUAUUAAUUUAAGAUAUUAAUUUAUUUUUAUAAUUUAAUAAUUUUUAAUUUAAAAAAAAUUAACUAGGACCUCAGUUGGAAAUUGAGACUUCAAUUUUAAAAUUUUAGUUUAAAAAUGAAACCUCAAUUGAUAACUGAGGUUUUAGUUCAAAAAUGAAGUCUCAGUUAUCAAUUGAGACUUUAACUAAAAUUAUGAAGAAAAAAAAAUUUAAUGAUAUGACACCUACAUGACACAAAGAGACCAAUUUGAACAUAAAUUUCAAAAAGUAAUUAAAUGUUUUUUUUUUUUUAAUAAAUUGACCAUUUUGACCCGAUACUCAAUGAGGUUAGGUAUAUUUUGAAAGAAUAGAAAACCCUAAAUUUCAAAAGAAUGUUUGAUUCUUGACAAUUUAUCCCCAAGAGCCUUAUUUUUUUACUUUUUAUCUUUUUAUUAUUAUUAUUAUCGUGAGGAUGGUUAAAGAUGAUAUAGAAGUCUUUCAAUGGUUUAAAAAAGAAAAAUGUGAGUGUUAAGUUGACAUUUUUGCCAUUUUAGAAAAUACUUAAUUUUAAGAUCAUUAAUAGGAAGAAAUAAAGAGUUCACAAAAAAUAAAGACAUUUUUAUUGAUUGAUCUAGGUAAUUGUGGACCCCGCAUUUCGGCUCAAUACGUUUUCCACUAGAUGGCGAGCUCGAUUUUGAUUUGAAAAAUGAUUUUUAUUGGUUAAAAGAAUGACUUGGAGUCGCCACUUAUUUUUGUUUUAUUUUUAAAGGGUAAACAAAAUAAGAAAGAAAAACCCUAAGUGUGACUCCUUGUUUUGGAAAAGGUGGUCUGUGAAAAACCGGAUCGGGUUCGGGGGUCAGGUUACUUAUUGGGAAGGUACGGUAGAGACCGUAGCACCCCUCUAAGUCCCUAAAGUCGGGUCUCUACUAAUAAAGUGAAACUGACGUGACAAUCGAAUAAGAAAGUCAAUGGAUACUCACAUCAAUCAUGCAUAUAUGAGAAUCAGAAUAUGUAUAGUGAAUGAUCAGAAUGAGUGAAUGCAUACCUGGGCAGCAAACAGCAACGCGCUAUCAAGAAACGGGAUUAGUGCACAAUUAAUGAAUACAAAACAUAGCUCAUACAUAUCGGAGUGCAAAGCGAAGCUCAAACAAAAUACAGUAAGCACGAAAAUUGACAGUCAAAAGGGGUCAAACAUAGGGCCCCCAACAAAGCCCGAUUUAUUGUUCAUGAGCUAAUCCCACAAAUCCCCUGUUUUGGAAUUAUGAAGGAAUCACUGUUGUUUAUGUAAAAUCAAGAAGAUCAGAAGAUUAUUUAGGAACUGAAAUGUGAUUAAGAACUAUUCGAGUGAAAACUGAAUUAUUGGAGCUUAUUUGAAAAUUGAAGUAUUUGGAAUUAAAUUUUGAAGAUUAGAGCUCUGGUGAUUAAAUCGAAAUUUUUAAAGAAAAUGAGAAACGGACUUUAGGAAAUUGAACUGCGAGACCAUAGACUUUUGAAAGUUGAAUUUAUAAUAAUGAUAGUAAUGAGGUCUUGAGAGGUUGAAUUAAUAAUAAUAAUAAUUAUAAGAUUUCGAAAGUUGAAUUUAUAAUAAUGAUAGUAAUGAGGUCUUGAGAGGUUGAAUUAAUAAUAAUAAUAAUUAUAAGAUUUCGAAAGUCUGAAUUGACGAUAAUAAUAACAAUAAUAAGAUUUUGAAGGUGUGAAUUAAUAAUAAUAAUAAUAAUAAGAUUUUGAGAAUUUGGAUUAAUGAUAAUAAUAAUAAUAAUAAAUAGAUUUUGAAAGUUGAGUUAACAAUAAUGAUAAUAAGAGAGUUUGGAUUAAUGAUGAUAAUAAUAAUAAUAAAUAGAUGUUGAAAGUGCGAAUUAAUGAUAACGAUAAUGAUGAGAUUUUGAAAGUUGGGAUUAAUGAUAAUAAUAAAUAAUAAUAAAUGGAUGUUGAAAAUGUGAAUUAAUGAUAAUGAUAAUGAUGAGAUUUUGGAGGUUUGGAUUAGUGAUAAUAAUAAGUUAUAAUAAAUAGAUUUUGAAAGUUGAGUUAAUAAUAAUAUUAAUAAUGAGAUUUUUGGAAGUUUGGGUUGAUGAUGAUAAUAAUAAUAAUAAAUAGACUUUGAAAGUUGGGUUUAUAAUAAUAAUAAUGAGGGUUUUGAAAGUUUGGAUUAAUGAUAGUAAUAAUAGUACUAAAUAGAUUUUGAAAGUUGAAGUAAUAAUAAUAAUAAUAAUGAGAUUUUUGAAAGUUUGGAUUAAUGAUGAUAAUAAUAAUAAUAAUAAAUAGAUGUUGAAAGUGUGAAAUAAUAAUGAUGAUAAUAAUGAGAUUUUGAAAGUUGGGAUUAAUGAUGAUAAUAAUAAUAGUAAUAAAUAGAUUUUGAAAUUUGUGAAAUAAUAAUGAUGAUAAUAAUGAGAUUUUGAAAGUUGGGUUAAUAAUAAUAAUAGUAAUGAAAUUUGUGAAUGUUGAGUUAGUAAUAAUAAUAGUAGGAUUUUGAAAGUUUGGAUUAAUGAUAAUAAUAAUAAGAAUAAAUAGAUUUUGAAAGUUGAGGUAAUAAUAAUAGUAAUAAGAUUUUGAGAGUUGAAUUAAUAAUAAUCAUAGUGAUAAUAAUAAUAAUAAUGACAAGAACAAUGAUAAUAAUAAUAAUAAUAAUAAUGACAAUAAUAAUAAUAAUAAUAAUAAUAAUAACAAUAAUAAUAACCAUAAUAAUAAUAAUAAUAACAAUGAUAACAAUAAUUAAUAAUAAUAAUAAUAAUAAAUGAUAACAUGCAUCCAUCAAACCCAAAGCCCAUAAGCAUGGAUCCACUAACAAGCCUCAUCUUCAACAAGCCCAGUCCAUAAGCCUAAACCCAUAAGCCUAAGCCCACAAGCCUAAGCCUAAGCCUCCAAAGCCCAUCAGCAAAGCUCAAGCCCAAAUCAAUGAGUAAGCCCAAGCCCUUUAUCACAUGCUCUUCUUCCUCAUCUCCGGAGACAGUGACGGAGAAAAAUGGAGGUGAGAGAGACAUCGUCGGAGGUCCUCGGAGUUGGUCCAAGCUGCCAUCCUCCCGCGCCACCUCGGACAUGCCCAACUGCAGCAGCCUAGUGUCGGUGUGGAGCCUGCUGCUGCAGCCUUCAUAGGAGCGUGGAGCUUCGUCGGCCGGAAUCUGGUCGUUGAGGAAGAGCUCAUGUGCUGACAGCAUCCUCGACGUCGUCGUCGCGGAGCUCCCAUAGUAGGCGAGCCAUGUGGAAGAUUCGAACCCGGCGCCGGUGGACGAUGAGGCUACGGUUAAAGUGGACGGCGUCGGCAUUACGCAAGGUGCGAAGUGCAUGGGGCUCACCGGAGUGCUGUAGAAGAAAAACACCGCUUCCGGAGCCGCGUCCUAGGCUGGAGGGAGCAUUGACGUGGGGGGUGGAGCUAGAGAGAGAAAAUGUGGUGGAAAUGAUAAUGGGUGAGUGUGGCGAGGGUUGACGGAGUUGGGGAUGUGCAUGAGAGAUGAUGGGCAUGAAGAGAUCCAAAAAAAAAAAAAAAAGAUGGGUAUGGUGAUCUCGGAUGUGAGUGGUUAAAUGGGGGUUUGUGAACAAAGCAUGAAUCAAUAAUGUCAAAGCACACUUAUAACUCAAACCUCAUCCAACAAUACAUCAACUACUAGCUAUCCAUAUCUGGAUCAAAGGGAAAAUGACCAGAAAAUAACUCAAGAAAGAAAGAAAAAAAUGGGACAAUCAGAUGCUAAGUAGGAGCAAGGAGUCAUCAAUGGCAUACCUGGGGACGCUCCCUUCUUCUUCAAGCUUCACUUUCCAAGAUCCCUCGAACCAGCCCGCUCUCCCCCUCCUCCUUCCUGUUGCCCUGGUCCCGCUUGCCUUUUCUUCUUUCCCCCGUUCUUUUUUUUCUCUUCGUGUCUUCUUCAGCAAGCCCGCCGUAUCCCGUCCCAUCUGCAGCCCAAAAGCUCUGCCUUCUUCCUGCUUUUCUUCCAACCGUCCUCGGGUGGAUAAAGAAAGUAGAAAAGAAGAAGAAAAAAAAAAGAAAAUGCAUGAAAAUAAAAAAAACCUGCCCCCAGUUGAGGGGGUCUACAGUAAUCCUUUCAUAGCUUUUAACUAUAACUUUGUUGAAAAUCUUACUCCUUCCUCCUUGUCUUCCUCUUAUAAUUUCUAAGUUUCAACUUUUUUUUUUUUCUUUUUAAUAAUAAUAUUGGUUUUAUGUUUUAAUGAAAUAGGUUGCAAAUUUGAAGAAAACAUAUUCUAAUGUAUUUAUUGAUUAUAGCUCUUUCUUCAAAAGGGUUAUCGUUAUUUACAUUCUCAAACUAAUCAAAUUUACAUCUCUAGAUAUGUAAUCAUUGAUGAGUUUGAGUUUUCCUUUACUAACAAAACUUCUACCAUAUCUUUCUUAUAGGAACAAAGUCAAAUGACCAUAUUUUGAGAUUUCGAUCAGCAGUCACAACCAUUCAAUCCAAACACCAACUCAACCCACAACUUCACUCCCACCAAACAACCUUUCAAACCAUCGUAAUAGUGUAGAUCUUCUAUUUUGUCUUUUUAACACAUCUCAUCUAAAUUUGUCUUUCUUACAUACUUUAACACCUUAUUAUGCACUUAUGGUCAUUUUUCUAAGCUGUUUUUUUUAAAUUAUCUUUUAUUCUUUGUGAUUAUGUUGAUUACUAAUUAUUUUAUUUUAUUUUAUUUUAUGCAAGAGUCAUUCUAAAGGGAUUAAAUGCAUUCCAAUAUUGAUUUUAAUGAUUUUUAAAUCUUAAUUCAGGACUUUAUUUUUUAUUGAUGUAUAACAUAUUUAGGUUUGUUUAAAAUUUUCAAACUUUAAUUUUAUAAAAUAGAUUCAAGUUUUGAAUUAAUUAAUAAUUGAUUUCAUUCUCUUUAAAAUGUAGAAUAUGAUAAAAGGCCUGCAACAAAUUCAAACAAAUCUUUAUACAAGUGAGAAUUUAUGUCAUCCAAUCAUUUUAUUAAAAAUCACUCUAUAAAUUAUAAAAAUAAAGAUAUUAAUCACAUCUAUUAAUAUGUUUUUUUUUUAAAUUGACAAAUCAUGAUGAAAUUAUAAUCUUUUUAAUAUUUUAUUAAUUAUAAAUUAAAACAUCACUAUAAUUAUUCAAUCCCCACAGAAUAUAAAAUGAGUUAUUUUCAGUAAUAAUAAUAAUAAUAACUAAUCAUAUUUGAAUAACAUUUCAUCAAUUAUAUAUCAAAAUAAAGUUUUAUGUUUAUCAUAACCUAUGUUUUAAAACAAAAUAAUAAAAGUUAUAUUUCCAUUUAAAUGUAUUUAGAUAUCUACCUCCAUAGCCCAUGGUAUUAAAAUAAUCUAAUAAAACACAGUAUCCCAUAACCGGUCAACAGCACAGCUGCUCCUAGCCUUAGCCUCUUGCAGCUGCAAUCAGCUGUUCCACUCUCUGUUACAGGAGUUUAAGACCAAAAUAAUAUAUUUGUAAAAAAAAAUGAUAAGAAUAGUAUCCAUUUGAAAAUAUUUGCCAAAGUAGUCUUCUUUAUCCACGUAAGCAUCCACAUGGAUUUUAAGUGUAAAGAACCACCGUUGGUGACUGUGGUUUUAGAACUUACAAAAAUUUCCUUAAAACCACAGUUACAAACUGUGGUUUUACAAUUUCUCUUAGAACCACAGUUACUAACUGCGGUUUUAAAAGAAGUUUCCUUAAUACCACAGUUACAAACUGUGGUUUUACAAUUUCCUAACUUUACAAUUAUUUUUAAAAUAUUUUUUUUAUUAAAACAACCAUAAAACCACAGUUAGUAACUGUGGUUUUACUAAUGGUGUUGUAAUUCAAAUUAGUGAUGUUAUGUUAUUCACAUGUUUCCUUGAUAAUUUAAACAAAUAAAACUCAAAUGCAUCCUAAAGUCUAAAUGAAAGAAAUUAUAACUAAAUAAAUUAUUACAACCAUUACCUAUUUUUCUUUCAUAUAAUUAAAAAAUUAUACAUUUUAACCAAGACAUAAGUUCAAAUCAUACUUAAUAAUAAAUAACCUAAAAUCAUAAUCACUAACAUUAAUUUUCAUAUGAAAAGAUAAAAUUUUAAAAUAAUAUAAACAAUUUCUUUAGUUAUUUUAAAAUUUAAAAAUAAUAUGAAUAAAUAAUUUUCUUUAGUUCAUAUGUGAAAAUAUUUGUAAAACAAAUAAAUAUUUUAUUUACUAUAAAUAUAUAAAUUUUUAUGGGAAUGCAUGUAGACCAAAUUAUUUUCUCAAAUUUUCAAGGAAAAUAUGAAAAAAUAAAGAUAAAAUAUAUAUAUAUAUAUUUUUAAAUAGUCGUAACAAAAAAAUUUGUGAAAAGCAAAGUUCUAAAAUCCCAUACUUUUUUAUACAUGAGUCCCCUUAAAAAUAUUUGUGAAAAUUACAACAUAAUUGUAAUUUUGAUAAAAAAAUAUUUUAAAAAUAAUAUUAAAAUUACAACACCAUUAAAAUAGAUGUGGAUUAAAAAUAAUUGUAAAACCACAGUUACUAACUGUGGUUUUAUAGUUAUUUUGAUAAAAAUUAUUUUAAAAAUAAUAUUAAAAUUACAACACCAUUAGUAAAACCACAGUUACUAACUGUGGUUUUAUGGUUGUUUUGAUAAAAAAAAAUAUUUUAAAAAUAAUAUUAAAAUUAUAACACCAUUAAAAUGAGGACGGAUUAAAAAUAAUUGUAAAACCACAGUUACUAACUGUGGUUUUAAGGGAAAUUGUAAAACCACAGUUUGUAACUGUGGUUUUAAGGAAACUUCUUUUAAAACCGCAGUUAGUAACCGUGGUUCUAAGAGAAAUUGUAAAACCACAGUUUGUAACUGUGGUUUUAAGGAAAUUUUUGUAAGUACUAAAACCACAGUCACCAACGGUGGUUCUUUACACUAAAAAUCCAUGUGGAUGCUUACGUGGAUAAAAAAGAUUACUUUGACAAAUAUUUUCAAAUGGAUACUAUUCUUAUCAUUUUUUUUUACAAAUAUAUUAUUUUGGUCUUAAACUCCUGUUACAGUCCAGCUUUGGCCGCCCAAGACAUACAUCUUUUCACCCAUCAGCCAUUACCCCUGCCACAGCUCAUACUAAAGCUGCCAUAACCUAUACCCCAUAACCUAAUAUACGACUCUCACAACCGCCCUUUGUAAGAGUCACACAAAAGCCAAAUUUUUAUUAUUAUUAUUUUUAAUCAACUCCAGCACAGCCUCGUCAGACGCCGAGCCUCCUGAUCUCAUCUCCAAACACGUUCUGCAGCUGAAUCCUUUGCCUUUAUGAAGUUUGGAUGUUGGUGGUGGGAUGUGCUUUUCCUUUCUCAAUUAUUUCUGCUUAGCUGUAUCCCUCUAGCUUUGAACUUUCACUUUUGUCCCUUUUGGCAGUCAACAAUGGCCGACAGUCUUGCCUCUGCGAUUUACAGCUGAUCUUUUCUUUUAGGGAGAGUUGGGAUUACUGGCUGUUAUACGAGAAAUACAUGGUUUUCAAAACCAUAUAACUGAAAUAUGAUUUACCUGAGAAAAAUUGUGAGAGUUGAGUUGUCAUUUUCGCCAUUUUAGAAAAGACUUAAUUUUAAGACCGUUAGUAGGUAGAAAUAACAAGUUCACAAGAACGAAAGAGACCUUUGUUGACUGACCUAAGUAACCCCUUUCAUGGCUUUUUCACUUGUUUGUUUUUGGGUUUUCUUUAAUGAGGCUAGGUGAUUGUUGUUUAUUUUGACUUAUAUUUUAGAUGGAUUUCAUUUUUAAUAAGAGUUUUUCAUGGUAAAAAUUGAUGUGAUACAAAUUUUUAUUGAUAUUAAUAUCAUUUUAUCAUAAAUUAUUUAGAGUAUAGAUAUAAAUAAAAUAUCAAUACCAUAGGAAAUGUUAAAAUAAAGUUAGGUGCAUAUGCAAAAAAUAAAAUUUGAAAAAUAGAAUAGUCCAGUCCAACCAUAUCCACACAUCCAUCUUCCUAUAAAUGAAACUAAUGAUAGAUACAUAAGUCAAAAAUAAGAUUUGAAAAAGAGUAUAAUCCAAUUCAACUACCUAUCUUCCAAUAAAUUAAACUCAAAAUGGGCACAUAUUCCAAAAAUAAAUUUUGAAAAAUAAAAUAUUCCAAACCAACUUUAUCAACAUGUCCAUCUUCCAAUAAAUUAAAUUGGAAAUGAGUCGGCAUGUGAUAAAAUAAAUGUCAAUUUCCAUUUUACUUAUAUUAAAUUCACUUAUAUAUUUAUAUCGAAAAUUAUCCUUUGAAUAUUUCUAGAAACAUUAGUGUGGACUCCGCAUUUUGAUUGCUCAAUGCGUUUCCCACUCGAUGGCGAACUCGACUUUUAUUUGAAAAAUUGAUUUUUAUUGAUUAUUUGAAAAUGACUUGGAGUCGCCACUUAUUUUUGUUUUAUUUUUAAAGGGUAAACAAAAUAAGAAAGAAAAACCCUAAGUGUGACUCCUUAUUUUGGAAAAGGCGGUCUGUGAAAACCGGAUCGAGUUCGGGGGUCAGGUUACUUAUCGGGAAGGUACGGUAAAGACCGUAGCACCCCUCUAAGUCCCUAAAGUCGGGUCUCUACUAAUGAGAUGAAGCUGACAUGGCAAUCAAUGAGAAAAUCAAUGAAUACUCGAAUCAAUCAUGCACAUAUGAGAAACAAAGCAUGUAUAAAGAAUGAGCAAAAUAUGAAUAGAUGCGUACCUGGGCGGCAAUCACGAAUGCGCUAUCAUGAAACAUGGUUAGUGAACAAUGAACAUAUAUAAUUAAGCGCAUAUCAAGGAAUAGAGUAAAUCAAUCAUGCAUGACAAAUAAAUCAAUCAAGCAAUCAAUCAGUCAUGAAUUCACAUAUGUGGGCCCCCCAUCAAAGCCCGUUUAUUUUGCAUGAAUUAAUCUCAUAAAUCUCAUCAUUUGAGAAUUACGAAGAUUGAUUUCUUGCUUGUUUAAAAACAUUUUGAAAUUCAUAGGAGUUGUGAAAAUUAUUGGCCAGAAGGAAGAAUGGCAGUGAAUUUUAUUUGAAAUGAGAUUUUUGAGUGAUCCUAAAAAUUCUAAAGAUGAAAAUUUGAAAAAUAAAUAAAUAAAUAAGAAUAAAAUAAAAUUAUUUGAAAAUCUAGAAAUUGGAAACUAUUUGAAAACGGGAAAUUUGGAAAUUACUUUUAAAUUGAAGAUAAAGAAAUAAAUAGAUAAAUAAAAAAAUAAAUAAAAGACACGUGGCCCAAAAGGUGGUCAUGCAUAGCUGCUUGUAAAUUGGGCAGCCAGUGCUUCUCAUACUCUCAGCUUCGGGAUGUUCCUUGAUGUAGUUGCCCCCAUGUGUCAUCCUUAGCCGUGACAAUGCAUGUGUCUUCAUCCCAAUUAAAGUCACUUUGAUCAAGAAGCGUCUUGACAGUGACAUAUUACAUCCUUAAGACAUCAUACCGAUUCUGCAGUUGCUCCUUCAAUUUUGGGUACUGAGCCCUGGCCCACUUUAACACAAAAUUAUACACUGCAUCCUCUGACGCAACCUGGAGUUCAUCACUAGACAAAAAUGCUUCAGUCUUGACAAGGGGUAAGGCCAUCGCCUCUUCUUGAAACUUGGUUGUGUCUUUGUAACGACUAGCAAGAUAUUGAUUGGUUGCAUCUGUCAAAGGCUGAACUGUCUCAACCAUUAGGGCACUAGAAGGAGGCUCUAGACAGAGCAAUGCAGAUUUCAGGUAUCAUGGAUAAGUUCCUUAAGAGUCUGCUGCAGCUGCGAUUCGGAGACUCUCCACCGUUGAUUUCAUCAUCAUGCUUCGCUUCAGAAUUCUGGACGCCAUGGAUUCAAACCGCGACUGGUUUGGCUUCCUUCAUUGCUUGUCACAACAGACUGCAUGCACCAUUCGUCGCGUACCUCACGACAAAUGUGAGUCUGGUUAAUCCCGUAGGAGGACUCCAAGCAGCAUGCAUAACGUACCUCUUCGGAACAUCACAACGAGACCCACUGGUGCCCUCGUCUGAAUACACCUCCGCAUCUCAUUCAAGUAAUGGGUAUUGGACCCAUGCAUGCAUGCAAAGAUGGAGGAGUGAAGUGGUGAGAGAAAGGAUGUACGGAUUUAGCUGCGAGUAAAGUCACGGGUAUGGGAGGAUGGAUGCGGUGAAGACCUUUGAGGGUGAUGAAAAAUGGUGCAUGGAGUAAGAUAGGCUAAAGUGGAAAUGCGUGGUAGAAUGGGCAAGGAUCUCAUGGGGAGAGUGCAGUCACGCAUAGGGUUAUGGGUAUGAUGGUAUGGGGGAUGGGAUGAUGUAGUUAUGGAGUGGUGUAGUGAGAGGAAAGGUGGUGAAGGGUAUGUGAGGAGGAUGAUGGGUAUGAGAGAAGGGUAUGAUGGGUACCAUGCAUGGGGAUGAAUGGUAUGAAGGAAGAUGGGUAUGGAGGAACAUGAAGGAUGGGUAUUGGAGGAUAUGGGUGAUGAGAAUGAAGUAGGAAACGUGGGUAUUAUGGGUGUGGGAAUUAAGGACGAUGGUGAAUGCGCUUAAUGGGAGAAUAUAGGAUGGAGAACGGGAAAUGGAAGAUGGAGAAUGGAUGAUGAGUGAUGGAGAGCUUGAGGUGGGUUGGAUGGAUGCAUGCAUCGGGCAUGAAGGACGGGUGAGUGGGAUGUGGGUAGUGGGCUUGGAAAAUAGGAACGUGGGUAAGGUGGUGUGGGACCAUGCAUGACUAAAUGGGUUAUCUUUUCCCGGUUUUUUUUAUUUUCCAGAGAUUUGCAGCCAAUUCCUUACUGUCAACAUGAUUACUGCCAACAUCUCAUCUCAGUGCCUUUCAUUAUUCUCACAGUCGCGACCAAAGAACAGUUCACUGUAGGAAACCAUAAAGAAAGACUAUGCUUCGUUGCUACUGACAAGGCAUUAUUUCACUUACCCUGAUUCCAUUUUAAGGCGGGAUAAAACCCGCAACCUGCACCAUCUGCGGAUAUGGUGGAACAAGUCAUCCACCAGAGAAGAAAUGCCUCUCACUGACAGGGUCUGAUGAUGGAGUUGAAAAAUUACGUCUAAAUAAGAAACUGGAAGGAGAGCCUCAAUUUCAUUCUUGGAUUUAACUGCUCAAUCCUUAACAUUCUCACAGCUGUCACCUUCCCCAUCAUAGUCACUUCCACUAACCAUCUUUUCCGGAGGAACACCAUUUUCAUAAAUCCACCAUUACUACCAGCCUCAGGUAGUAAUACGAGAAUCGAAACUCUCCACGACUAGUUCUAGGGAGCAGAGAUGGUAUGGGGGACAAAAUCGUUAAAAAAAAAAAAAAAAAAAGAACAAAAAUCAAAAGAUCCCGGAAUCGUAUAUAUAAAGCUGCGUUCCAUGAAAAACGAACGAGCUCAAAAAUGGUGGAACAAACAGGGGGUCCUCAACACGAGCUGGUAAACAUCAUACUCAAAUCUAGGUAAAGAGUAAUACCCCCAUUGCAAUGAAAAAAAAAAGAUUGAGAGCAUGAGAAGAGAAUAAAACAUAACAUAUAGGAGCAGAUAAUCACAUUUAAACGAAGCAAACCUGUGGCCCUUGAUCGUCCACAGCAAAUCACAAAUAGAUAUUCAUCAGAUUAGCAGAGAAUGAAGUGAGAUUUUAAGAGAUGAAAACGCACCAGAUUCAAAGUGAUGCUACUAAUGGCUCCACAAUGCAACCUUCUCCUCCUCGGCUUGCAAGCUUUCUCUUAGAAAACUCUCCGUGUAGCUUGCUUUCCCCCCAACUCAACCUCUCUGUCAAAAACUCCUCCUGUAGCCCUUCUCUCCCCAACUCUCAAAUAGCUGGCCACCUCUCUCUGCCCUCUCUCUCUACCCUGCAGCAGCUUCUGAAAAGCACCCUACCUCUGGCCAGCUGACCCCCCUGCAAAAAUCCCCUCUAACAGAAAAUAUGCGCUCCUCCUAACGGCCAGAAUAUCUCCAUGCCACGUGUCAAACUCUCACUCGCUCCUCAAUUCCACCAUCUGUUUCUAUGACCACCAACCACAAGACGACACGUGGCCCUAUGGGACUGCGGCACUUGGCAAAAAUGGCUGUAGAAAAUGACACCCAAAUGGGGGUCUACAAAUAUGCCCCUCUUCGGUAGAGUUCACGAGUGUAAGAGAUAUGAACACUGAAGUGAAAAGUAAGUGUGAAUAGUGAGUGGAAUGAAGUGAACUCUACCGAAGAAUCAAAGAGACCCCCAUAGGGACACUGGUGAAACGCAAAGUCACCCAGGCUAGUAGAUGAACACAAAGGCUCUAAUCCUAAAAGAGAAAUGAUGUCACAAAAUGCCUCUGCGGCCAUACUAAGGAUCCAAGCUCCCUCUAAGAUGUCUCCCACCCAUUUACUGCUAAAACAGUGGCAGACAAAUUUGUAUAGGAAUUAUCAAGCUCCACGGGAUGCCCCAGUUCGUCAUUAGUGACCGAGAUCCAAUUUUCAUUAGCAAGUUCUGGCAAGAAUUCUUCAAGAUGUCGGGCACCAAAUUGCAACUCAGUUCCGCAUACCACCCACAGACCGUCGGACAGACGGAAGUUGUCAAUCACUGCCUCAAGCAAUACCUUCGUUGUUUCGUGCACUAGUGGCCACGCAAAUGGAGUUCUUAUUUACCUUGAGCAGAAUAUUGGUAUAAUACCAACUAUCAUAUUUCUACAGGGAUGACCGCAUUCCAGGCACUGUAUGGAAGGCCGCUUCUUGGCAUUCCAUCGUACAUAGGUCUUUCGCUAGUACACGAGGUGGAUCAACAGUUAAUGACUCGCGAUGAACUACUUUAGCAAUUGAAGAUUAACUUAGCAAGCUCAGUUAAUCGAAUGAAACAAAUGGCAGACCACAAGCAGAGGGAUAUUUCGUUGACAUUGGCGAAUGGGUGUUGUUGAAGCUGCAUCCUUACGGCCAACAAACAGCCUUCAAACGGGUCCAACAAACGGCCUUCAAACGGGUCCAUCAGAAAUUGGUUAGUCGUUUUUACGGAUCCUAUGUGAUCUUGAAGAAAUGCGGACCAAUCGCGUACAAAUUAGACUUACCAAAAGGCACGCGCAUCCACCCAGUGUUUCAUGUGUCACUACUUAAAUGAUACCAAGAAAAUGAUGGACUUACGGAGCCACAGUAGACAACGUUGCCACCUAUCUCCGAUGAAGGAGUGGUCGCACUUGAACCGCAAAAGAUUCUGGACACCCGCUUGGUCAAACAGAGAGGCCAACUUGUUGAAGAAAGCCUAGUGCAACGGAAACAUCUACUCUCGAAGGACGCCACUUGGGAACCAACGAAGAAAUUGCUCAACGAAUUCUCACCAACGAUCCUUGAGGACGAGGAUCCACUACACGGGGGAAGUAUUGAUAGGCCACGUCAGUCAACGAGGCCCCGUAAUCCAAAUCCCAAAUACUUGGGAUAAGCUGGACGUGAUCAACAUGAAGUUUGGGUCGUGGGGAACGUUGGAAGUUUACGUUGGAAGUUUACAUAGGAAUGGGUCUUCAGGAGUUACGCAUUUUAUGUCAUUUUCUUUCCGUUAGUGUUGUCUGUUAUAUGCUAUGUUUUAUGUGUUUAAGUUCCGGUUAUUAAGCUACUAGUUUCCCUUCAUUUUUGACAUUAUUGUAAUUGGCUUUGCUUAUUUAAAGCAGCCCAGAAAUUAUCAAGAAGCAGGAGAAAAAUUAUUCAACUAUUAUGGUUCAUUUCUCACCCGAAGAGAAAGUCAUUUACGUUAACAUCUAUCGCAUUUGUUGGGACCUAACAGGGCGCAACUGCUAUCACUACAGCUGGUGAUGUGUUGCUAGUUGCUACAGGGAAUGUGCUGUUGUGGCUGUUGAUGUUGUUGCUUCCUCUUCAAGAAUAUCAACACAAGGUGAGACGAGGGCUUACCCAAAUGAAACCAGAGCAAUCCAAGAAACAAAACUAUCGUGUGGCAUUUCAUCAACCAGGUGGUGGGCAUUAUCAACUGAAAAAAUAUCUCUACUGGAGUUUAUUAUUUUCUAUACAUUGCAUAAACUUUAAAGAUAUUAUGAUCCAUUAACUUUGAACCUUAUUUACACUUGCAUAUGUCUGGGAUUGUGUGUAACAAUUGAUUAACAUUGACUUUUGGGUGUAAAUGUUGUCUAAUUCGUCACUCAGAUAUCAGGUGUGAUUAACCAUGCAUGUCAGAAAUUCUGAAGACUUGAUUGGAUUGAUUUGCUCGUCUGAAAUGUCCAAUCGGCUUGGUCUGUCCAUUCCGUUUGACAUUAUGGAAGAAGGAAAACUUCUCACUUUUGGUGCUAGACGGAGCUUAUCUUUAUCCAGACGGGUUAUAUGUUUGUCCUAAUAAGCCAAAGGGUUUUGAAUUUGAGAAGGACAUGUGGAGGGAAGCUCCCCACAGACAUUAUCAACUGAAAAAGUAUAUCAACUGGAGUUUAUUAUUUUCUAUACAUUGCAUAAGCUUUAAAGAUGUUAUGGUCCAAUAACUUUGAACCUUAUUUUGAAAAUUAAUUUAUAUUCAUUAUUUUUAUAAAUAUAAUAUCAAAUAUAAAUCGAAAAAGUAUAAGUUACAAAUUUCAAAGGGUGUUUAUGAGUGGAUCAAUUUUUGGUCUCAAUUAAAAAAACUAAUUUAAAAUAAUAUAAAUAUAAUAUGUUUUUAGUUUAUUUAUUUAUGGUUAGGGUUAUAAAAUAAAUUGAUAUUUUUUAAUUUUAAAUAAGAAAAACAAAUAAGAUAAAAAAGAAAAAAAAUUAAAGAUCGAACAAUAUAAAAUAUUGAAAGUGAAUGAAUAAAAAUGAAAAAGUUUACAACUCAAAUAAGACCAAUCUAAAAAAUGCAUUACAUAUUAAAAUAUCAUCAUUUUUUUUAUUAAAAUAUACCUAAUGGCAUUUCAUAUUGUUAGAUGGUAAAGGAGAAACUAAAAAAAAUCAUAGAACUAUAGAAUGUAGCACAUGAACUUAGUUUGAUGACCUGAAGUGCACAAGUUGCUUUCAAACCACUGGGACUUGCUUAGGGUUAAAAGUUAAAAAUAGGACCGAUAAUAUUUAAUCAGUAAUAUCAUCUCAAGCCUAUUCCAAAAUAUGGCAACCGGGUAAAAUUAAAAAUUAACUUAAUGCUUAAUAAUUUUUUUUUUAAAAAAAAGAACUUGUUAAAUUUUUUUCUAAAAUCAUUAGAUGUUGUAUAAUUUUUCUAAAAUGAAUGAGAAAAGUUAUAAUGGUGAAGCUCUUGAAAAAGAAGCUUUCAAUUAUGAUCGCACUCCUUCAAAAAAAAAAUCGUUAAAUAUAGAAUAGAAGCAAACUCGUCAAUCAUCACAUAAAAAAACAAUUUCUCCAAAGAGUGCUGACCCUUCAACCCCCAUGAGCUAACCAAGCAGCUCGACCCUAACAUCCUAAGCGAAGCGCAACAGUAGUGAUUCAAGUUUCACAAUCAACACCAAUAAAGACAAGAACAAUUGGCACUCAAAAAAUUUAUUUCCUUUAACUUUUUCCCUUUAAGUUGAAUUUGAUUUUUAAAUGGUGUUAUUUGAUUAAUUAUUUUACAAUAUAUAUAUAUAUAUAUGUUAUAUCUUAAAAAAGGUUAGUAAAUUAUAUUACAAUUAUCAAAUAUAUUACCAUAUAUAAAAUACAACUUAAGAAAUCUUAAGCAUAACACAAAGCACAAGAGCAAGAUAUGUUAAUUUAAGUUACUAAGAGCUUAUUUAGUUGUGUGAUUUAAAAAUAGUUUUCUUAUUUUAAAAAUAAAAAAUUAUUUUAAAAUUUUUUUAACACUAUUUUAAUGUUGUUCUUUGGAAAUAAUUUUUUAAAAUAAAGUAAAAUAGAGAACAAUUUUUAAAGAACAAGUAGGAGUUGUUUCAUCAGUUUUUAAAAAACAAAAAAAUAUAUAAACUCAUUUGAUCAUGUUUUUUUAAAUUUGUUUUUAAAAAUUGUUUUUAAAUUAAAAAAUAAAAAAUAAUUUUUAAAAAUAAGUUUCAGAAAAUAUGACCAAACGAACCCUAAAUGAUUGGAGUUUAUAAUAUUAAAGAGAAAAAAAAGUUAAUUUAAGAGUUUGCAUGUAGGUAGACAUCUAGCUGUAAAACUGGUUUAUUUGAGACACCCAUUUUAUUUAGGGAGAAUUGUGUUUUGGGCCCAACUGGGUCCAAAAAUUAAGAUGUGGUCCAUAUAUUUUACAUAAUUAAGCGCAACACCCAAAGAAAGUCUGAAAAUUGAAAAGAAGGAUAUUGUCCUUCAUUAAUCCCUAAAAUACCCUUAACCCUUACGUAGACAUUUAGUGAGUGUGAAUUUUAAUUUUUUUUGUAUUUUUUUCCCUUUUCUAUUCUCUAUUAAGUAUUACUCAUUUCUAACUUUUUUUUUCUUCCAAUCUAUAUUUCUAUUUUAUGUCAAAUAAAAAGCAAUAAGGUUUUUUUUUUUUUUUUUUUUUUUUCAUUUUUAAAGAUAUUGAAUCUUUUUACUCUUAUUAUAAGCAAGAAUAAAAAUUUUGGGAUUUUUCAUCCAAUUUUUUUAUUUUUUUUAUUUUUUAUCUUUUUGUAUUUAUCUUUUAGUUUAAUUUUCAUUUUUUAUUUUAAAUUUAUAUUACCCUUUCAUUUAUACUUUUCUCUUAUUUUUAAUUAUUUUUUAUUUUCUACAUUAACCAUAUUUUAAAAAAUUUUAAAAUAUACUAUCACUUCACUCUUAUUAUAUAUAUAUAUCCUCCUUUUAGUUUUUAAAUUUUUAAUGUUUUUAUUUUAAAAUUUUUUAAAAGAUAAAUUUAUUGAAAAAAAUAACUAAGAUAUGAAGUUCUAAUAUUAUAUUAAUAAUUUUUCUUAUCCAGAUAGACUAAUGCAAAGUAUUUUGACUCACAACAAGAAAAUUGUUAAUACAAUUUUUUAGUGAAACUUUAAAAAUUAAAUUUCAAAUAAAAUAUAUUAUAUAAAAUUUUAUCUAAAAAUUAUUGAAAGUGGUAUUUAAUUUUUUUUUAUUAACUUUCAAACUUAUCUAAUUUUUUACUUGAAAUGUAAUAGAACAUGUUUACAAAAAAAAUUAGUUUUUCAUUUUUUAAAUAAAUGACUAUAAAUAUAUUAAAAGAAUUAAAGAUAAUUUUAGUAAAAAAUUUAAUAAAUAUGAUUAUAAUUUUAAAUAUAGAUUCAUUUGGAUAAAAUUUCACAAAAAAAAAAAUAGUGAAAAGAAAGAACAUUGCUAAAACUACAAAAACAAAAUAUGAAAUUACAAAAUUUUGAUGAUGAAAUUUAAAAAUAAAAUUUGAAACAAUUCUUGAGUGAGAGAAUUUGAGUGCGGAAAAAUCCUUGAGUGGAAAAAAAUAGAAAAGUUUUUCAAAAUCACUUGAAAUUCUUAACAAAAAGUAGUCUUGUACAGCUGGUGUAAUACCUUUGUACAAUAACUCAAACUUCAUAUAUCAUCUCAUUAAUAUCUAACAAUAAGUCGGUUAACCAUGUUUGCAUUGGUUUUGUUUUAAAAAAGAAGAAAAUUGUUGUAUAAUUUUAUUUUACAAUCAUCAUAAGUGAGGUACCUAUUUAAAUGACCAUAUACAAGUUAGAUAAAGUGUAUGAGAUGAAUAUGUGCUUAAUCAAUGUGUGUAAGGAAUGUCAUCUAUCCUCAGUUAGGGGAAAUAAACAAACAGGUUUUUUAGAAUCACUUAAAAUCCUUUACAAAUAAUAGUCUUGUACCCUUGUACAGUUAGUAUAUUUAUCAUGUACACUUAGUGUAAAUACCUUGUACAGUGACUCAAAUUCCAUAUACCCCCUACUCAAUGUGUAACCAUAGGUAGAUUAACCAUAUUUUCAUUGGUUUGGUUCAAAAAAUAGUGGAAGAUGGAAAAAUAAAAUUUUCUCUCAAACAUCAUUCGUGGGAUAAGUAUUCGAAUUGUCAUAUGCGAGUUAAAUAAAGUGCAUAAGAUGAGUGUGUGAUAGAGGAAUGUGUACCUUGAGAGUGUGCAAUCCUUAGAUGACAAGACAAAAAAAAAAAAGUUGUCCAAAAUUGAUUGAAAUCUUUCACAAAGGAUAGUCUUGUAUACCCCUUGUAUAGUUAGAACAUUUACCAGUAUAGUUAGUAUAACACCCUUGUACAAUGGUGCAAAUUUCAUCCAUAUGCAUACAUUAUGUGCUACAUAUGAUGUGUGAACCAUGUUUCCAAUGGUUUGAUUUAAAAAAUGAUAUAAAACAUAAAAACAAAAUUUUUCCCUAAAUAUAAUUAUUAAGGUAAAUAUUUGAAUUGUUAUAUGCGAGUUAAAUAAAGUACAUGAAUUAAAAGAAUUUGUGGUAGAAGAGCGUACAAUCCAUAGAUGACAAGAAAAAAAAAAGUUGUUCAAAAUGUACAGUCUUGUACACCUCUUGUACAAUUAGUGUAAUAACCUUGUAUAAUGAUAUAGAUUUCACAUAUAUGCAUAAAUUAUAUCCACAUGAGUGUGUAAACUAUGUUCCCAAUAGUUUGACAUUUAAAAUAAUUAAAACAAAUAAAAUGUUAUUUUAUUUUAUUUUCAAAACUAUGUUAGCUAAUUGUUCUUUUAAAAUAACAAGAUCAUAAUCUAUAUUAUAUAUACCAUGAGGAUAAGGAAUAAAAGACAUUAAUUCAUAUCAAAUAAGCAGAGUAAAUAAAGAUUUAGAAUAAAUUAAGCAAAAUUAAUCAGGCUUUAAAUGGGGUAAGAUAAAUUUUGGUACUCUGAAAAUUAAUUUGAAUCUACAGUCUCAUUUCCUAAUUAAUAUACUGCAAUACACAGAGAGACUUUGACACCAACUUUUCCCAUCAGCAGUUUCAACAACAGUUUGUUAGUCAAAGUAAUGGUAGGGGUUUUUGAAAUCUCCGUUAGCAAUGAAAGUUUAAUGAAAAUUUUAUAUUGAAUUAAAGUGUGAACGCAUUUAUUGCUAACAUUAAAAUAAUAUAGACAUUUCCAAAUACUUAAUAUUUUAAUAUAAAAUUUUCAAACACUCAUUAAAAUAAUAUAAAAGGUUUCAGACAAUUAUUAUUUUAAUAUAUAUUUAACUUAAGGUUCUGUGCUUAUAGUGUGAAACCAUUUAAUGUAUAAAAAUUAAGUUUUUGAAAUCGGAUAUCUCAAAAAUUCAGGUAAUAAAAUUCAAAAAUUUUUAAAACGUCACUUCGUGUCAAGGUAAUACCCCCCUUCUGACCAGACAGAGUCUCCCUAACAUGCCAAUUUUCAGGCAAAAACGGGUUUAAGGUUAAGGGUUAAGACUAAAGACUCUAGUUUUAAAACAUGAUUUUACACCCAAAAUUUUCUAAAUAACCCGAUUUUUUUUUUUUAUGUUGAUGAGAACAUUAUAUAAAAAGGAUCCACAUAUAUUACAUAUAUUAAAUAGUAAAGAAAACUUAAAAAUAAUUCAAAUAAUUUUCUUUUCCAUACUUUACCUUUUUACCCCUUUUACCCCUUAAGGGUAAGAAAAAUACAUAAUAAAAUAAAUUCUAAAUGAAAGCAAAAAUUUAACAGAAAAUUAAUUCUUACUUUCUUAUUGAUUGCUGAUAAAUGUACAAAACACAAAUUAUUAAAAAAUAAAACCGAUAAAUAUAUGCACUUAGGAAUAAUUUUAAUAGGAAUAAUAGGACUUCAUCGUAAAGAAAUUGGAGCACUUAUAAAUAUUAACCUUUUAGAUACUAGAAACAAUAUAGUAAGACGAGCUCUUUUAGCUAGUGCAGAAGUUAAUAUGAACCAAAAUUAUGCAGUUAUUGAUUGUAUACCUCAAUUUUGUAUAGAUCUUAAGGAAUUCACAGAAAAAAUAAAAAUAACUGUAAAUACUAAAGGUUAUGAUAUGGAAUUAGGAAGUAAAAACCUUAGCAUAGCUAUAGGAUUUAUAGGAAAAACUACUAACGCUUUAAGUUUAAAAUGUAUAAUGGAAUUCGAUGAUAUAGUAAAAACCUUUGGAAGUAAGACAGUAAAUAUGAUAGAAGCAAAACCUGUAAAUAUAGACUAUUUACUAGGACGAGAGUGGGAAUUACCUUAAAUAAAUAAACCAAUAAUAAAAUAUCCAACAUCCAGUAGCUUAUAUGAAAACCAAGAUGGAAGUGCAAGUAUAACCUUUGGAAAUUAUAAAACUGUAAAUGUAGAGGUAGAGUCAGAUAGUGAGAUAGAAACUGUGAAUGUUAUAUAAGAAGAUAUUUUACUAAACAUUGAGACAGUAGAAAACCUAUACAAAAUCUUAGAGUUAGUAAAUAUAAUGUUAGAGGAAUUUAGUAAUCCAACAUUACUAGACGAACAAGUGGAUCAAGAAAACUUUGUUAAUAUAAUGUGUAAAAACUAUACAAAUGACCAAAUAAUAGAACAACUCUAUAAAACCAAUUUAAUCAAAAAAACUUAUAGAUAUAGAAAUGAUAAAUCAAUUUACUAUUCAACCAAAAGUUAACAUCUCAAACGAAUCAAUAAAUACAAUAAAUGAAGAAAAGGAAUUUGUAAAUGUAAGAAGUGAAAUAGUAAAAUAUAAUAAGCCGUAUAGCAAGCCAAAAGGACCUCAAUGGAAAACUAAAACAGAACCUUAUAGUUUUUUGCAACCAGUAUAUAAUUCUUUGCAACCUGUAUUAUUAGAUAUAGAUAGUGCGCAAGAUCUUAGAAAAACCAUAGAAAAUUGGAAGCAAUCUUUAAAUUCAGCAGGUGUGGUAGUAUCCUUUGAAAACCAACAAGAAAUUUACGAAUUUUGUAAAAACACCCUUAGAGGAACUGUACUACAAUUUUUUAGAAACAUGGAACAAGAAAACAACAGUUAUUUUCAAGAAGUUAGAAAUAAUUUUAGCAUAUCUGUAUUUACAAAUCUAAUAAAACUUUAUUUUUUGGGAACAACACAAGAAGAUGUAAAAGAACCUGCAAUAUACUUUCAUAAGUUAGAACAAUUGAAAUUAUGUAACCUUUCAUAUAUAAGGGAAUAUGAACAAAAAUUUAGGAAAUAUGCAAUCCUUGCUAGAGUAGACAGAACCCCUGAAUAUUUAAAUAAAUAUAUAUUAAAAAUACAAGGAUCUGUAGGACUUAGACUAUGGAAUGAAUUUACAACUUCCGAGUAUAAAAAUUCUCCUUAUAUAGGUGCUAGAAUAGAAUUUGUAAAAAAUUGGUUAGAAAGAGAAUGUGUAAGCAUAGGAGAAAGAAGUCAAAUAAAGAAACAAGACAUAAAUCAACAACUUUGUAGAAAAUUACAUAUAGGAGAAAACCUAGAUAUAGGAUGUAGAGAAUAUAAGUUUAGAAAACCUAAGAGAUAUAAUAAAUUUUUAAGAAGAAAGUCAAGAACCUUUUAUAAAAAAACGACCAUAUUAGACAAAAUAUAAAAAACCUGGAAAGUUUUGGAUAAAAAGAAAAAGAACCUCAGAAAGAAAAAGACAGUGUAAAUGUUAUUUGUGUGGUCAGGAAGGCCAUAUAAGACUUGAAUGUCCUGAACUUAAAAAACUAUUAAAUGAACGAAAUAUAAAAACCCAAGUAAAAAUAAACCUAAUAAAUGAGUAUCAGCUAGAUAGUGAAGAAGAAGAACUUAUCAAUGAAUUAGACUUUGAAAGUGAAAAUUCAAGUGUAUAUAGUAUAGAAGAUAGUGAAAAUGAAAAAGAAGAAAUUUGUAUGAUUAUUGAAAAAGAGGAAAAUCAAGCUAAGAAAACCCCUUUAAAUUUAGAAAACCUUGUACAACCUUUAGAAAGUAAAAUAAAACCUUAUAAUAUAUGGAAAGAUUUACAAAUAAUAAUCAAAGGAAAAUUUUCAAAAGAAGAAGAAGAUAGUUGUUCAAAACCUAAGGACACAGAAGAACCAAAAAGUCCUGUAAAAGAACCAAUGAAUCCUGAAAAAAUAACCAUACAAACAAUAGAACAAGUAAAUAUGGCAAAUAAAGUUAAAUCUAUUAUUUUUCCAACAACAAUUAAAUUAAAAACCAUAGAAUUAAAGGUAGACGCAAUGUUAGAUACUGGAGCCAGUAAAAACCUUUUAUUUGAAACCCUAGUCCCUCAAGAAGAUCAACAAACAUUAGUUCAACCAGUAGAGUUAAUCCAAUACAAUCAACAAAAACUAAUACUAACCAAGUAUAUUUCAAACGUACCAAUCAUAAUUAAUAACAUAACCUUAGUAUUGCCCCAAACUUAUCUUGUACCUACUAUAAGUUUAUAUCCUUUUAUUUUAGGUUUAAAUUUUGUACAUUCUUUACAAGGAGGGAUAACAAUACAAAAUAACCAAGUUAGUUUUCAUCCUAAAACCACAACAAUUGUUUAUACAAACAUGGAAAAUGUAUUAAAUAAAAAUCAGAAUGUAACAUCUCAUCAAAUUAGCAAAAUGGAGGCACAAAAGGAUAACAUAAUUAAUGACUACUCAGAACAAUUAAGAAAUGCAAAUAGAUUAAAAAACCUUAUAUUAGAAGCAGAAAAAAUAGGAAUUAUAGGGGAAGACCCACAAAAACAUUGGAAUAAAAAUAAGAAAACCUGUAAAAUACCAAUUUAAAACCCAGAUUUAACAAUAAAAACGGCAGAUAUAGCAUGUAAUCUUAAGAUACAAAGGAAUUCAAAAUUCAAAUAGAAGAACUAUUACAUAAUAAGCUCAUAAAACCAAGUUUCAGUCCCCAUAGAUCCUCAGCUUUUUUAGUUAGAAACCAUAAUGAAGAAAAACGAGAAAAAGUUAGGAUGGUUAUUAAUUAUAAAAGAUUGAAUGAUAAUACAUAUGAUGAUGCCUAUAAAAUUCAAAAUAAAGAUUCUUUAAUUAAUUCUAUUCAAGGAUGUAAAUAUUUUUCUCAAUUAGACUGUAAAAGUGGAUUUUGGCAAAUUAGAUUAGAAGAAGAUAGUAAACCAUGGACAACGUUUUCAUGUCCUUGUGGAUUAUAUGAAUGGAAUGUAAUGUCAUUUGAACUAAAAAAUGUUCCACAGAUAUUCCGACGAAUGAUGAAUAAUAUUUUUGAAAAAUAUUCUUUUGUUCUUGUAUAUAUUGAUGAUAUUCUUGUCUUUUCAUAUACUCUUCAGGAACACAUAAAGCAUUUAGAAUUGAUUUUUGAAAAACUAGUUAGUCAUGGAUUAAUAGUAAGUAAAAAGAAAUUGAAAUUAUUUAAGACUCAAAUAGAAUUUUUAGGAUUAGAAUUAGAGGAUGGACAAAUAAAAUUACAAGAACAUAUAGUACAAAAAAUAAAUAAUUUUCCAGACAAACUCGAAGACUUAAAAACCUUUCAAAGUUUUUUAGGAUUAUUAAAUUAUGCUAGGCCAUAUAUUAAAAACCUUAGUAGAUUAGUUGGACCCCUUUAUAGUAAAACAAAAAACACAGGGUAGAGAUAUUUUAACUAAGAAGAUAUUAAACUUAUACAGAAAAUAAAAGAACUUGUGAAACAUCUCCCAACCUUACAUUUACCCUUAGAAAAUGAAUAUAAAAUAGUUCAAACUGAUGCUAGUCAAACAGGAUGGGGAGGUAUACUUUUAGCAAUAACUAAUAUAGGAGAAGAAAAACUUUGUAGAUAUUGUAGUGGAACUUUUAAUGAUUAUCAAAAGAACCUUAGUUCUACAUACUUAGAAAUUAAAGCAAUAAUAUUAGUCUUAGAAAAAUUUCAAUUAUUUUUGAACCAAGAACAAUUUACUUUAAGAACCGAUUGUGAGAAUAUUAAAAAAUUCUUUGAAAACAAAAAUUCUUCAAAACUGUCCACCAAAAGAUGGAUAAAGUUUCAAAACUCUUUAAUUGAUUUCAAACCUAAAUUUGAACAUAUUAAAGGAAAAGAUAAUAUACUAGCAGACUAGUUAAGUAGACAAAUAAUUAAUAAUGUUGAUGAUACUAAUGAUUGAUUUCAUGAUUACAAGAACAUGGCUCAAAGAAAACCUACGAAAGCUAGAACCUUUCAAUAUGGAACCAUUUGUCUGAACGAAGUGUUAAAUCCAAAUAUGAGGUUUAACUCUUUAUUUUCUCAAAACCUUUUUGAAGAACAUAAGGUUAUUGUAGAUAAUUUUUUGUCUCUAAAACCACAAAGUUUUUCGAACCAAAAUUUAGAAUACGCUUAUGGAAAAACAGUGUUAGCUUUAGCCCAACAUUUACAAAACCUUCAAAACCAACUGAUUGCUUUAGAAACCCAAAAAUUCCAAAACCUCAAAAUCCAAGAAAAUCAAGAAAAACUGAUAGAAUAUUUGAAAACCAGUACAGUGUCAACCAAUCAAACCAGUUGUUCGAACAAUCAACUUGAAGUAAUUAGUUUAAUUAAGAAAUCAACUCUUCUGAUUGAACAAUAUGAAAAGCUUGUUGUUAAAAACAUAAUUGGAGUUGAUAACUACUCUUUCGUCAAAACCUUUUUCCUACAAAAUCAAUAUAACAAAGUAUUUAAAAAUCAAGAACUUUUGUAUAAACAUUUUAGAACCAAAAAUGCCGGGAUAAAAACAGGGUAUAUGGCAUAUCACGACCCUGAAUUUUUCUUUGUUAUAUAUUUAGCUUAUGUAAAUAUGUCUGUUAUAAAUAUAGAAAAUUUUGAUUUAGUACCACAACUCAUGGAUCAGGGAAUUUUAAAAAAUGUUUUUAUAAACCAUAUAUCUCAAAUCCCUAAAAAUUUCCUAGAAAAAUUGAAAGAUAUUUUAACUUAUUUUUUUAAAACCGAAAAAUAUAUAGAUAUUUCUUUUGAAACCAUUUCACCUUUAUUUCAACCCGAUGGAUCAGUAGUACCAGCCUAUCAUCAUGUAUAUAUAAAACAUAAUAAAGAACAACUCAUCCCUCGAUAAGAACCAGAAUGGGAAAUGAUCCGUUUAGAUGAAUUUCCAGAAUUUUUUACUCACUUUAGAGCUUUUCAAAUCUAUGAUCUUAGACCAACCCGGAAUAAAUUAUUUCAUCUCAUUGGUUAAACAAAAACCAUGUCUAUAUGGAGAGUAAAACCUUUAGAACACAUUAUUGUUCCAAAACCUUUUAUUACUUUUGAAGAACAAGAUUUUAUAACCAAACUCAGUGUAGAUAUACCGGAACCAUCUUCCUACCUCAGCGAUGACGCAUUAUUUUGGGACAACCUGGACGAUGAAAGUUAUCAUAAUUUACAAAAUGCAAUGGAAGGGUGAUGUUAGCAAUGACGACAUUGAGGCAGUAAAUGCGUCUUCAACUACAAAAAUUCAAUGUGGCAGUACAAGUUCAGAAGCAGUAAAGACAUCUACAGGCCACGUAUUAUGCAUGUGAUAAAAAGAGAGAAGAAAAGGACAAGAAAAAAAGACAAGAAGGAAGAGAAGAACAGGUGAAUAAACAAAAGUCAAAAGUCUCAGAAGUCUUUUAUCAUCUUUGUAUUUAUUUUAUACCAAACCUCUAAACACCGUAAAUAUUUUUCCUACCGUCCAACCACUUGAAUUUAAUUCUCACCUGUAUUGUCACCUGUCACUUGUAAAUACUUUGCCUAUAAAUUAGUGGUAGUAAAAGAAAAGAAGUGUGCUCGAGAAAGUGUGUCCGAAGGUGUGUGCAACAUAGUGUAAAGUUGUCUGUGAAAGAAAACUGUAUCUUCAACCUUGUACAUUUAUCAUCAAUCAAUAAGAAAGUAAGAAUUAAUUUUCUGUUAAAUUUUUGCUUUCAUUUAGAAUAUAUUUUAUUAUGUAUUUUUCUUACCCUUAGAAAGUAUUUUUUUAAAUAGUUUUUUAACAAUAUUUUUCUUUAGUUAUAAUUUAAAAUAGAAAAUAAUGCUAAUUUUCAAUUAGUUAUAAAUAAAAUAAAAUUUAAAAACAAUGAAAAAUCUAAAUUAUUAAAAUAGAAUUAUUAUAGUUGCAUGAAUAGUGGUGCAAUAAAGACCAAAAAAGCUUAUGUGAAAGAUCAUUGGGUGUUUUAGUCCAUUAUUAUUUUAUAUCCUUAAAAGGUAAUAUAUGGAAAUUUAAAGGGCAUAUUGGUCUCUUAACAUCUUAUAUCAUUUCCAUUAAUUAUGUAAGUUAUAUGGACCAAAUGUUAAUUUUUGAACUCAAUUGGACUCAAAACACAAUUGUCCCUUUUAUUUAUACAUUCUUCUGGCAUUGACCACGUGUUUAGGAUGUGUUGCACUAAAAUCUCAUGAUAAACUUGCAGUUCAAAAUCACAAACUAGAUGUAUGUAUUAGAAACAGACCAUAUUGGGUCAUGCACAUUCUUCGUCAUUUUCUAUUUCUUAGCAACAUAUAUGACCAAAUGAAAUUAUUAUACCCUAAUUAUAUUUUUUUAACUAGGUGAUAAAGAUAAUUAAAAUAUUAUUAGAAAAAACAAUCAUAUAGGUUUAAAUAGAAUUUCACACUUAGCCGUAUGAUAACAAAUUUUGUCAAUUAAAUAAAUACAACUUAAAAUAACAAAUUAAAUAAAAAAAAUGAAUAGUUCAAUUUUAAAAUUUUUACUCCUACAAAUUCACUAAUGAUUAAAAAUAUUGCAUUUAAAAAAAAAAAAACAAAUCACUUUUUGCUUUCACAGUCUAUAUGACAUUCCAACCUUAGAUCCCAUAGUUUGAGUAAGUUUGAGGCUAGAUUUGAGACAACCCAGUGAUACUACUUCGGUUAGUUCACACAAAUUCAAUAGAUUAUCACAUAACUAGUGCAUGCAUUAUCUUGCCUAGAAUAAUAUCUUAAUAUAACUUGGGCAAAAUCAGAGAGAAGUGGUGUUUAUUGUAGUGAGAAAUCAGAGGGAAAUCAUUGAAUGAUUUAUAGGUUGUGAAAUUAGAGAGAAAAAGAUGAGCUUUGCUGGUUUGAAAUCUAGAGUCUCUGAAGACAAGCAAAGAGCAAGAUUAUGAGAAAGGGUAACUUGAGCCUCAAAAAUAUGUAAAUAUAUAAAUUUGGCAUCUAUGAAAUCGGUCAGGCCAUAAUCAACAUGUACAGUCACAACUUUUUGUUGAGACAUGUGCCUCUCAGAACAUUUGAAGUUAAGAUGUUUGUCUUCAAUUUGAUUGCUCUUUGUGACUUUGAGAUUCUCAUUCCUUUUGAUGUAAAAAAAAGAAAAAAAAAAAAAAAGAAUUAAAAGAUGUAGGGUAAAAUGUUAAAUAGUGUGAGUUUGAAUUAAUAAAGUUUUAAUCAAAAUUGGAAAUUAAGGUGAAGUAUCUAAUUUGCCUUGAUCACAAAGGAAGCAAAGAUUGACCAAUCAGAGCUUUGAGUCUUUCACUAAUCAUAUGAUGGUUUCACUUUUAAUUGUUUGAGAUAUUCCAUAUAGAUAUCCAUCAAACCUAAGGAUAAGACAUUAAAUUGUGUAAUUUUUGUAUAAUGAACUAGUUCACAAAAUGUUUAAUACUUCAAAAGUGAUAACUUACGAAGUAAAGAAUCAAUCCCAACAACUUUAGUUAGCAAAAUAAUGUCGUAAUUCUAUUUUUAACUCAUUUGAAAUACUUCUCAAAACAAUAUUCCGAAGGACAAAAAAAAUUGAAUUUAUAAUGUAGUUUCCUACAUAAUUUGAUUUCUUAUUCUUGCUUCGAGAAUCUAUCUCUUUUUUACACCAACAAAUAUGUAUAGUACAAAAUAAAAUAAAGUGUGAGGCACCGCUUUAAUCAGAAUAAUUAAUUGAAAUGAAAUGUUUGACUUGCCUUGAUUAAUAAGGACUUUCAUGGCUGACCUGAUAGAGGUUGGGCUCUUAAUGUCAUCCAUUCAGCAAUGUAUCAUACCCUACCAAAGCUUGAUCAAGUCUAAGGCUAAGCUGUAAUUGGUUUAGCUAGGAAAAAAAAAGAGAAGAAAAACGAGAUCAUUAGAAAGAAUUUUCAGUCCCUUUAAAUCACUUAGCCAUAUAAUAAAGGAUCGUAGCUCACAAAAAACUUGAGAUAAAUGUUUAGUAUCUUCUCCAGCAUAUCCAUUCAACAAAUUUGCAAAAAAGCUCCAACCGGUUGUGCAUAUGGUCCUCUUCAUCAUCUUGGGCAUCAACAACAUUACUGUCAAUAUUCUGUGUCCAUUGGAGAAUCGCUAUGCUCAGUGCACUGUGUACAGUCAUAGCUUGUUUGUGCAUUAGAAUUAGCAUCUUCUGCUGCUGAUCUGGUAUCACAACUUCUCUGCUCAUCAUUGUACUCUAUCAUUGUCUGAUGGUCGCGCUUGGUCGCUUCUGGGUUGUCACAGCUUCUCUGAGCAUCAGUACUGGUAUCUUCUGGGAUGUUUCUGUUGAUAACAUCACCUGUAUAUAUAAGAUGGAACCCCCACUCUUUCACUUCGACUGGUGUACCGUCAAAGCUACGAAAUGAAGCCUUCAAACGUCUCCAUUCGUUUGACCAAUACUGGUUGUUAAUAGCAACCUUGGGAUAACAAGUCACACACAUUUGACUUGAUUCACCACAAAUUCGGCAGCUAUAAAACAGGACAUCAUCCACGUCACAGCAUUCAGAUUGAUCACCACAGAUAUUGAGUUCGCAAUUCAACCCAUCACAAGCAAUAGGAGUAAAAACAGAGUAGAAAGCAAAUCCUAAGAAGUCAUUAUUUCUGUACCAAUCCAUAGGAAGCUCUAUUGUUAUUUGAGACCCUUUUUUUUGCUGGCUUGUCCACUCUGGAAUUCCAUUAUUUCCCGAAAUUACAACUCUGAUUGCCUUAAUCCAAUAGAAGCCGCAUUCAAAUUCCUGCACAGAAGUACAGUGUUAAUACUCUGUGUUCAUAAGGAAAAAGGGCUGAAUGUUAUGAAAAUCAUACCUCAAUUGUUGAUUUAAAGCAUUUGAACAGAGAAAAACCAAGUAGACUUGAUGGACUUGAUAAAGUUUCUAAGCAUGUGCAACUGUGGACUUCUAGAACUCGUAAACUUGGCAGAAGCUCUGGAACUUGUAGAAGCCUCUGGCAGUGACUCAAGUCAAGGACUCUCAGUUUGGAAAGUUGAAUGAUGCCUGCAAGUAUGCUACUAAAACAGUCCAUGCUUAGAUUUAGACCUGAAGCGUGCAAACACUCUAAACAUUGCAAACUCCUCACGUUCUCGGGAAAUUCCUCAAGUUUUGUACAGAAACUGACAUCUAGAAUUUUGAGAGAACUCAAAUUACAAAUGGUCUCUGGAAGACUCACAAGGUUGGUGCAAUCUGCAAGAUUCAAACAUUGAAGCCCUCUUAAAUAUUGAAUUGACGCUGGUAGUUCUUCUAUAGCAGUUCCAUCUAAAUGAAGCUUUCUUAAAUUUUCCACAUCCUCAAGGAUUUCUGGAAAGCUCCUUAAUCAUGAACAGCCUGAGCAGUCGAGAGUUGUAAGGGAUUUCAACUCACAUAUGCUACUGGGAAGAUGCUCAAGGUUUUUGCAUUCUCGCAAGCACAAGCUAUCAAGUUCUAAGGGACACUCAAUAGUGGGUAGUUCAUUGAUGGCAUUUCCCUUUAAACAAAGCUUCCGUCUGGAUUGCACAUCCUCUUAACAUUCCUGGCAAAUGGUGGGUAUCAUUGCUUUACCAUUGUUCUUUUCAUGAUCAUGGGCAUAUAUAAGAUGGAUCCCACACUCUUCCACUUUCAUUGCUUUACCACAUAAGAAGCCACAAAAUGAAGCGGUCAACUGCCUCCACCUCCGUUUAUUUGAGUGAUACUUCUCAAUCUCCACCUUGGGAUAAUAAAUCAUCCACAUAUUUGGUACAACAUCAUAGCAGUGAAACGUGGGAUAAAACCGGAGUUCAUCCACAAACUGAGAUUCAUGAGCACGCAAAGUCAAACCACACUUGAGGGAAGUUGCAUAAUUCUCCAGUGUCUCCUCAGAUUCAUUAUCAAGUGGAUCAUAGAGAGAGUACAAAACAAAACCCAACAAGUCGUUAUUUUUAUACCAAUUUUCAGGAAGCUCUGCUACCACUUUAGCUCCCUUUUUGUGAUGGCUUAUCCAUUUUGGAAUUCCACAACUUCCUGAAAUAAUAAGAUGUACUCGGGCAAAACGGUUUUCUCUAGGAUAAAUCCUGCAUUCAAAAUCCUGCACAAAAUUUAAUUAACGCGUAAAUCCCCAUGUCUCCAUAGAAAAAGUUUUGUUCUAUGAAUAUCAUACCUGAAUCAAUGAUUUGAAGCAGUUGAAUAGAGAAGACCAGAGUAGACCGGAAGAAGUUUCCAGCCGUGUGCACUCAUGUACAUCUAAGACACGCAAACUGGAUGGAAGCGCUGGAAUUUGUCGAAGCUCUUGACAGUGACCCAAGUCAAGGAGUCUCAGCAUAGAAAGUUGAUUGACCCCAGAAGGUAUGCUCCUAAAAAGAUUCCCGGUUAGAAGUAAUUGUCGCAGAGAUGAUAGGUGGCAAAUUUCAGUGGGGAUUCCUCCUUCAUCUAUACUGCAGAAAGAUAGAUCUAACACUUCCAACGAGUACAAGCAGCAAAUAUCACUCAGGAUUUCUCCUUGUAUUAGCUUUGACCCAGUUAGAAUUAAAUUCUUUAAGGAGCAUAAACCCGACAAAGAAAGCAAUUGGCAACAUGUUGAAUUUAAGCCACAAGCACGGAGAUGCUUCAAGCUUUGCAGCCUCCCUAGGUUUUGUGGCAAUUUGUGGAGUUUUGAACAGUAACUGACAUUGAGAACUUCAAGAAAGCAUAAAUUACAAAUGCUUUCUGGAAGAGUCACAAGGUUUUCGCAGCGGUCCAGAUUCAAAACUUCAAGCCUAUUCAAAUGUUCGAUUGAUGAUGGUAGCUCUUUUAUAGCCGUUUCGUUCAAGUGAAGCUCCCUUAAGUUUUCCAUAUUCUCCAAGAUUUCUGGAAAGUACUGUAAUUGUGAACAGUGAGAGCAAAAGAGAGAUUUUAGGGAUUUGAACUCCCAAAUGCUUGUUGGCAGACUCUCAAGGUUUUUGCACUCUCGCAAACAUAAGGUAUCAAAUUCAGAGGCAUGCUCAAUGGGUAGUAGGCUGAUUGUCUGACCCUUUAAACAAAGCUUUCGGUGUUCCACGUUCCUCUGACAAUCCAAGCAUCUAGCAUCCACAUCCUCAGUCUGUACUACUAUUGGAUCUUGGGAGUAUAUAGGUUGGAGCCCACACUUGAGCACCUUAAAAUGACUCUGAGGGUCCUUAAAUGUAGCCGCAAGAUACAUGAAUGGAUUGGUGGGACCGCUCUCCAGAAUAGCAGCCUUGGGAUAGAAUAUCACCCACAUUUGUUCUGAUACACCUCCAUUAUGGUAGCAUUUACAAGUAGAGCGAAAACUGAGAUGUCGCACACACAGGGAAGAAGAUCCAUAUCCUUCACUCAAUGACAGUUGACAUUGUAACUCAGUGGAGAUUGAAGAUUCAGCUUCAAGUAAAUCAUCAGAUUCAUUCUCCAAUGUAUGUGCAAAAUCAUUUUCUGGUAUAUCCUCACAUUCAUCGAGUGGAGCAUAAACACAGCAUAUAGCAAUCCCCAAGAAGUCAUCAUUUUCAUAACAAUUCUGAGGAAGCUCCAUUGUGAUUCGAUAUCCCUCUCUCUGAUUCCUUAUCCACUUGGGAAUUCCACUGCUUCCCGGAACAACAAUACAGAUUCCAUCGCCAAUGUAGUCGGAAUUAGGGAGAAAUACUCCAUUUGAACUCUUCUCGUGUUUCAAAUCCUGCACAAAUGGACAAUGUAAAUCUAGUGGGUCUGUGUCAUUAUGUGAGUUUUUAUGAGAGAGUUUGUUAUCAGUUUUCGAUAAAUUGAUUCCCAGUUUUAACUUUCUUUGAUCUAUGCUCCUGAAUCUACUUAAUAUCCCUUUUAGAUGAUGGAUAAUCAAUGAACAUGAAAGUGAGUGACAAGAUUAAGUGUGAAAACUGGAAGUGAGGGGAAACUGAAACUGGAAAGUGAGUAGAAUAAGCAGAUCUCUUCUUCACUUGCAGUAGCUCCUUCUCCAUUCAGAUUCAGAGAUCUUAGAAUUGUAGCUUCAACUUAACUCUCAGAAUCUUAAAGACAAAGUUCGCUCAAGUUUCAAAAACUCAUAGAAAAAUUUCGCCUCAUGUUUCUCUUAAUCCCAUGAGGCGAGAGACAUGCAGCACAUGCUUAUUGGCUUUUUUCCAUGCAAGUUUCAAGGUGGAGCAUCUAAUGAACUAAAACAUUCCUUCAAAUCCUAGUGGAAAUUCACACUAGAAAUUUCAGAAUUUGCUAAAGAAAGGUUUAAUUCAUUUUAUCCAUGAAUAAAAAAUCAUGUGAGGGCAUUUUAACUUCCUAAUAAUUAUUAUAUUAAACUAUAAUUCUCAUUAUUUAAACUCGUGAUCUGUAACUUUAUCAUCACAUUUUGAAGAGACUUUCGUCAUCUCUUCCAUGAAUUAAUUGAUGUUUAAGGAGGUAUAAUAAACUUUUAAUUGAAUUUAACAUUAUUUCUAUCCUUAUACUCAUCUUAAACUCUAAUUUUUUUUUUUUACUCUUAUCAAAAAAAAUAAAAACUUAACAGAAAAAAAAAAUUUCAAUUACUCCGUGUUCACGAGGAAAAAUGGCUGAAUGUUAUGAAAAUCAUACCUCAAUUGUUGAUUUAAAGCAUUUGAACAGAGAAACACCAAGUAGACUUGAUGGACUUGAUAAAGUUUCCAAGCAUGUGCAACUGUGGACAUCUAGAACUCGUAAACUUGGCGUAAGCUCUGGAACUUGUAGAGGCCCCUGGCAGUGACUCAAUUCAACGACUCUCAGUUUAGAAAGUUGAAUGAUGCCUGCAAGUAUGCUACUAAAACAGUCCAUGCUUAGAUUUAGACCUGAAGCAUGCAAACACUCUAAACAUUGCAAACUCCUCAGGUUCUUGGGAAAUUCCUCAAGUUUUGUACAGAAACUGACAUCUAGAAUUUUAAGAGAACUCAAAUUACAAAUGGUCUCUGGAAGACUCACAAGGUUGGUGCAAUCUGCAAGAUUCAAACAUUGAAGCCCUCUUAAAUAUUGAAUUGAUGCUGGUAGUUCUUUUAUAGCAGUUCCAUCUAAAUGAAGAUUUCUUAAAUUUUCCACAUCCUCAAGGAUUUCUGGAAAGCUCCUUAAUCGUGAACAGCCUGAGCAGUUGAGAGUUGUAAGGGAUUUCAACUCACAAAUGCUACUGGGAAGACGCUCAAGGUUUUUGCAUUCUCGCAAACAUAAGCUAUCAAAUUCUAAGGGACACUCAAUAGUGGGUAGUUCAUUGAUGGCACUUCCCUUUAAACAAAGCUUCCGUCGGGAUUGCACAUCCGCUUGACAUUUCCGGCAAAUGGUGGGUAUCAUUGCUUUACCAUUGUUCUUUUCAUGAUCAUGGGCAUAUAUAAGAUGGAUCCCACACUCUUCCACUUUCAUUGCUUUACCAUGUGAGAAGCCACAAAAUGAAGCCGUCAACUGCCUCCAUUUAUUUGAGUGAUACUUCUUCUCAAUCACCACCUUUGCAUAAUAAAUCAUCCACAUUUUUGGUACAACAUCAUAGCAGCGAAACGAUGGAUAAAACUGGAGUUCAUCCACAAACUGAGAUUCAUGAGCACGCAAAGUCAAAGAACACUUGAGGUAAGCUGCAUCAUUCUCCAGUGUCUCCUCAGAUUCAUUAUCAAGUGGAUCAUAAAGAGAGUACAAAACAAAACCCAACAAGUCGUUAUUUUUAUACCAAUUUUCAGGAAGCUUUGCUACCACUUUAGCUCCCUUUUUGUGAUGGCUUAUCCAUUUUGGAAUUCCACAACUUCCUGAAAUAAUAAGAUUUACUCGGGCAAAAAGGCUGUCUCUAGGAUAAAUCCUGCAUUCAAAAUCCUGCACAAAAUUUAAUUAACACGUAAAUCCCCAUGUCUCCAUAGAAAAAGUUUUGUUCUAUGAAUAUCAUACCUGAAUCAAUGAUUUGAAGCAGUUGAAUAGAGAAGACCAGAGUAGACCCGAAGAAGUUUCCAGCCAUGGGCACUCAUGUACAUCUAAGACACGCAAACUGGAUGGAAGCGCUGGAAUUUGUCGAAGCUCUUGACAGUGACCCAAGUUAAGGAUUCUCAGCAUAGAAAGUUGAUUGACCCCAGAAGGUAUGCUCCUAAAAAGAUUCCCACUUAGAUGUAAAUGUUGCAGAGAUGAUAGGUGGCAAAUUUCAGUGGGGAUUCCUCCUUCAUCUAUUCUGCAGAAAGAUAGAUCUAACACUUCCAACGAGUACAAGCAGCAAAUAUCACUCAGGACUACUCCUUGCAUUAGCUUUGACCCAGGUAGAAUUAAAUUCUUUAAGGAGCAUAAACCCAACAAAGAAACCAAUUGGCAACAUGUUGAAUUUAAGCCACAAGCACAGAGAUGCUUCAAGCUUUGCAGCCUCCCCAGGUUUUGUGGCAAUUUGUGGAGUUUUGAACAGUAACUGACAUCGAGAACUUCAAGAAAGCAUAAAUUACAAAUGCUUUCUGGAAGAGUCACAAGUUUUUUGCAGCCCUCCAGAUUCAAAACUUCAAGCCUAUUCAAAUGUUCGAUUGAUGAUGGUAGCUCUUUUAUAGCCGUUUCAUUCAAGUGAAGCUCCCUUAAGUUUUCCAUAUUCUCCAAGAUUUCUGGAAAGUACUGUAAUUGUGAACAGUGAGAGCAAAAGAGAGAUUUUAGGGAUUUGAACUCCCAAAUGCUUGUUGGCAGACUCUCAAGGUUUUUGCACUCUCGCAAACAUAAGGUAUCAAAUUCAGAGGCAUGCUCAAUGGGUAGUAGGCUGAUUGGCUGACCCUUUAAACAAAGCUUUCGGUGUUCCACGUUCCUCUGACAUUCCAAGCAGCUAGCAUCCACAUCCUCAGUCUGUACUAUUGGGUCUUGGGAGUAUAUAGGUUGGAGCCCACACUUGAGCACCUUAAAAUGAUUGCGAGAGUCUAUAAAUACAGCAUUAAGAUGCAUGAAUCGAUUGGUGUGACAGCUCUCCAGAAUAGCAGCCUUGGGAUAGAAUAUCACCCACAUUUGUCCUGAUACACCUCCAUUAUGGUAGCAUUUACAAGUAGAGCAAAAACUGAGAUGUCGCACACACAGGGAAGAAGAUCCAUAUCCUUCACUCAAUGACAGUUGACAUUGUAACUUAGUGGAGAUUGAAGAUUCAGCUUCAAGUAAAUCAUCAUCUUCAUUUAGGACUUCGUCACCAGAUGGAUUCUCCAAUGUAUGUGCAAAAUAAUUUUCAGGUGUGUCCUCACAUUCAUAGAUUGGAGCAUAAACAGAGCAUAUAGCAAUUCCCAAGAAGUCAUCAUUUUCAUAACAAUUCUGAGGAAGGCCCAUUGUGAUAUGAUAUCCCUCUGUCUGAUUCCUUAUCCACUUGGGAAUUCCACUGCUUCCCGGAACAACAAUACAGAUUCCAUCGCUAAUGUAGUCGGAAUUAGGGAGAAAUACUCCAUUUGAACUCUUCUCGUGUUUCAAAUCCUGCACAAAUGGACAAUGUAAAUCUAGUGGGUCUGUGUCAUUAUGUGAGUUUUUAUGAGAGAGUUUGUUAUCGGUUUUUGAUAAAUUGAUUCCCAGUUUUAACUUUCUUUGAUCUAUGCUCCUGAAUCUACUUAAUAUCCCUUUUAGAUGACGGAUAAUCAAUGAACAUGAAAGUGAGUGACAAGAUUAAGUGUGAAAACUGGAAGUGAGGGGAAACUGAAACUGAAAGUGAGUAGAAUAAGCAGAUCUCUUCUUCACUUGCAGUAGCUUCUUCUCCAUUCAGAUUCAGAGAUCUUAGAAUUGUAGCUUCAACUUAACUCUCAGAAUCUUAAAGACAAAGUUCGCUCAAGUUUCAAAAACUCACAGAAAAAUUUCGCCUCUUGUUUCUCUUAAUCCCAUGAGGCGAGAGACAUGUAGCACACGCUUAUUGGCUUUUUUCCAUGCAAGUUUCAAGGUGGAGCAUCUAAUGAACUAAAACAUUCCUUCAAAUCCUAGUGGAAAUUCACACUAGAAAUUUCAGAAUUUGCUAAAGAAAGGUUGAAUUCAUUUUAUCCAUGAAUAAAAAAGCAUGUGAGGGCAUUUUAACUUCCUAAUAAUUAUUAUAUUAAACUAUAAUUCUCAUUAUUUAAACUGAUGAUCUUUCACUUCAUCACGACAUUUUGACGAGACUUUUGUCAUCUCUUCCAUGAAUUAAUUGAUGUUUAAGGAGGUACAAUAUUUUUUAAUUGAAUUUAACAUUAUUUCUAUCCUUAUACUCAUUUUAAACUAUUAUAUUUUUUUUUUAUAGUUUUAUCAAAAUAAAUAAAAACUUAACAAAAAAUAAAUAAAGAUUUCAAAACAAACUUUAUAGAGUUAUCAACACUUAUUUACAUCAUUCUUUAAAAAAAAUUAUAAUUAACAAAAAUGUGAUAUAAAAAUUAUAAAGAAUAAAAUUUUUUGAAAAAUGUACUAGUUAUUUGAAAUCAAAAUUCCUAGUCAAUGAAUCGUCAAAAAACUGCAAUAGCUAUGCAAAUGAGAAAAAUAAAUAAAUUAAAAGUAAAAAAAGAAAUUAUCAAUGUCAAGAAUGAGAAACCAUUUAUUUCCUUUUUUUUUUGUAAACUUUUUUUUAUUCUGAUUGUAUGUAUUCAUUACAAUUUUUAAAUUAAUAAAUAAUGUUUUUAUCACAAAAUUUAAAAAUGGCAUCUAUCAAAAUUUAUAUAUUGUUAUUAGAUUUUUAUAAAUUUCAUUUAUAUCUUCAAAAUUACAAACUCCUUUCCAUUAUUAUUUCUUAUUUUUCUUAUUGAAAAUGCAUCUUUAUUCAUCAUUUGAAAGCAUAACACUUUGAAUCUUAGGAUGUACUUCUUUCUUCCUAGGCAUUGCACUCUCAUAGGACCCAUUAAAUCCAUAUGCAACAUCUCUAAGAUCCUAGAAGAAGAGAGAAUCAGUUUUCUCUCUCAUUCAUGCGAAUUCAUUUUCUUAGAUGGGACAGAUUUUAGGAUUUUUAGGUUUUCCUAAAUGGGAAGUGCUUUAACUAGUUCUUUAAUUGUAAUCCUAGACAAAUCAUUAGAGUUUAAAUGCGCUACCAUACAAUGCUACUGUCUUUGGAUGUAAAUUUCACAUUUUACAACUAUGUGCACUAGAUGAUAAGGAAGAAGUAGAGAGGUGCACAAAGGCAUAACAAAAAUUACCAAAAAUUUGAUUUCAUACCAACACACAUCCUUGAAUAGACACUGAUUUGGAGUAAAAUGAACAAAGCAUAUACAAUCACAAAUUUAAGUUGCAUUAAUUAAGUUUGCUUUCAAUCCAAUAUAUAGUAACUCCUCGAGUAUAGGUAAAUUUGGACCUUCUAUGGUACCUUUCACUUUCGAGUUGGUUAUAUGUAAUACAACCAUCCCUAAAUACAACCAAGCUUCCCUUUAAGGUUCAAACGUGGAGAAAAACCAUAAGUUCAUUAUUUCUUUAACCAUUCCCAAAUACAACCAAACUCCUUUUAUGAGUUCAAAAGUCGAGAGAGAUCCAAGUUCUCUGUCAUACAACUAGAGUAGCCACUCUCAAAAUCCACAACGUGUUUUUCUCUAGCUCUUAGACCCUAUGGUCAACUAAGGCUUUUUGGUUCUCCUUAACCUAGAUUUUCUUUCCAACAGACAAUUUAAAUCCUAUUUAAGAAUUGUUUUUAAAAUUAAUUUCUCAGUUCUUAAAAAUAGAAACCUAUUUUGUAGACUAAAACCAUGUUUGGCAACUUUUUGACAUAUUAUAGUUUUUUGAGAACUUGUUCUGAAAAUAAGGUUUCUCCUAAUAACAUAUUUUAAUUGCUUUCAAUUGUUUUCAUUUAUUUUGUAAGGUUGUUUUAAAAAAAUAAUGGUACAUAUAUAAAGAAUGAUGAAAAAUAAAGAACUAAAAGUAAAAGUUAUUUUUAAUAAAUAUUUGGAAAUACAAAAAAUAUAUUAAAAACAUUCUAAGUUUGUAAAUAGACUUUUAUUCUAGAAAACAUCAGACCAACUAUUUUUGAAUCAUGCAAAUUGGGCACACAUUUUCUAUGCCUAGUUUUCUGCCCAAGGCCCUGUAAAUGAACACAACCUCAAUUUUAAGGAGUUUCAAAACGAUGGUUGCUUUCUCGAAGGGGAGAGGAGUUUCGAAGGGUGGUAAGAGUUUGUUUGCAAUGGAAUCAAAGACAUUCGAAAUCCCCAUUGAAGGGAUUCGAGGCAACAGAUGGGAUUAUUCCGAAAAGGAACAAAGGCUUCUCCUCAUAGAUAAAAUUUGGUGAAAAGAGCUUCAGUUUUCUGUUGGAAGGGGUGGAAGACUAGUGCAGAGGAGAGUCAAGCUCGAGGCACCUUAAAGUUUAGGAAGAAGAAGGAAGAAAAUAUAGGUUGGAGUGUCGUUCAAAUGAAGCCGAUAGGUAUCUACUAUGCUCGAUGAGGGAUUUGGAAGCUAAGAGGUUUUGUCUAGUGUUUCCAGAAGGUAAAGGCUUAGUAGGAGGGUGGUUUCUGUUGGCUUAGAAGUUAAGGGCCCUUGGAGUUUCUACUCCAGCCUUGAGUAAAGGUGAUCUGGGUACUUCCAACUCUGAAAAGAAUGGUUAUAUGGCCAAAGGAAAAGAUAAAGGGAAAGGAGUGUAUGCAGAAGUCGUGAGAAAGGAGGUAGGGGAAUUAGGGGAUGCAUUGUGAGUGCAUGUUGGGGAUCGUGACCUGCUCAGUAGGGAAGAACAGCUUAGCCAUUGUUUAGUAGGAUGUUUUGGUGAUAGUGUAGAGGUCGUCCCUUCUUUGUCCUUAUUGAAGGAGUGGGCGUGUGAAAAGUGGUAUCUCAAGGGAGGUUUAUAAAUCUCCAAUUUGGGUGGAGCCCUUGUGUUGUUCGAAGUUGAAGAUAAAAGUUGAAGUGGAUUUGGUGCUUUUAAGGGGUAGUAGAUGUCUUAAGAAGAGAGAGUUUUUCCUGCAGAAAUGGGGACUUGAAGUUGGGUGUUUUAGAAAUGGGAGCCACCCUAAGGAAGUGUGGGUGAAAGUUGUCGGACUUCCACUUCACCUUUGGAGUAGAGAGGUGUUCAAGAGUAUUGGAGAAAGAUGUGGUGUUUCAUAGCUGUGGAUAAGGAAACUGCUUUCUCCUCCGAGUUGAUGUGGGCUCGUAUCUUGCUGAGAGCCUUUGGGAAGUUUAGACCAGGAACUUCACAAGUGGCAGUCGGGAAUUUUUGUUGGACGGUGAGUCUAUGGUGGAAAACUCCCCCAUGGUUCUCAAAGGUAGUGGCAAGGUUCGCCUAGUUUGAAAAUGAGAGACGAGAGAUCAGGGAUGAGGUUGGGGGUGAAACACGUGCCGAAGUUAGCGUGCAAUAUGUUCAAAAUUUUCAAAUUGAUAUGCAGUCUUGGGGGACAGGGGCGCAGGUUGUGUGUGGCAGAAGGAAAAGAAAGGAAGUAGUUGUAAUGGUUGCAAAGGGUAAGCUGCCUAGUGUAGCUGAUAUGGACUCUUCUUGCAGUGGGUCUGGGCCCAUAAAAGAAAAUGGGAAGGCUUUCAAAGGGAAUGGUUGUUUGGGCUUUAGUGGUGAAGUGGUUUGGGCCAAAGGCCCAUUGUCCGUUAGCCUUGAAGAGGCGAGCUUAGGUAAGUCUCCUAAGCCCACUUUUAAUAAGGCUGGCACAAGCUUUUUGGAGCGUCCCUCCUCAGCUAGGGCUCCAUCUAUUCCCGCAGGGGGUGUUGGGGGACGGAUGCGAAGCUCUUGGCUGUUGAAGUUGCAGUCACCGCGGAGUUGCUGCCACAUCGUCGGAGCGUCACUGACAAGGCUCUGAUGGAGGAGGCUUCCAGGUAUUAAGCUAUUCCCAAUUUUUCUUUGUUUUUAGGGCUUCGGGAAUCCUCUUCUUCUUCUCUCUGGGGCCACACCGAAGUUGUAGGGGUGUCGAAGGGGUUUGCUUAUGGAACGGAAUGGGAGUUGGGUCGGUUUCCACCGAGUGUGGUGCGGAAUAGAGCUGAGUCGACUUUAUGAGGCUGGAGUGAGCCUUCUUGGGACUCGGUUGACGCUAAGAGAGUGAAUGGGUUAGCACUUGUCCCGAUGAGGUCGGACUUUACGCGCCUUUUUGAGAAAAGGAGUGUCUGUCACCUAGAAGAAGGGGGAUGUGAUGAAGGGUAAGGGGGAUGUGAUGAAGGGUGGAGUUCAAGCCGUCUUGCGGUGUUCAGUCGCUGCUUGGGUAUGCCAACGAAAGGCUUCGAAAAGGAAAUUUUGUACUUCUUAAGGAGAAUGACAGGGAAAAUUGAGUAAAAGGGUAAGAGAGGGGUGACUAGGAAGACAAGUUUAAAAUCUUCAAAAUCCAACAAGGAACUCAAGAAGCUGGAGUGGACUGUUAAAGAGGCUAAUGAUAGGGGUAAAAGGAAGAUUAUCAAGUCAGUCAUUAAAUCCCAAAGAGUGGACCUGGUUUGUUUACAGGAAACUAAAAUUAAAGAAAUGACUACAGGGCUUGUUCGUAGUCUAGGGGUGGGAAGAAAUCUAAAAUGGAGAGCAGUCAAUCCUAGGGGAGCAGCUAGUGGUAUUCUGUUGUUCUGGGACAAUAGACUGGUGGAGCUGGUUGGCUAGGAAGAAGGGGUUUUCUCAAUUUGGCGUUGGUUUAAAAAUUGCAUGGAUGGUGUAGUGUGGGUGUUCACUGGAGUGUAUGGGCCAGUAUGCAAUAGAGAUAGAGAGGAUUUCUGGAAGGAACUAGGGUCAAUUAAAGGGUUAUGGAGUGACCCUUGGUGUGUAGGAGGGGAUUUCAAUUUGGUAAGGUUUCCAAAAGAGCGUAGUAGGAGAGGUGGGCUUAUUGCUUCAAUGAGGAGAUUCUCAAAAGUGAUAGAAGAUUUGGAGUUGAGGGAUUUUCCUUUGACGGGGGGCUCAUUUACUUGGAGAGGAGGCUUGAAUAACCAGGCCCAGUCUAGGCUUGACUGGUUCUUAUUGACGAACAACUGGGAUAAUCUGUUCAAUGGGGCCAUGCAGGGAAUUCUCCCCAGACCUGUCUCAGAUCAUUUCCCGAUCCUCCUAGGAGGAGGGUUGACGAAGGGACCUUCCCCUUUCAGAUUUGAGAAUAUGUGGUUGGAGGAGGAGGGUUUCAAAGACAAGAUGAAGACAUGGUGGGGGAGUUUAAAAUUUACGGGGACAUCCAACUACAUUUUAAAUGCUAAAUUGGGGACUCUUAAAAAUAUUCUGAAGAUUUGGAAUAAAGAAGAGUUUGGGCUCUAUUGGGAUGAAAAGAAGAAAUGUGCAGCUUUAAAUAUAAAAGAGUGUGAAGCAAGAAAUGGAGCAAGAGUCCUACAAGUCUUGGGUGACGAGAGAAGAGAUUUUUUGGAGACAAAAGUCUAGGAAGUUGUGGCUGAAGCGGGAGGGGGGACAAUAAUACUAGAUUUUUUCAUAGGUUGGCGAAUGCUCAUAAUAAAAGAAUCUAGUUGUCCAAGUUGAAAGUUAAUGGCUAUUGACACUCAGAGGAAAAUAAUUUAAAAAAGUGUGGUGGGGGCGUUUCAAAAACCAUACUCAAAAGAAGAGGGGUGGCGCCCUAGUAUCGACAGGUCGUCCUUUAUAGGUUAGAUAGAAGUGAGGCUGAGGGGUUGGAGAAUCCUUUCUCGGAGGAAGUGGUGUUUGCAGCUCUUUCAGAUCUAAGCAAAUACAAAGCCCUAGGGCCGCAUGGUUUUACCAUGGCAUUUUGGUUUUUUUGGUGGGAUGUGGUGAAGGUUGAGAUUAUAGGCUUUUUUAGAGAAUUUCAUGAAAGGGGUAGAUUUGUAAAAUCUCUAAAUGUCACCAUCUUGGGUUUAGUCCGUAAGAAGGGAGGUGCUCAAGAUUUGAAGGAUUUCAGACCGAUUAGCCUUGUGGAGCCUUUACAAGUUGUUGGCCAAGUGUUGCCAAAUAGAAUCAAGAAGGUAAUGGGAAAAGUGAUUUCGGAACCCAAAAUGCCUUUGUGAAGGGUAGAUAAAUACUUGAUGCAGUUUUGAUUGCAAAUGAGGCUACGAAUUCUAGGUUGAAAAGCAGUCAAGGGGGUAUGAUGUGCAAAUUGGAUAUAGAGAAGGCCUAUGAUCAUGUCUGCUAAAAGUUCGUGUUGGCAAUGCUAAAAAAAAUAGGCUUUGGUGAGAGAUGGAUUAAGUGGAUGGAGUGGUGUAUCUCUAUUAUAAGAUUCUCUGUUCUUAUAGAUGGUUCUCCCUCCGGGUUUUUCCAAAGUUCAAGGGGUUUGAGACAAAGAGACCCCUUAUCCCCUUAUCUGUUUGUGAUAGUUAUUGAGGUAUUUAGUUGCUUAUUGAGAAGGGCCAUUAGUGGGGGCUUUAUAUUAGGGUGGAGGAUAAGAGGCAGGGUGGAGAGGGGAUUCUGAUAUCUCACUUGCUUUUUGCGGAUGACACCUUGGUGUUUUGUGAGGAGUCUCAGGAUCAAUUGACGCAUCUAAGCUGGCUUCCCAUGUGGUUUGAGGCUUGCUCAUGGUUGAGAGCUAACUUGGAGAAGAGUGAGCUUAUUCCGAUGGGGAGGGUAAAAGAUAUAGAAUAUUUGGCUUUGGAAUUGGGCUAUAAAGUGGGUGGUCUGCCUUCCUGUUAUUUGGGUCUGCCUUUAGGGGCACCCUUCAAAUCAGAGGUGGUAUGGGAUAGUGUUGAAGAGAGGUUUCGAAAAAGGCUAACUAUAUGGAAGAGACAACAUAUAUCAAAAGGGGGAAGACUCACCCUAAUAUGAAGCACUCUCUAGUUUGCCAGUUUACUUCAUGUCUCUCUUCUUUUUGCCCAAAAAAGUAAGGCUAAGGUUGGAGAAGAUUCAGAGGGACUUCCUGUGGGGAAGAGGAGCUCUUGAACAAAGGUCACAUCUUGUUAGGUGGAACUUGGUUUGUCUGGAAAGAAAGAAAAGUGAUUUGGGUGUGAGAAAUUUAGCUUUGAUGAAUAAAGCUCUCUUGGGUAAGUGGAAUUGGCGCUUUGCCAUUGAAAGUGAGGCUUUGUGGAAGCAAGCGAUCGGUCACAAAUAUGAUGUAAAGGAGGGGGGAUGGUGUACUCGGGCCGUAAGUGGGAGGCAUGGUGUAGGGCUUUGGAAAGCUAUUAGAAAGGAGUGGUUGGGUAUGUAUAGAAGUUUAGUCUAUCGCGUGGGCAGUGGUAGGAAAGUGAGAUCCUGGAAGGAUAAGUAGUAUGGAGAUGAGCCUCUUUAGGAGUCCUUCCCUUCUUUAUUUGCCAUUUCCUUGGCUAAAGAUGUUUGGGUAUCAGAUGUGUGGAAACCAGAUGGUGUAGAGGAUGGUUGGACCCCUCUUUUCUCAAGGGCGCUUAAUGAUUGGGAGAUUGAGAUGGUGGAGCAGUUUAUGCUAAAAAUCCAAGCCUUUAGGGUGUAAAGGGAGGACGAGGAUACAGUGGUAUGGACAGCAUCUAAAAGUGGAGGACUAGUAUUUGGAGAGCGUAUGUGCCUCCUAAGGUAACUUUCUUCGCUUGGGAAAGCAUCCUGAGGCAAAAUCUUAACUUUGGAGCAACUCCAUUGAAAGGGGUACUCUUUGGCAAAUAGAUGUUUUCUUUGCCUUUCUGAAGCAGAAAGGGUGGAUCACCUUUUACUUCAUUGUGUUAAGACACGGGCAUUGUGGAAUCUUCUUUUUUCCCUCUUUGGUGUGACUUGGGUUCUCUCUGGUUUAGUUAAGGAAACUCUCCUUGGUUGGCAUGGAGCAUUUGUGGGAAAAACCCGUAAAAAGGCGUGGCAAAUGAAUCAUUUAUCUAUAUUUUGGUCAAUAUGGAAGGAAAGAAAUUUAUUGGCUUUUGGGAAUGAGGUGUUUUCACUCCAAAGGUUGAAACAUUCUUUUGUAUGUAAUUUUUGAUCUUGGGUUAGGGUGUUUAUAGUUUUGAGCCCUUGUUCUCUUGUUAGCUUUUUUGAGUGGCUAGGCUCUAAGUAAGGGUAGGGGUUGUCGUUUCUUUCCCCUUUCUUGGUUUAGAGUAUGUGGGUUGCUUUUGUAUACUCCCUGUAUACUUAGAGGGCACUAGUUUGGUGUUUCCUCUUUUUGUUUAAUAUAUUUCUUUUUACCUAUCAAAAAAAAAAAAAAAAAACUAUUUUUGAGAACUUUUUUCAAUAACCGUUUUUUAAGAUUUAUUUUCAAAAAAAAUUCCUAAACAAAGCCUUAACCUUCAAGGAUCUAAAACUUUGCACUAAGUUUGGUGUUUUAUUGUUGGAUUUUCUUAGUCUUGCAAGCUUUAUGAUGAUCUUGCAAUAUUUUCUUUAAUUUACUAUUCAUUUUACCUGAGCAUUAAGUUUGGCUAAGUAUUGAAGAAUAACCUUGGCAUACAUUCAACUUCUUUUAUGGACAAAGGAAUGGAGCUAGAUCAGACUUUCUUUAAAUUUAGUCAAUUCUGAUUUACGUGACUCAUAAUCAGAUUGUAAAACAUUCAAAUUUUUUAACAAGGUACCUUGCUCAUUUUCAAGGUAAGAGAUUUUUUUCAAGCAAGGAAGUCUUCUCUCAUACUUCUUUUAUUCUCAUCCAACUUUCACAAUUUUAAUCUUAAGGCUUCCUUGGCAAUCUCAAAAGACAACUUUUCUUCCAAAUAUGUUGUAUCAUGAGAUGAACCUUCAAAAUUUUCAGAUUCAAGAUCAGUUUCAAAUUUAACAUUUUUCUUUUCAUUGCAAAGUGAUAUAGAAGGUAACAAGUAUAUCAACAAUUUCGUCAGGCUCAUCAUGCUCAAAAGACACAAAUAUCAUCAAUGUCAUGUGACAAUAAAUCAUAAUUAUGUUUAUGCAUGUUUCUAGCAACUUAAUGCAAUGAAAUUUGUACAUUCUUCAUCAAAAUCAUACCAAAUUACUUCUAUGACUUUAUCCUUUUGACAUUCAAGAAAGUGACCUUUCUUGACACAAUAGAAACUUUGAAUCAACUAGAUCUUUUUUGUGCUUUUUAAUCUUUUUAUCACAUUUCUUUUCCCUUGUUUAAUCAAAUAGGUUAUCCUUUGUUUCUGGAAGCUUUUUGAACUUUUUGAAACUUUAUCAAGCCUAUAAAUUUCCAAUAUUGGUCCUUUUUUAUUCCUAUUCUGAUUUAGAAGCAUGUUUAUCUACUCCUAGUGCAAUAUUAAUGUUUCUUUUUCUUAGGAACACUUGGAGUCAUCUCCAAUUGAAGGAAGCCAACUAUCUCAUCUGGCUUUAUUGAAUCAACAGUGUUCCAUUCCUCUAUUGUUAUGACCUUAGGUCUAAAACGAUCAAAGGGGAUCUUAACAGUUUUUCGAGUAACCUUGGAAUCAGGUAGAGGCCUACAUAGAUUGAAAGUUAGCAUUCACAAUGUCCAUGAUUUCAAUAAUAUAUUAAGAAAAUAAUUUUGUUGUGAUCAUUUGAAAUUCAUUACUUCACCUAUCCCAACUUUACAUAGUUUUACCUACCCUAGUGGAUAUACAUCCAAUCUCUAUUUAGCACCUUAUCAGGAUAUCAACAAAAUUGAACAGAACUCCAAUCUCUAUUAGACUUCAUUUUCAAGAAGUAUAUCAGUUGCACCUUGGAGUGAGUAUAAUUAUCUCCUUUGAAGUAUGGAGGUCUACCUAUAGAGGUUCCUUCUCAGAGAAUUUCCAUCUUAAGAGAAUAUAGUUUAUCCAUAUUGAGAACAUGAGCAAACAUGUUUUGACACAAUUUAUGAGUUUUUAAGAGAGUAUGCAAUGAACUUGAGAUCUCUUUUAGAUUAUCAAAUAACAUAUGCACAUGAAUGUGAUUGCGUGAUUAGCACAAGGUCAUAGACUAAAAUGUCUCUAAUGAAAUCUCAGCAAACAAGCACACAAAUAUUGCACAAGAUAUAACAUGAAAAAUCUCUAAGUGGAGAAAGGAAAAUAAAUAAAUAAAUAACAGUGGGUGCCUUUGUUGUUGCAAAUCCACUAUGAAUAUAAAUCCAGUUUUGCCUACAAGUCCUCCAAGAUCAAUCACCAAUCCCCUUAAGGAAUCCUCAAAGUGAUUAUUUCUUCAAUCCACACCUCGUUUUGAUAUGCUUCAAUACGGCUCAUCAUGUACUCACCACCAAUCUCUCACCAUAGCCUCCUUCAACUCUCUUCAAUUACCACGAGUUUUCUUCUGCUCUACUAAUUACAUUACAACAGAAUCACCUUCAUUAUCUCAUUGAAGUGAUCUCCAAAAACUAGAAAACAAAAAUUCCAUUUGCAAAGCAACUUCUUCAUAUAGAUUCAGAGAACCAAAAUAAGAAGAUGUUUUCACUUGUAGCAACAUCUUCAUGUAGAUUCAGAGAACUCAAAUUGUAACUUCAAAUUCACUCUUAGAAUCUCAAUUAAGGUAAAGCUCACAUUUCAAAAUCUCCCACCAAGAGUUUCACUUACUCUUCCUUUUUGAAAUGAGAGUAGAACCAACUUAGUGCCAAGGGACAUAAGGCACACUCUUAUUGGCCUAUUGUCAUGCAAAUUUCUAGGUGGAGGAGAAUCCAACUAACUAAACAAAUGUUUUUUCGCUUCUGGCCAUUUGUUUCUAUGGUCUAGAAAAAUAUGUCCUAGAUGAUUCCCAUUGUUUCAACUCUUUCAUGAAAAAUGCUUCUCAAAUCACUCACUCCAGUCUUUCAUUCACAUUACCUGUGAACUCCAAUCUGCAGUAGUGAAAUCCUAUCAAAAGACUUGGAUUGAGUUCCUGGUUCUCGGUUGCCUAGCUCUAGCAAACCAGGACUUCUGUUAGCAACCUGGAACAAGUAGCUUAUCCUUUCAAUCCCAUUUUCAAGCUCAAUUCCCUCCACCAGUGAAAACAAAUGGUCUUAUAUAAUCAACUCCAUUCACUCCAGGGCUAUACAGGAAACACUUGUGAGCUGGCAGGCAGUAGCUCCUCCCGACUCACCAUAUUUCCAACCCCAUUUGCUCCAUCAAAUUCAUAAGAAGCUAACAAAAUAACUAGCAUUAUAUAUCAUACAAUAUCUAUGCUAGUUAAUUUACAUGGAAAAUGCAAUUUCUACCCUAAAUAUGCCAACAUACAGGAAUACAUACAAUUUAUACAAACAUUGCACGCUAACACAAGAAAAUCAUACCUGACUUGCUGAUUUGAGGCAAUUCACCAGAGAAUGCAUAGGUGGCAAUGAGAUCCCAAUUGAGCUGUGACAAUCUAACAGUCGCAGACUUGAAGGAAGCUCUGGAAUUUGUGAAAGCUUCUUGCAGUGACUCAAGUCAAGGGCUCUAAGGUUAGAGAGUUGACUGAUACCCACAAGUAUGUCACUGAGGGUUCCUCCUUCCUCUGGACUGCACCGACUUAGAUUUAAUACUUCCAGUGAGGAUAGAUGGAAAAUACAAUGGAACACUCCUCCAUUUAGAAUGCAAUUUCCUAGACUAAAUUCUUUCAAUGCGUUCAAGCAGUUAUCACUCUUUAUUACUCCUGGUGUUAGAUUGCAUUGAUCUAAAUAUAGUUCCCUUAAGAGAGAUAAACCUGACAGAGAAGGCAAUUGACAACUAAGCGAAUUUAAAUAAAGAACCUCUAGACAUGGCAUUCUCUCCAAGUCCUCCGGCAAUCUGUCAAGUUUUGAGCAGCCUUCAAGACUUAGAACAACAAGAAAUCUCAAAUUACAAAUGCUGUUCGGGAGACCCUCAAGGUUUUUACAAUUAUCCAAAUUCAAGUAGCGAAGGCCUUCUAGAAGUUCAAUCGAUGAUGGUAGCUCUUUUAUAGCUGUUUCAUCUAAACAAAGCUCCUCUAGUUUUGCAAUAUUGCUCUUGAUUUUUGGAAAACUAGCUAGUUUUGAACAGCCAGUGCAAUGAAGAGUUAAAAGGUGUUUCGACUCAUGAAUGUCCCCAGGAAGACUCUCAAGGCUUACACACCCUAUAAAAUUCAAGGAAAAAAAAAGUUAGUUUAAUAACACUCUUAUAUGUGUGUGAACCUUAAGUAAAAUUAUACAACCUGAAAGAAUUAGUUCCUCCAAAUUUGGCACGUUUGAGAAAUUUGGUAGCUCAAUGAGUUGUUGUGAAUCGCUGAGAUUGAUGCGCCUUAAAUUUCUAAGACACUGGAACAAAAUAGAAUUUCUAUUAAUAAAUCAAUUUUAAAAAACUUUAAAAUAUUAUAAAAUAAAAGCACAAAUAAAUAAUAAUCAUACCAUGUUUCCUUUCCAAAGUAGUUUUAUGUUACUAUUGCCCAAUAUGAGGGAAACAAGAUUGUUCGCAUGAAAGUUUGAUGGUAGAGAUUCUAAAGAAUAUCCAUUCCAUCUAAGGUAUGUCAAGUCAUACGGAAAUACAAAAUCUUUAGAGAGUUGUACGUGAUUGUGGGAGAUGGAAAGCAAUCUAAGUCUAUGCAUCCUUUCGAAAGCUUUGGAUGUAAACUGUAUUUGUUCUGAUUUGUCCACAUGAAGAUAUAUCCCUUCGAUUUUUUCAGUCCCCUAGAUAAUAAGAGUAUAAAAUUAGAAAAGCGCAAUAAAUAUAAAUCCUUACUAAGGUGAUAAAGAUAAAUAACGUCUUGAACAAAACAUAUUUUCUAUAUAUAUAUAUCUUACCGUAUUUCUUUUUAAUACUCGAUAAAUAUCUAUAUGUCUCCAUAAUCUGCUCCUCUCUCCUGGCUCAUUAGGACAUUCUUGAUCAACAAUGCCCUUGCCCAUUUGGGCUAACAAAUCAUGCAUAUCUAUUCUGUUGUCCUUUGAAAUGGUUAUGAAACACCUAUCAACGAGAGCAUUUAUUCCACUUUCCGCAUUGAAUUCGGAAGCAUCCAAUAUUCUUGAAACUCUUUUCACAUCAUCUCCUCUAAAGAAACAUGCAAUGUCGAGAAAUAUCAUCCUUUGUGUAUAAUCCAAUCCAUCGAAACUUAUUUUAAGCACUUUUACAAUUUCCAUGUUAGGCACCUUUUCCAGCUUCUGCAAUUCACUUUUCCAAUCUGGUAGUCUCUUUCCAAAUAAUAGAGAACCCAAAACUUUAAGUGCUAAUGGAAGACCAUCAGCAUAUUGUACUACUUGAUGAGAGAGAUCUCCAUAACCUUCCUUCGGAUGAUGUUGUUUAAAGGCAUAACGGCAAAAAAGUUGAAGAGCUUCGUGAAAAUAUAAUUUCUCAACUUCAUACAUAUCAUUUACUUCAUGCCUAGUUAGCAAAUCUUUUUUCCUAGUAGUAAUGAUGAUUCUGCUUCCUGGACCAAACCAAUCAUGCUUUCCAAUUAAGUGUUCUAAUUGUGUCAGCUCAUCUACAUCAUCCAGAAAAACAAGAACCUUUUUUGAGGAAAGCUUGUCCCUUAUUUCUUUGAUACCUUCAUGAACAUCCCUUAAAACUAUUUUCCUCGUUGUCCUUAGAGUAUCAUUAAGAAGUUGUUGUUGUAACUUAAGAAGACCAGAAUUUUCUGUGGAUUCUUUUCUGACAUCUGUGAGCAAGCUAACACUUUCGAAUUGAUUUGAGAUUCGGUUAUAAAGAGCAUUGAUGAUGGUGGUCUUGCCGAUACCACCAAGCCCAUAAACCCCGACCAUGCGAACAUCAUUCAACUCAAUCUUUAACAAUGAUAUUAGUCUUUCCAAACGAGAAUCCAUUCCAACAAUGUUCUCGUUAACAACUAAAGUCUUAGGGAAGCUUCUAAGGACGUUCUCAAUAAUUUCAUCAAUAAGCUCUGAUUCGUACCUGCCAAUUGCAUUAGGAUGAGUUGCAAAAAACAAUAAAUUAUAUGAAAUAAAUUUAAUGAUGCCUAGUUUUCCAACUUUAACUUAAUAGGGCUAAAACGAAUUGAAAUUAAAAUAAAAUAAACCACAUCUAACAAAUUACGUAUCAGUACAAUUUCAUUAUUCUAUACAAUUGCUCAUGUAUAUGAUAGAAAUAAGGGAAGAAAAUACAAAAUAUGAAUUGGAUUAUCAAAAGCGGAAAAAAAAAAAAAAACUAAAAUAUUUUUGUGUUAGCUUAUACUAUUCAAUCUUGUGGAAGGUUCAAAAUAAAGUUGAGUUGUCUAGAACAUUACUACCCUAUUUUGAUAAGGGAUUCCAUCAUAGGAUCAACUGCUAGUCUGCAUCCAAGCUUUUUAAUCUAAUGAUUUUACUACUGAUUAGACGGUCAACAUUACUAUCUUCUAUACUUGCAAGACUUUCUCUCACCAUUUAUUUAGAUAAAUGUCUCUUGCUGUUCCAUAUGUUGUAUUUUGCAUUUAUUUUUGUCUCUAGCUGUAUGAACAAAAAUUUUUGAAAACCGUUUAAUUAAAAAAUAACUUUCAUGAAUUAAUUAAAAAUAUUUUAUUUAUAAUUUUAAUUCUAUUGCAUGAAUGAAUUAAGAAAACAAAUUUACAUCAAUUUUAACCUAAAAUAAUUUAGUAUAUUCUUUAUGAAUCAAUAAAAUAGAAUUUUGUUUUUAAGAAAUUGUAAUAUUAUGGUAUCAAGUUUAAAAUUUUAAUGAACAGAUCUUUAUUUUAUAAAUAAUAAAAAUGAAUAAAAAAUUAUAAAAGUUUAAAACUCACUUAGCUUUAAAAAUUAUAAAAAUGAUAUAAAUAUUUUUUAUAUCAGCAGACAGAGAAAAGGAGAGUACUUCAAAUGACAAAUGAAGAGAAGUUACAAUUACCUGUUCGUCGCAUCAUAUCCGGCUAGAUUGCUUGCUUGCCUCAGGGCAGUCUUCCAUUUCCUUAUCUUUUCCUUUCUCUCCUCCUCUGCAUUCUUCUCAUGAUGGGUAAAUGCUUCUCCGUAAAUCUCAGUUUGGUUCCGCACUUCAGACGGAUCCACAUGAUAGAAAAUUGGGAUAACUACCAUUUGUUCCCUUUCCUCUUUGCAUUUCAUGAUCUUGACAAGCUCUUCCAGACACCAUUUGGAACGAGCAUAGGUUUCUGAGAAGACAACAAUGGCACUCCUUGAUUCCUCAAUAGCUUUUAAGAGCUCUGGUGCAAUCUCUUCACCCCUUCGAAGUUCUUCAUCAUCUCUAAAGGUUCUAAUACCGCUAUGAAUCAAAGCCUUGUAGAGAUGAUCAGUGAAGUUUCUGCGAGUAUCUUCACCUCUAAAACUCAAAAACACAUCGUAACUCCAUUGAGAAUGGGAAGUGGAAGAAGAAGAGGCCAUGGUUGAACAGAAAUUGAAAGAAAAAUAAGGGUCUUUGGGUAUUUAGUGGGUUGAUUCCCUUGGCCUUAUAGAAGUAUGGAUGUUGGUGGUGGGAUGUUGCCUUUUCUUUCUCAAUUGUUUUUAUUCUUAGCUGUAUCCCUCUUGCUGGUUCACAUGACUCAAGACCCUACCUCAAUUAUUUCCCUCCACUCUUUUCUUAUACAUUUUACUCUCACUUUUCUCUUGUUGACAGUCAACAAUGGCCGACAGUCUCGUCUCUGCAGUUUACAGCUGUUCUUUUCUUUUAUUUCCAAUUAAUUUCUAAAAUAUAAAAAAUGAUCAAAUCCAUGUGAUCUUUACUUAGGUCAUAAGAUCGUGUGAACGCACAUUAAAUUAAAGUUAUUCAAUUAAUUUUUGUCUUUUGCAUAAUGAGCAAUAUUAUAGUAGAAAAUAAAGGUUUAUUAUGUUGAUAUGUCAAGUAAAGCUAACAACUUUGGUAUUAUAAGCUUGAUUUUUGUAGAUAGAAAAAUAUGAGAAGUCAUAUGACAAAAGGCAAAGAAAAUUUUGAUCAUGAAAAGUAGAAAAAAGCACAAAACCUUCAUGAAAUUCUAAUUCUAAGGAAGAAAGACCAUGCUCAAAACUCGAAAUUUAAAUUCUCACAAUCUUUUCAUAUUUUGCAGAUAGGUUUAUUAUUAAUAGAAGCACAUAAAUAAAUAUUGUACUUAAAUCCCACUAAUUUAUAGGUCAUUAUGGUAUAUGUAGGUCAUCAUAGUAAUGAGUGGGAAGGUGGGUACCUUUAAAAAGAAUAAGCUAAACCAAUCACCCUAAAUUUCAAAAGCACCUUUAUCAUAAAAGUGUGGUAAUGAGAGUGGAUAUCUUUUAAAAGAAUAGACAACCCUGAAUUUCAAAAAAAUGUCUGUUUCUUGGCGAUUGUAUCCCAACAGUCUUAUCUUUUUUUACUUUAUAUCUUUUUAUUAUUAUUAUCGUGAGGAUGGUUAAAGAUGAUGCUAGAAGUUUUUCUAUGGUUUAAAAAGAAAAAAUGUGAGUGUUAAGUUGGCAUUUUUGUCUUUUUAGAAAAUACUUCAUUUUAAGAUCAUUAAUAGAAGAAAUAAAGAGUUCAUAAAAAAUAAAGAAAUUUUUAUUGACUGAUCUAGGUAACCAUUUCAUGGCUUUUAAUUGUAACUUUGUUGAAAAUCUUACUCCUUCCUCCUUGUCUUCCUCUUGUUAUUCAAAAGUUUCAACUCCUUUUUUUUUUAAAUAAUAAUAUUGAUUUUAUGUUUUAAUGAAAUAAGUUGCAAAUUUGAAGAAAACAUAUUCUAAUGUAUUUAUUGAUUAUGGUCCUCUUUUCAAAAGGGUUAUCGUUAUUUACAUUCUCGAACUAAUCAAGUUUACAUCUCUAAAUAUGUAAUCUUUGAUAAGUUUGAGUUUUCUUUUACUAACAAAACUUCUCCCGUAUCUUUCUUGUAGGAACAAAGUCAAAUGACCAUAUUUUGAGAUUCUUAUCAACAGUUACAACCAUUCAAUCCAAACACCAACUCAACCCACAACUUCACUUCCACCAAACAACCUUUCAAACUAUCGUAAUAAUGUAGAUCUUCUAUUUUAUUUUUUUUAACACAUCUCAUCUAAAAUUGUCUUCUUACAUCCUUUAACACCUUAUUAUGCACUUAUGGUUAUUUUUCUAAGCUAUUUUUCUAAAAUUGUCUUCUAUUCAUUGUGAUUAUGUUGAUUACUAAUUAUUUUAUUUUAUUUUAUGCAAGAGACAUUCUGAAGGGAUUAGAUGCAUUCCAAUAUUGAUUUUAAUGAUUUUUAAAUCUUAAUUUAGGACUUUAUUUUUUAUUGAUUUAUAACAUAUUUAAGUUUGUUUAAAAUUUUCAAACUUUAAUUUUUAUAAAAUAGAUUCAAGUUUUGAAUUAAUUAAUAAUUGAUUUCAUUCUCUUUAAAGUGUAGAAUAUGAUAAAAGGCGUGUAACAAAUUCAAACAAAUCAUUAUACAAGUGAGAAUUUAGGUCAUCCAAUCAUUUUAUUAAAAAUCACUCUAUAAAUUAUAAAAAUAAAGAUAUUAAUCACAUCUAUUAAUAUGUUUUUUUUUAAAUUGACAAAUCAUAAUGAAAUUAUAAUCUUUUUAAUAUUUUAUUAAUUAUAAAUUAAAACGUCAUUAUAAUUAUUCAAUCCCCACGGAAUAUAAAAUGAGUUAUUUUUAAUAAUAAUAACUAAUCAUAUUUGAAUAACAUUUCAUCAAUUAUAUAUAAAAAUAAAGUUUUAUGUUUAUCAUAACCUAUGUUUUAAAUUAAACAAAAUAAUAAAAGUUACAUUUCCAUUUAAAUGUAUUUACAUAUCUACCUCCAUAGCCCAUGGUAUUAAAAUAAUCUAAUAAAACACAGUAUCCCAUAACCGGUCAACAGCACAGCUGCUCCUAGCCUUAGCCCCUUGCAGCUGCAAUCAGCUGUUCCACUCUCUGUUACAGUCCAGCUUUGGCCGCCCAAGACAUACAUCUUUUCACCCAUCACCCAUUUACCCCUGCCACAGCUAUUUUUUACCUUUGAGCUGCCCAAAGUCACACCAAACUAGCUGAUAAACCAUACCUUACAACCUGCAAACCAUCUCCUCAGCCAUCCCUAAUAGCCCACUGCCAGCCCUUUGUAAGAGUCACACCAAAGCCAAAUUUUUUUUAUUAUUAUUUUUAAUCAACUCCAGCACAGCCUCGUCAGACCGCCGAGCCUCCUGAUCUCAUCUCCAAACACGUUCUGCAGCUGAAUCCUUUGCCUUUAUGAAGUUUGGAUGCUGGUGGUGGGAUGUGCUUUUCCUUUCUCAAUUAUUUCUGCUUAGCUGUAUCCCUCUAGCUUUGAACUUUCACUUUUGUCCCUUUUGGCAGUCAACAAUGGCCGACAGUCUUGCCUCUGCGAUUUACAGCUGAUCUUUUCUUUUAGGGAGAGUUGGGAUUACUGGCUGUUAUACGAGAAAUACAUGGUUUUCAAAACCAUAUAACUGAAAUAUGAUUUACCUGAGAAAAAUUGUGAGAGUUGAGUUGUCAUUUUCGCCAUUUUAUAAAAGACUUAAUUUUAAGACCGUUAGUACGUAGAAAUAGGGGUCUCUAAAAAGCCCGCGGCCCGCUUUAGGCCCGGCCCGGCCCGGCCCGACGGGCUAAAGCCCGGCCCAAGCCCGCCGGGCCCAAGCCCGGCCCGAGCCCAUUUAUGGGCGGGCCGGGCCGCGGGCCUAAAUUUAGGCCCGGCCGUUGGAGACCCUUGCGUAGAAAUAACAAGUUCACAAGAACGAAAGAGACCUUUGUUGACUGACCUAGGUAACCCCUUUCAUGGCUUUUUCACUUGUUUGUUUUUGGAUUUUCUUUAAUGAGGCUAGGUGAUUGUUGUUUAUUUUGACUUAUAUUUUAGAUGGAUUUCAUUUUUAAUAAGAGUUUUUCAUGGUAAAAAUUGAUGUGAUACAAAUUUUUAUUGAUAUUAAUAUCAUUUUAUCAUAAAUUAUUUAGAGUAUAGAUAUAAAUAAAAUAUCAAUACCAUAGGAAAUGUUAAAAUAAAGUUAGGUGCAUAUGCAAAAAAUAAAAUUUGAAAAAUAGAAUAGUCCAGUCCAACCAUAUCCACACAUCCAUCUUCCUAUAAAUUAAACUAAUGAUAGAUACAUAAGUCAAAAAUAAGAUUUGAAAAAGAGUAUAAUCCAAUUCAACUACCCACCUUCCAAUAAAUUAAACUCAAAAUGGGCACAUAUUCCAAAAAUAAAUUUUGAAAAAUAAAAUAGUCCAAACCAACUUUAUCAACAUGUCCAUCUUCCAAUAAAUUAAAUUGGAAAUGAGUCGGCAUGUGAUAAAAUAAAUGUCAAUUUCCAUUUUACUUAUAUUAAAUUCACUUAUAUAUUUAUAUCGAAAAUUAUCCUUUGAAUCUUUCUAGAAACAUUAGAUUUUAAGGAAAUCAUGCAAGUAUACUUUUCUUAUUAUCAAUUUAAAAUAUAAAAUCCUUCCAUAGUUAUUUAUUAAAGUUCUACAAAGAAAAUUAAGAAAAUAAGGAUUUGGUAGGUAAUUAUGUUUAAAAAUAAUUUUCUAUUUUUUAUAGUAGAAAACCAGGUUCUAACUUUUUUUUUUUUAAAAAAAAAAAACACAUUAGACAAAUUUCGACCAAGAAGAAUUUCUUCAAAAUUUGCUCUAGAUACAUGUUAUUUUAAAAACAUGAUUUUGACAUAUUUUCAAAUAUUGUUUGUAUAGUUUUUGAGCAAAAAAUGAAAAGAUGGAGAAUACUCCAAAAACUUUGCAAAUGAAAAUACUAUGUUUUAUAUUUAUGUUUUCAAAUACAAUUUUGCAAAUGAAAUAUUUGAGAAUGUUCUUAAAAAUUAUUUUUUAAGAAGUGCUUUUGAAAACUUGGCUAAACAUGACCUAAAUAUCCUAAACAUGAAAGAUACAAGAAUGCAAGAAAAACAUUUUCAAUAAUUUUAUUUUAUUUAUUAUAUUAAAGAGUAACAUUAAUGUUUCAUUAUGAAGUUAAAAUGUUUCAUUCAAUCAAAAUUUAUUCUGCUAGUUUUCAAGGAAAGCAUUAUUUAUCAAGAUGCUUGCCUUAGUUGUUUUGUAUUUUAUAUUUUUCUUUGAUUGGGAUUGGUGAGAAUUGUCCUAAAUAUAGAUUUUAUUUUGAAUAAUUUCUAAAUUAGACUUGUAAAAAAUAAGAAAAAGUAUCUAGUAAUUCAUUGUUACACAUGAAUGUUGCAACUUGGUAAAAUUUAUGAUAUUUAUCACUAGGAAAUUUUGCUUAUAGAUAUAAAUAAAAUGGUAACAUCUAUCACAAGGAAAGGUUGGGAAGGAAGCAAACAUAUUAAUAGGUGAAACAAGAAAAAGAAAAAUAAUAAUAAUAAAUGAUAAAAAAAGGUAAGGGAAUUCAGAGUCAUGAGUUGGUACUCUAUAUUAUUUAAAGUGAUUAUAAUUUAGGGUACAAAUUUCUUUAGAAAUAAAUAACGUAAAUAGAUUCUAAAAAAGAUUAUGUAAAAUUAUCAUUUCUUAAAAAAGAGAAGAAGGUAUUUUCUUUAUUUUUAAACAUUUAUUAAUUUUUAAUACUAAUACAAUAUUAAAUCUAAUGAGAAGACCUCCUUUAAUCUUCUCACUUUAUUCAUUGAAGUCUUUUUAAAUAAUUUGAGAAAGUAAUUUUAAAUCCAAUUACAUGGUGAAGAUCAAGGUAAUAGUUAGAAUAAAACUACAAAUAACAUGGUCAAGAUCAAGGUGGGUGUGUGUGUGACAAUCUUAUAUACUUUUUUGGAAGUAUGAAAAGAGUAAUGAAAUCAUGUACCUAAUAAAAAGUAAAGAAAACUUUAAUUCUACUGGAGGAAGCAAACACUAAACUUCCUUAAGAAAAUGGUAAUGUUGAAUUAAAUAACUUGCAUUGACGAACAUUAUGGUCCUUAUUCUAAAUUAUUUCAUUUCUUUUAUUGUGUCUCCAUUCAUUUAACAUGAUUUUUGAAAGUAUAAAAAGAGUAAUAUAAGUUACGUACCUAACAAAAUUAAAAAAAAGUACUUUAAUUUAAAUAGGGAAUGAGACAUGAAACUUCCUUGAAAAAAUGGCAAUGUUGAAAAGUUAAUAAAGUAGUUUAAAUUUUCAACUUGUUACAUUAGAUAACUUGCAUUAAAGGACAAUAUGUAUCUUAGAAAUAGAAAGUUUUGAAGUGAAACAUCUAAACAUGUAGGAACAUUAAACAAUGCCUUGGUCAAAAAAGGAAAACGCAUAGGAACAUAUAUCAAAUAAUAUCUUGGUCAAAAAGAAUAAUGCUUUAGUAAAAAAUGGAAAAUGCAUAGGAACAUUAAAUAAGACAAUAUCACAUAGGGUUUAGGUAAGACAAUUCUCUAAUCCCUUAUCCUUGUUGGCUCAUACACUUGUUGAACCUCUUUGAUACGAAAAUAAUCCAAAUGACUCAUAAAAUAUAGUGUUUAUAUGGAUGCUAUUAAGAUAUAAAUUAGGCUACAAUGAAAGUUAAUUAUAACUUUAAUGUUGGAGGGAAUAAGCAAUUUUUUGUGAGAAAGGGCAACACCUAGAAAGUCAAUAAGAUUAAUUAUCUUAAUAAUGGAAAAAAAGUUCAUUCUUAUGAAUCCUCAAAGUGAAUCAAAGAGACAAACUUCAAUUUUGAAGUGAACAUAAUUAUUAUUUUUUUGUUUCUUUGUUAAAUAAUUAGUAAUACUUAAUUUAUCGAUCGUGUAAGAAUCAAAGAAGAAUAGCUACUAUUCAUGCAAUGGGUCUCAUCUUAUUGUAACAAAACUUAUGAUUAUUUUUCUUCCAUGUAUUGGAAGUUACUAUAAAUUCAUUUCCCACUUGUUAUGUGACUUAGGUAUCAAAUAGAGCCCACUAGAUAAAAUUUCUCUCAAGGUAUUUCCACAUCAAAUUUCUUUAUUUUAAACAUGUUUAUGGAUGUAAGUUUGCAUUGAAUAAAUUUCAAGUAUUAAUGUAGACUAACAAUAUUUAAAUAAAAAUGAUAAUAUAUUUAAAUUUUUAAUAAAAAUUGAGUUGAAUUUUUCAACCAACAUUUGAUUUCCUUCCACUCACCUAAUGUUGGCAUUAAAAUGCAUUAAUAUAUAUAUAUAUAUAUAUAUAUAUAUAUAUAUAUAUAGAUAUAUAAAUAUAUAAUCAUUGUCUUGGGAACUUUUUCUUCGGUGCUUAUCCUCAAACCUUCUUAAAAAAAAUAAGAUUGAUUCUUGUUGUGCUCACCUAAUGCUUGCAUUAAAAUACUAUAAACUUUUUUUUUGUGAGCUUAUCCUUACACCUUAGAAAACAAGAUUGAUUCUCGUUGAUAAGAAGAUAAGAACAAAAACUUCUAAUAAAUUAUAUUUGGUAUAUUGGUAAUUUAAUGGGAAAAGACCUUAAAUUUUGUAAAUGUAAAAGGAUAAUAUAGUUGGACGACACAUUUAUACAAAUAUAUGAUUGGAUUUUAAUUUUGUAACUUAAUUAAUUAAGAAAAUAAAACCUUUGGGCUAUUUAAAUAUAAUUGGAUUUUAAUUUUUAGUUUGGGUUAAAGUUACAAAAGAAAAAAAAAUGACCCAAAUAAAUUAAUUGGGCAUUUAUAUUUAAACAAUUAGUCUUUAGAAUUAAUAUUUAAUUGGAUUGAAAAAAAAAAAAAAAAAGAUAAUAAAGGGAGUAGAAUGGUCUUUUCCCAUUAGAAACCUAGGUAUAAAUAUUCACCACCCUUCUUUACAAAAGUCUUUUGCAUAGAGAGAAAAUGUGGGGUUUGAAAUCAAUCUUUUAAAGCAAACAUAUAUAGAUUCAAUAUUUAGUUUCAUUUUUAAUGGUCAUAAAAAAAUAAAUAAUCUAGAAUCAUAUCAUGAUAAUUAUUAAAUAUGAUUAAUUUUUAUGAGAAAAUUAAAAAACACAUAAUUCUAAUUAAUUAUAUAGUCAAAUACCAUUAACCAUUCUUAGUUAAAAAUUUAAAGUCUUUUUCCAUUUGCAUUGGACAUUACUAUUAAUAGAUGCAUAUCCAUGAAUAUUGUACUUAGUAAUAUUUCUUUUAGAAUUAAAUCCCAUUAAGAUUAUAUUGCAUUGUGAUGUAUAUGAGUUGCACCUUCAAUUAUUUUUAUUUAACUUUGGUUCUCAGAAAAUAUUAAGGAAAAAAAAGAUAUUAAGGAAAAUAAUUCUUCAUGUUUGAUUGUCUUAUGAAAAAUUUCAAAAAAAAUAAAAUAAAAUAUAAUUAAAAUUAGUUUAGAACUUAUGUAUUUUCAAAUUAUUUAAUCUUUAUGUUGAUGAGUUAAAAUAAAUAAAAUGAGUUUGAAAUAACAAAUAAAAAUAAUUUAUCGACUUUAACCUUAUUUUUUAUUUUCCUUCAAUUUUUCAUUUCUUUUUUUUUUUUUCACUUUGUUUUCUUUCCUUUGUAUUUUCCCUCAGAUUUUUUUGGAAACCAAACAUAACCUUAAUGAUUAUGAGAUCAUAUUAGUUAAAAAGUGAAGUUUCUACCACUACAUAUAAUAAAUGCAUAUACAUGUAUAUUUUGAUCUUAGCCUAGACAAUAUUUAUAUAAAAAUGAAUAGAUCAUUAUAAAUGACAUUAAAAUUGAUUUCCUAUUGAGAAAUUACAAGUGUUCUAUACUUUUUAUAUAUAUAAAAAUUUCUUAAUCAAUAUUAUCAAAUAACUUUUUACAUUUUUCUAUUGAAAUAUAUAUUUUUUUGCAAAAAAAUUCCUAUUAUUAUAAUAAAUUUUUUUUUUUCAUAUUUUUCAAUUAAGAUAUACUCUUCAUAAGGACAUUCCUAUUAUUAUAAAAGAUAAAUUAUUUUUUAUAUGAAUAUUUUAUUUAAUCAAGAUAAACAUGGAAAGAAAUUGUUCUCACAUGUCUUAUAUUGAGAAAAAUUAUAUAUAAAUUGGAAAUAAUUUUAAAAUUAAUAAAAUCUAAAAGUUGUUUCACUAUUUUCUAAAAUUAAUUUCAAUUUUUUUUUUACUUUUUAAUUAGUGUAUGUUUAUGUAUGUAUGCAUGCAUGUAUAUAUGCAUACAUAUUAAAAAAUGUUGAUCAUUUAAGUGGCUCUAAACUAAUUAUUUAUUUGCAUGAAAAAAUUUAUUUAAAAUGAGUUGUUCAUCUUUUAUGAGAUAUAACAAAAGCCAUUUGCACUAGGUCAUAAUGGUAAUGAGUGGGAAGGUGGGUGCCUGCCUUUAAAAAGAAUAGAAGUGAACAACCACCCUAAAAUUCGAAAGUAUAACAUACAAAAGUACCUUGCAUUGAUGUACGCAUACACAUGAAACUUCCUUGAGAAAAUAGUAUUGUUGAAAUGUCAACAAAGUAGUCAUACACAUGAAACUUCCUUGAGAAAAUAGUAUUGUUGAAAUGUCAACAAAGUAGUUUAAAUCCUCAACAGGUUGUUACGUUAGUGUGUGUGUGUGUGUGUGUGUGUGAGAUAAAAGAUUUCAAAAGGAACAAUCCCUUGGUCAAAAAACAGAAAACAUAUAGAAACAUAUAUUGAGAAUAAUAUCUUAUUAAAAAAGAAUAAUGUCUUGGUGGGAAUGGGAAACGAGUAAGAACAUUGAAUAUGACAAUACCACAUAUGGUUAAGUAAGGCUAUUCUCUAAUCUUUUAUCCUUGUUGAACCUCUUUCAUUGAAAAAUAAUCCAAAUGACUCAUAAAAUAUAGUGUUUAUAUGGAUGGUAUUAAGAUAUAAAUUAGGCUACAAUGAAAGUUAAUUAUAACUUUAAUGUUGGAAGAAAUGAACAACUUCUUAUGAUAUAUAUAUAUAUAUAUAUAUAUAUAUAUAUAUAUAUAUAUAUAUAUAUAUAUAUGUGUGUGUGUGUGUGUGUGUGUGUGAGAUAAAAGAUUUCAAAAGGAACAAUCCCUUGGUCAAAAAACAGAAAACAUAUAGAAACAUAUAUUGAGAAUAAUAUCUUAUUAAAAAAGAAUAAUGUCUUGGUGGGAAUGGGAAACGAGUAAGAACAUUGAAUAUGACCAUACCACAUAUGGUUAAGUAAGGCUAUUCUCUAAUCUUUUAUCCUUGUUGAACCUCUUUCNNNNNNNNNNNNNNNNNNNNNNNNNNNNNNNNNNNNNNNNNNNNNNNNNNNNNNNNNNNNNNNNNNNNNNNNNNNNNNNNNNNNNNNNNNNNNNNNNNNNGAAAUAGAAAGUUUUGAAGUGAGACAUCUAAACAUGUAGGAACAUUACACAAUGCCUUGGUCAAAAAAGGAAAACGCAUAGGAACAUAUAUCAAAUAAUAUCUUGGUCAAAAAGAAUAAUGCUUUAGUAAAAAAUGGAAAAUGCAUAGGCACAUUAAAUAAGACAAUAUCACAUAGGGUUUAGGUAAGACAAUUCUCUAAUCCCUUAUCCUUGUUGGCUCAUACACUUGUUGAACCUCUUUCAUUGAAAAAUAAUCCAAAUGACUCAUAAAAUAUAGUGUUUAUAUGGAUGGUAUUAAGAUAUAAAUUAGGCUACAAUGAAAGUUAAUUAUAACUUUAAUGUUGGAAGAAAUGAACAACUUCUUAUGAUAUAUAUAUAUAUAUAUAUAUAUAUAUAUAUAUAUAUAUAUAUAUAUAUAUAUAUGUGUGUGUGUGUGUGUGUGUGUGUGAGAUAAAAGAUUUCAAAAGGAACAAUCCCUUGGUCAAAAAACAGAAAACAUAUAGAAACAUAUAUUGAGAAUAAUAUCUUAUUAAAAAAGAAUAAUGUCUUGGUGGGAAUGGGAAACGAGUAAGAACAUUGAAUAUGACAAUACCACAUAUGGUUAAGUAAGGCUAUUCUCUAAUCUUUUAUCCUUGUUGAACCUCUUUCAUUGAAAAAUAAUCCAAAUGACUCAUAAAAUAUAGUGUUUAUAUGGAUGGUAUUAAGAUAUAAAUUAGGCUACAAUGAAAGUUAAUUAUAACUUUAAUGUUGGAAGAAAUGAACAACUUCUUAUGAGAAAGGGCAACACCUAGAAAGUCAAUAAGAUUAAUUAUCUUAAUAAUAGAAAGAAAGUUCAUUCUUAUGAAAUUGAAUCAAAGAGAUAAAUUUCAAUUUUGAAGUAAACAUAAUUAUUUUUCUAUUUUUGUUAAAGAAUUAACAAAAUUUAUCAUGUAAGAAUCAAAGAAGAAUAGCUACUAUUCAUGCAACUGGUCUGAUCUUGUUGUAACAAAACUUAUGAUUAUUUUUCUUCUAUGUAUUGGAAGUUACCAUAAAUUAAUUUCCAACUGGUCAUGUGACUAUUGCAUCAAAUAGAGCCCACUAGAUAAAAUUUUUGUUGACGUAUUUCCACAUCAAAUUUCUUUAAUUUAAACAUGUUUAUGGAUGUAAGUUUGCAUUGAAUAAAUUUCAACCAUAGAUAUGCACUAACAAUAUUUAAAUAAAGAUGAUAAUGUAUUUAAAUUUUUAAUAAAAACUAAGUUGAAUUUUUCAACGAACAUUUGAUUUCCUUCUGCUCACCUAGUGUUAGCAUUAAAAUACAAAAAAAGCUCACCUAAUACUUGCAUUAAAAUACUAGAAACUUAUUCUUGUGAGCUUAUCCUUGCACCUUCUUAGAAAAAAAACAAGAUUGAUUCUUAUUGGUCAGAAGAUAAGAACAAAAACUUCUAAUAAAUUAUAUUUGAUAUAAACUCGUCAAUCAUCACAUAAAAAACAAUUUCUCCAGAGGGCGAUGACCCCAUCAACCCCCAUAAGCUAACCAAGCAGCUCGACCUUAACAUCCUAAGCAAAGCGCAACAAUACUGAUUCAAGCUUCACAAUCCAACACCAAUAAAGACAAGAACAAUUGACACUCAAAAAAAUUAUUUCUUUUAACUUUUUCCCUUUAAGUUGAAUUUGAUUUUAAAAUAGUGUUAUCUCAUUAAUUAUUUUACAAAAUAUAUAUAUGUUAUAUCUUAAAAUUGGUUAGUAAAUUAUAUUACAAUUAUCAAAGAUAUUGCCAUAUAUAAAAUACAACUUAAUAAAUCUUAAGCAUAACACAAAGCACAACAACAAGAUAUAUUAAUUUAAGUUACUAAGAGCUUAUUUAGUUGUGUGAUUUAAAAAUGGUUUUCUAUUUUAAAAAAUAAAAAAUUAUUUUAAAAAAUUUAUAACACUAUUUUAAUGUUGUUCUUUGGAAACAAUGUUUAAAGACAAAGUAACAUUGAGAACAAUUUUUAAAGAACAAGUAGGAGUUGUUUUUAUUAGUUUUUAAAAAACAAAAAAUAUAUAAACUCAUUUUACUAUGUUUUUUGAAACUUGUUUUUAAAUUAAAGAAUAAAAAAUAAUUUUUCAAAAUAAGUUUCAAAAAAUAUGACCAAACAAACCCUAAAUGGUCGGGGUUUAAUAUUAAAGAGAAAAAAAGUUAAUUUAAGAGUUUGCAUGCAGGUAGACAUCAGGCUGUAAAACUGGUUUACUAAGACACUCAUUUUAUUUAUAUAUUCUUCUAUGUGCAUGCAUUGACCAUGUGGUUAGGAUGUGUUGCACCAAAAUCUAAUUAUUAACUUGCAGUUCGAAAUCACAAACCAGCUGUAUGUAUUAGAAACAGACCAUAUUGGGUCAUGCACAUUCUCCGUCAUUUUCUAUUUCCUAGCAACAUAUAUGACCAAAUGAAAUUGUUAUAUCCUAAUUAUAUUUUUUAAUUAGGCGAUAAAUGAAUGGAUUCCUUUUAAAAAUAAUAAUUGAGAUAUUAGGGAUGAUUAAAAUAUUAUUAGAAGAAAACAACCACUAUCUUCCAGAUUAAUCACAGCUUAAUAAAUGUAAAUAAAUUAAUCUGACACUACAUUUUUCUUUAUUUGUUUUGGUUUCUUUACAAGAAUGUUUCUUUAUGUAUUCUUGUUGAAUCUAUAAAAUAUCAUCUAUAAACAUUCUUUUUGAAUGAUUAAGAAUCCGAUAUUUAAAUGAUUGUGUGGACCUUGCAUUUUUGCUCAAUGCGUUCCCACUCAAUGUUGAACUCUCUUUUUAUUUAUUUAAUGAAAAAUAUGAUUUUUUUUUUUAGAAAAGACUUGGAGUCGCCACUUAUUUUUGUUUUAUUUUUAAAAAUGGUAAACAAAAUAAGAAAGAAAACCCUAAGUGUGACUCCUUAUUUUGGAAAAAGUGGUAUGUGAAAAAUCAGAUCGGGCUCGGGGAUUAGGUUACUUAUCGGGAAGGUACAGUAAGGACCAUGACACCCCUCUAAGUCCCUAAAGUCGGGUCUCUAUUGAUAAAAGGAAGCUGACAUGGCAAUCAAUAAGGAAAUCAAUGGGUACUCAAAUCGAUCAUGCACAUAUGGAAAUUGGAAUUUUAGAAAUUGGAAAUUAAAUUCGAAAAUGGGAAAAUUGGAAUCUCAAAAAUUGGGAAUUGAAUUUGGAAAUCAGAAUUUUGAAGAAUUAUUUAAAGAUGAAAAUUUUAAAAGUAAGUAAAUAAAUAAAUAAAUAAAAUAAUAAUGAUUGGAUAAAUAAAUGCGAAAAUUGGAAUUUUGGAAAUCGGAAAUUAUAUUUGGAAUUUGGAAAAUCAGAGUUUUGGAAAUUGAGAAUUAAAUUUGGAAAUUGGAAUUUUGAAGAAUUAUUUAAAGAUAGAUUUUUUUAAAUAAAUAAAUAAAUAGAAUAAUAAUAAUAAUCGAAAUAAUAAUAAAAUAAAUGAACAUGAACAUUAAAAUUUUUUGAAAUAGAAAAUUAAAUUUGGAUGUCGGAAAUUUGAAAAAUUGUUUAAAAAAACGGAAUUUAGAAAAUAAAUAAAUUAAUUAAAAAAAAAGUAUUGUAGUGAAGGUCAUCAAACUCAAAGUCUUAUUCAUGACCCAAUUUCCCAUAUUUGAUUAAGAAUCCAUGCAACAUUACUAUGGGCCACCUGAGCCAAAAUGUCUACACGUUCCACUCUUACACCAUCCCAUUGCAGCUCUCACCACAACAGCCACAACAGUGGAAGUAAAAAUAAAAAAUAAAAAAUAAAAAAAUCACGCCACAUGAGUUGACCAUGAUGUCACCUCUUCCAACACAAGCAAUACACUUCCAAUUGGAACUCUGAAAGCAAUAGUCACUUCAGCACGACAGCGAGGUAGACUAGGGCAGUAGGUGUUGAAUGAGUGAUGAAUCCGAAAAGAAUGGGUUUGUAACAUAAAUGAUUAAUCUUACAACAUCACACAAGAGAUAUGAAUCCAUAUUUACGCACAUAUCCAAACAAAACCAUAUGAACAAUAGAUGAGACCAUGCCACAACAAACCAUUAUAAGAGUAAGAAAAGGAAAAAAGAGAGAGAAAAAAAAAGACAAACUUCAGCAUAAAAAAAAACAAAUCUAGAAGGUAGUGAAGUGAUGUAUGGAGAGUCACCGUGAUCAUACCGAAACAAACUCACAAACAACGCAAAAUAAUCACAUAAAAAAACAAAAGGGUAAUAGGAUGACCAAUAAUAAUCCAUGAACCUUAUCAGUCUUACCAGGUAAAGCUUUCUAUCCACUGGAGUUUUCUAGACUUUCUUUCCAACUUCCCUCCUCCUCUUUCCUGCUUCAGCCUAUCCCCGAAAAGCUUGCUCUGCCCAUUUUUCUACAACCAACCCAACAGCUAGCUUAGCCCCCAAAAAGAUGAAGACGCUCCCCCCUAUUUAUUCUCUCCCGUUCAGCUCAUUUCCCGCCCAGUUUUUCUCUCCAGAUUUUUUUUCCCCUAGUCCUCACAUGCUCCCUACUCCUUGCUCAACCAAUCUGUCACCAUCUCAACCACCACCAUGGCGAGGUAGUGGUGUCGUCCUCCAUGCGUCUCAUGCAUGCUAAUAUUUGAAAAAGUCGAUCCCCCUUCCUCCUACAACAAGCUGCUAGCUAUCCGGGUGGCUAGCAUGAAGGGUCUACAAAUAUGCCCCUCUUCAGUAGAGUUCACGAACGUAAAGAAAUAUGAACACUAGAGUGAAAAGAAAGUGUGAAUAGUGAGCGAAAUGAAGUGAACUUUACCGAAAAUGGGCAUAUUUGUAGACCCCUCAUGCUAGCCACCCGAAUAGUUGGUAGCUUGUUGUAGGGGGAGGGGAGACCGACUUCUUCAAAUAUUAGCAUGCAUGAGACGCAUGGAGGAGGGCACCACUACCUCGCCAUGGUGGUGGUUGAGAUAGUAACAGAUUGGCUGAGCAAGAAGCAAGUGAAGACUAGGGGGAAAAAAAAGAUCUGGAGAGAAAAAAUAGGUGGAAAAUGAGCUGAACGAGAGGGAAUAAACAGGGGAGAGCAUCUUCAUCUUUUUGGAGGGUGACCUAGCUAUCGGGUUGGUUGUAGAAAAACAGGCAGAGCAAGCUUUUCGGGAAUACGUCGAAGUAGGAAAGAGAAUGAAGAAAGUUGGAAAGAAAGUCCAAAAAACUCCAAUGGAAGGAGAGCUUUACCUGAUAAGACUGAUCAGGUUCAUAGAUUAUUACUGGUCAUCCUACUACCCUUUUGUUUUUUUACGUUAUUAUUUUGCAUUGUUUGUGAAUUUGUUUCGGUAUGAUCAUAGUGACUCUCCAUACAUCAUUUCCCUACCUUCUAGAUUUGUUUUUUUUUUGUGCUAAAGUUCGUCUUUUUUUUUUCUCUCUCUUUUUCUUUUUCUUACUCUUACAAUGGUUUGUUGUGGCAUGGUCUCAUCUAUUGUUCAUAUGGUUCUGUUUGGAUGUGUGUGUAAAUCUGGAUUCAUAUAUCUUGUGUGAUGUUGUAAGAUUAAUUGUUUAUGUUACAAAUCCAUUCUUUUUGAAUUCAUCACUCAUUUCACACCCGUUGCCUUGGUCUACCUUGCUGUCGUGUUGGAGUGGUUGUUGCUUUUAGAGCUCCAAUUGGAAGUGUAUUGCUUGCAUUGGAAGAGGUGACAUCAUGGUCAACUCAUGUGGCGUGUUUUAUUUUAUUUUAUUUUUACUUCCGUUGUUGUGGUUGUUGUGGUGAGAGCUGCAAUGGGAUGGUGUAAGAGUGGAAGGUGUAGACAUUUUGGCUCAGGUGGCCCAUAGUAAUGUUGCAUGGAUUCUUAAUCAAAUAUGGGAAAUUGGGCCAUGAAUAAGACUUUGAGUUUGAUGACCUCCACUCAUUCCACCACCAAACCUUUUUUUUUUAAUUAAUUUAUUUAUUUUUUAAAUUUCAUUUUUUUAAACAAUAUUUCAAAAUUCCGACAUCCAAAUAUAAUUUCCGAUUUAAAAAAAUUUCAAUGUUCACGUUCAUUUAUUUAAUUAUUAUUUCUGUUAUUAUUAUUAUUCUAUUUAUUUAUUUAUUUAUUUUUAAAAAAUUCAAUCCUUAAACAAUUAUUCAAAAUUCCGAUUUCCAAAUUUAAUUCUCAAUUUCCAAAACUCCGAUUUUCCAAAUUCCGAAUUUAAUUUCCGAUUUCCAAAAUUCCAAUUUUCGCAUUUAUUUAUCCAAUCAUUAUUAUUUUAGUUAUUAUUAUUAUUAUUAUUAUUUUAUUUAUUUACUUACUUACUUUUAAAAAUUCCAUCUUUAAAUAAUUCUUCAAAAUUCUGAUUUCCAAAUUCAAUUCCCAAUUUUCGAGAUUCCAAUUUUCCCAUUUCCGAAUUUAAUUUACAAUUUCUAAAAUUCCAAUUUUCGCAUUUAUUUAUUCAAUCAUUAUUAUUUUUCGUUAUUAUUAUUAGUUUAUUAUUUACUUAUUUAUUUUUAAAAUUCAAUCUUUAAAUAAUUCUUCCGAAAUUCCAAUUCUUAAAUUUAAUUCCCAAGACUCCAAUUUCCAAAUAAUUUUCGAGACUCUAAUUUUCAAAUAAAUUUCAAAAAUCUAGUUUUCACUCGAACAAUUUUAAUUCCAUUCCGGUUCUCAAAUAAUCUGUUGUUUUUCUUGAUUUUACAUAAGCAUGAAUGUAAUUUUUCACAAUUCCACAAUAAUGGAAUAUGUGAGACUAAUUCAUGCAAGAUAGAUUGGGUUUUGGUGGGGGGCCCAACAUUGGUGUUUUUUUCCUCUAAAAAUAAAUUUGAUUGAAUUGAAUUGUGAUAUCUGUUGAUUUCUCACUCUGUUUAGUGGCAUGUGUGACAUAGUCUGUUUUGUUAAUUGUGCACUAAACCCAUUUCUUGAUAGUGCAUUAUGACUCGUGGCCCAGGUGCGCAUCCGCUCCUAUUCUGGUCAUUCUCUAUGCAUGUUCUGAUUCCCAUAUGUGCAUGAUCAAUUUAAGUACCCGUUGAUUUCCUUAUUGAUUGCCACGUCAGCUUUCUUUUAUUAGUAGAGACCCGACUUUAGGGACUUAGAGGGGUGCUACGGUCCUUACUAUACCUUCUCGAUAAGUAACUUGACCCCCAAACCCAAUUCGGUUUUUCACAUACCACUUUUUCCAAAAUAAGGAGUCAUAGUUAGAGUUUUCUUUCUUAUUUUGUUUACCCUUUUUAAAAAUAAAACAAAAAUAAGUGGUGACUCCAAGUCUUUUCUAAAAAAAAAAAAAAUCAUAUUUUUCAUUAAAUAAAUAAAAAGCAAGUUCGCCAUUGAGUGGGAACGCAUUGAGCUAAAAUGCUGGGUCCAUAAAAUGGCGACUCCACUGAGGAUGAUUUAGAAGGUCAAACUUGAACUUAAGAUGAAGCAAAUGCGACAUUUGAUGGGUCGAUCAGUGGGUACCUAUCUUUUAAUUGCACAUUGAGAGUUCUUGAUAUCAUUGGAUGCAUGCUUGGAUAUUGUAUUCAUUUUGAGACAUUGAUAUGUUGGUUAUGAUGAUUGAUUUGUCUUGAUUGAGGAUUCCGAGAUAGCUAUUUUUUUUGUGCUUCAUUGCUAUAUUUGUUUGGGAUAUUGACAUACUGAUUGUAUCAAUUUCUUAUCUUGCCUUGCUUAGCAUAGUGACCCUGAUUCUUGCCAUGAUUGUUCUGCUCACUUCAUAUGCAUAGACUCACUAUUGUACACCAUUUGACUUGAUGUGUUGUUUUCUUUGGCUUGUGUAUUAUCCUGAUCGUCUUUGAGCAUGAUGCUUGUAUUAGUAUUCAUUUGAUCGUCAUAGCUUGUAUGUGUACAUGAGCAAUAUAUCAUGUACUCUGCCUGGUUGUAUGUCGCAUGACUGCACUCCUUUGCAUGUUGCUUGUUUGUGUGGGUAGCACAUCUAUCCCCUUAUCUCCAACGCUCUGGGUUUCGAUUAUUUCCUUUAUUUCGGUUUUCACUUUUGCAAGUGUGAGGCCUUGUGUGUGCUUGUACUUUGACCGAGGAAGAGGUUAGGAGUAGGGUCUAGCGACGGGCUAUAUCGAUGUUUGGGAGCAUUCUGGAGGUGACCGACACAUUGACGUCAAUUGGAGUCCGAUCAUUGAAGACCUGUAUAGCCUGGAGCUAGGUUUCAUGGAUAUUUGUGCGGCCAGUGUGUUUCCCUUUUUGAUUUAGCUUCAUAGAGUUUUCGGAUGCACCCACACCGCUCACUGCGCACUCUAGUUGACCAUUGAGUGUUGAGAGUUUUGAGAGGUUUCGCCAUAGAAAACCUCCUGAGAUAUCGAGGUAGUGCAUGUGUGGAGGUGAUGACCACCUUGCAUAGAAGCGCCCAUUCUUUUCGGAGGCGUGCAGAGGGUUGCGUACCGUCGGAGGGUACGAUCGCUUCUGUUAGGGAUCCUUUAAAGUCCACCCCUCUUCUUUUCAGAGCCACCUUGACCUUGUAGGUCGAGCCUUAGAUAUUUCAAUCAGGAAUUUCUUCCCUAACACGUGGGUGCAUCUGUGGGCCUUCAAAGUUACUUCAGUAGUGAUAGGUUUAGUUACCUUCGUAGUGGUCUCUUAUACAUCUGCUCAGGAUUGGAUAUCACUUUGAUUGCUUACGAGUUACCUUUCGACAUAUUUGAUAGACUUUCUUUGUGGAGAUUUUCCUAACCUUGUAUCUUAUCUAGUAUUUCCAAUAUUGUAGGAGCAUUGAUACAUAGGGUUUGGGUUCGACUUCUUGGAUCCAGGUUAGGGGUAGAUUGAUCAGAGUAUCAGACCCGUUAGACCAGAAAUCAGAUCAUAGAAAUAUGGACUCACAGAUGGUUACCGUUGGCAGCAGGCCUAGGAGGUUUCGCCUCAGGAUGGCGCACAGUAUGACCCUACAGUGCCGUCAUCCCCUCCACCUAAUCAGUCAGCACCACUAGCCAUACCUUUCACUCUGCAUAGUCAGACCGAGGUUGUCCCGACUCCUAUCAUCGUGCCUACCCCAACCUCAGAGGACCCACAUGCUUGUAUGGAUAGGCUCGAUAAGAAGUUGAGACAAUUGAGGAGUUCAGACAGACCUGUUACUUGGGACGAUUUUGAUGGACUACCAGUGGCCAGUUUGCCGGCCAAGUUCAGGAUGCCAGAGAUUGAGCGAUACACGGGCAUUGGCUGUCCUUGCAUCCAUUUGAGGCUUUAUAGUACUAUCAUGAGGGCCCAUGGACUAGAUGAGGUUCAGAUGAUUAUGUUUUUCCCCAUGUGCUUGAACGGUGUGGCGUAGUGAUGGUUUGCUUUAUUGGAUACAUCCCAAAGUCGGACUUGGGAUGAUUUGGCCUAGGAGUUUUUGAGACAAUUCACAUUUAAUACUGUCAUUGACGUCUCGAGGAGAGAGUUAGAGGCAUUGAGACAGAGGCCAGAGGAGUCGAUCACCUCAUUUAUCUCCCGUUGGAGGGAGAAGAUUUCAUAGGUUAUUAAUAGACCAUCGGAGAAGGAUCAUAUUAGCAUGAUUAUGAGAAGCUUGCAACCUCGAUUUGCUAGACACUUGAUGGGAUUUCCUCAUAGAGAUUUUGGAUCUUUGGUACAGGCCUUGUAUGGUAUAGAGGAGGGCAUAGCCAGAGGAUUAUGGUCUGAGUCUUCUCUUUCUAAUUCGAAGGGGAAGAAACCUUUAAGAUGAUAGAGGCUAGUUGAUGUGAGCGCCCCUAGUUCUACCAGCCAGAGGCCUCCUAUGCGUCAUUAGUCAGUGCCACAGCUUCCUGAGACUCAUCCUUCAUAUCCACCUCAACAGUACAGGCCACGAGCGCCUCGUCCGACUUUUGAUCAUGCUUACAUGCCUCAGACACUAGUUUUGCCUUACUAUGCCACUCAGGGCAUCGAGAGACCACCUGUUUCAUAUACAGCCACAGGAUAGCCAUGCUAUGCGGCGUAGUUUACCGCAAGACCUACAUCUUCUUAUCCCAGGCUUAGAGCUCAACAGACUUCUGUUCCUUUUGUUUUGAGGACGCAGAUAUAGUUCUCGCAGUUAAGCAUGCCGUUGAGCCAGGCUAUUCGGAAACCUAUAGAGGUUGGGUUGUUGAUUGCUCUCACUCUUAGGCCACCACCUCAGCCUCUUCCUUCUCGGUUCAGGAUGGAUUUGCACUAUGCAUACCAUCAAGGACCUAGACAUGAGACUGACCGUUGUACCGCUCUGAGACAUGCCAUCCAAGAUCUGAUCGACCAGGGUUUGGUUCACUUAGAUUAGCCGAGUGUAACCACAAACCCACUAUCGACCCACACCACACAUGCGGUUCCCCCACCAACCAAUAACAUUCAUUUUCUGGAUUUUGCUGGGUUUGACGACCAUAUCCAUAUGUUGAGCCGGGAUGACACAGAGCGAGAGCCCAUAGUGUCAGAUGGGAUUUAUGAGAUGAGUGGGGUGACUUUGGGACCUUAGAUACCCGCUCCAUUCAGAUUCGUCCCUAAGGCGGUAUCGGUACAAACGACCACUAUCGAGCGAUUGACUUUCUCACAUUAUAGUGUUCAGACGCAUUUUGUUUUGAUUCCAGAUGUUGAUGGGGUUCAGACUUCUUAUGUUGAUGUUUAUCAGACUCCAUAUGUCGAUGAUGUUCAUACUUUAGAUGUGCAGUAUGUUAUCCACGGAGGUAGGGUAGUACGGCAGCAGCCCCCCGCUGCCGCUAGACCCUUGAAGGGAACGUCAUCCCAAGAGGAGGUCGAGAGGGAGGAUGAUCAGAUUCUGAUGCAGUUACAAAGCACUCAUGCUUGUAUUUCCAUCUAGAGCUUGUUAGCAUCUUCUAGUAAUCACCGAGAUGCUUUGAUUUGAGCCUUGAGCCAGAUCAGAGUUGAAACUACCACCACUCCGGAGGGAUUGAUUCAUAUGGUGAUGGCUGGCAGAGCCGCAUGCAUAGUAUUCUCUGAUGACGGCUUGCAACCAGAGAGUGCGAACCAUACAUGUCCAUUUUAUAUAUCAGUUGGUUGUUUAGGCUAUCGAGUCUCAUUUGUCAUUUUGGAUAACGACUCGGCCCUGAACGUUUGCCCUCUGGCCACUGCCAUCGCCCUUGGUUAUGCGUCCUCUGACUUUGGUCCCUUCACUCAGAUAGUUCGAGCAUACGAUAACACUCAAAGGGAGGUCAUGGGCACUCUAGAGAUUGAGUUGCUGAUAAGUCCGAUCACAUUUGUUACUUUGUUCCAGGUUUUGAAGAUUCCUACAUCAUUUAACCUGCUAUUGGGUCGACCUUGGAUUCACAAAGUCGGGGUCAUUCCUUCUUCCCUUUAUCAAAAGGUGAAGUUCAUUUGCGAUGGUCAGGUCAUCACAGUGCGGUCUAUAGGAGAUAUGUUUAUUUCUACUCAGCCGGUGCUUCAGAUUAGUCACAAUGAUGAUGACUUACUUCUGAGUGGAUUCACAUUCGACGAGGUGCAAACCCUAAAGAUGGAGAAUUUUUUCCGAGACUUCGUAGCUAUGUCGUUUGACUAGCAUGGUAGCACGGUGGUGCUCGAUAUGAUGAGGAGUAUGUCUUAUCUUCCCGGUAUGGGAUUGGGGCGACGUCAGCACGGGCCUAGUGAGUUCAUGGCUAUCCCCGAUCACGAUGUACCGUUCGAACUCGGGUUCAUCCCCACUGAGGCUAAUUAUCGAUAUAUGGCGCAACUGCGCAAGGAGAUGGGUGAGAGCCCAACUGACUCACACGCCUUUUGAUUAUCCUGUUCGCUCAUACACCAUGAGCUUAACAGAAUACUUUGUGAAGGCGUCAGUGCCGCAGAUGCCUUCAAAUGGGAUAAUUGGGGGACUCGAAACUACUCAAGAGGCCAAGCUUCAGCGCCUCGUCUAUCAGCUACAGUUGAGUGAUGGAGUUCCUGGCACUUCGAUAUCUGUGUUGGCUGCCCUAUCAUCUCCAGAUCGUAUGAGCCUUAUGACGCUUUAUUUCCCGGAUGAGAUCAACGAGCAUGAGACAUUUGCUCGAGAUUGGAAACAUAGUGGACAGAGCCAUUCCACAUAAAGAGUACGUCGAUGAGAUGCUCGCGAUGAGCUUAAGCCAGAUCAAGGAGAUAGUUCAGCCUGGGCUCCCUUCACCAUUUGAUCUUUUCGGGGUGUCCGUCAUCCAGAUUGCUGAGGAGAUCCCGACUGCUUCUACUCCGGAGUUUACUGAGGGUGCCAUAGCUGUUAAUGACUUGUUUGAUGGCCCUGUUGGCCUAGUUGAGGGAGCGUCCGACUUUGUGGACCCACUUAUUUCAUUUGAUGUUUUAUCGGGAUUUGUUUCCCUUCAUGAUGAUGUUCUUGGCUCUUCAUUUAUGGAUUUGAGUAUUUUUGAGUAUUUGCCUGCCUCUUGUGAUAUUGCUUUAUCUACACCAUCUUCACCCACAUCACAGAUAUUUGACAUUGAUGAUGAGAUUGUACAACAUGAUUCAAAUGAUGACUCAUCAUCCGCUUCUGAUUCGAACCCCAUUGAUUAGAGAGUUUCACCUACUAUAGGGGAUGCUGAGAUUGUUGAUUUCAGCACAACAGAUCAACUUAGGGAGUUGAGGAUCAGAUCGGAUUUAUCUACUGAUAAGAGGGAUAACCUCAUCCAAUUGCUCAAAUCAUACUUGGACAUUUUCGCAUGGUCUUAUGAGGACAUGCCGAGUCUUGAUCCAUCUAUCGUCCAACAUCAUUUGCCACUUCUACCCUAUGCCAGACCGGUUAAGUAGAAAUUGAGACAGUUGCACCCUCGUUGGAGUUUGCAAGUGAAGGAGGAGAUCCAAAAGCAGCUCAGUGUGAGAUUUUUUUCAAUGGUCGAGUACCCGGAAUGACUCACCAAUGUCGUCAUUGUUCUAAAAAAGGACGACAAGGUGAGAGUCUGUGUUGAUUUUCGAGAUCUCAACAAGGCCAGUUCUAAGGAUGAUUUUCCUCUCCCACACAUCGACAUGCUAGUUGACAAUACAACAGGUCAUUCGAUGUUGUUCUUCAUGGAAGGAUUUUCCGGGUAUAGUUAGAUCUUGAUGGCUCUAGAGAACAUGAAGAAGACGUCAUUCAUUAUCGAGUAGGGUACUUAUUGCUAUAGAGUCAUGCCAUUCGAGUUGAAGAAUGCAGGAGCCACUUAUCAGAGAACAACAACCACACUCUUCCAUAACAUGAUGCAUUGAGAUGUCGAGGUUUAUGUAGACGACAUGAUAGUGAAAUCCCGAGAUAGAUCAGAUCACCUAACAACUCUGGAGAGGUUCUUUGAGAGGAUCAAGCGGUUUAGAUUGAGAUUGAAUCCUAGGAAGUGCAUUUUUGAAGUGACUUCUGGGAAGCUCCUAGGAUAUAUGGUCAGUGAGAGAGGCAUAGAGGUAGAUCUGGAUAAGAUUAGAGCCAUCUUUGACAUGCCUGCACCGAGAACAAAGAGAGAGGUCAAAGGCUUCUUGGGUAGACUUCAGUACAUCAGCAGAUUCAUCGCCAGAUUGAUAAACAUCUGUGAGCAGCCCAAUUUUCUACUCUUGAGGAAGAGUCAACCUACUGUUUGAGAUGAUUAGUGUCAGCAUGCAUUUGAGAGGAUCAGAGAGUACUUGUUGUCACCUCUAGUAUUGGCGCCUCCUACACCAGGCCAUCUUUUACUCCUAUACCUAUCAGUCUCAGACGUAGCAUUGGGAUGCAUGUUGGCUCAAGUCGAUGAUUCAAGCAAGGACCGAGCCAUUUAUUAUCUAAGUAAAAGAAUGUUAGAUUACGAGACGAGAUAUGUCAUGAUUGAGCGCUAUUAUUUGGCAUUGGUUUAGGCCACUCGUCGACUGAGACAUUAUGUGACCGAGUAUUCAGUGCACUUGAUAUCCCAUCUAGAUCCUCUUAGAUACUUGUUUGACAUACCUGCCUUGGUUGGUCGCCUCAUGAGAUGGUUGGUACUUCUGACUGAGUUUGACAUCCAUUAUGUCACUUAGAAGUCCAUCAGAGGGAGCAUUAUCGCAGAUCACCUAGCCUCAUUACCAGUUUCUGAUGGUAGGACUAUUGAUGAUGAUUUUCCAGAUGAGGAUGUUGCUACUGUGCUUAGUCUGUCAGGUUGGCGCAUGUACUUUGAUGGUGCAGCCAACCAUUCCAAAUAUGGGAUAGGAGUUUUGUUAAUAUUCUCUCAUGGUGACCACAUUCCUAGAUCUAUUCGUUUGGCAUUCUCGAAUUGACACCCAGCCACGAACAACAUUGUUGAGUAUGAGGCUUGUAUCUUGGGAUUAGAGAUGAUCCUUAAGUUUGGGAUUAGAUAGAUGGAGGUGUUUGGUGACUCCAAUAUGGUAUUAAGAUAGAUUCAAGGUGAGUGUAAGACUAGAGAUGUGAAGCUUAGGUCUUACCACGCAUAUUUGGAGCUACUGGUUGGGAGAUUUGAUGAUUUAAGAUACACACAUCUACCUAGAGCGCAGAACCAGUUUGUUGAUGCCUUAGCUACUUUGGUUUCCAUGAUUGAUAUUCUUGUCGAUGCCAUUGUUUGCCCUUUACUGAUCAAGUCGAGAUCUGCUCAUGCCUACUAUUACCUAAUUGAUGAUGUAGAGCCAGAUGAUGGUUUGCCCUGGUACCAUGACAUAUAUCACUUUCUGAGACUUGGCGUAUAUCCUAAGGCCGCCAUGACCAAGGCUAAGAAGGCAUUUGAGAUAGUUGGCUGCCCGAUUUGUGAUUUGUGGCAAGACACUAUACAGACGAUCAGUUGAUGGGAUGUUGCUAUUAUGCUUAGACCACGCCUUUACUGAUCUAGUGAUGAGAGAGGUUCAUGCAGGAAUCUGCAGACCACAUAUGGAAGGGCAUAUGCUAGCUCGUAAGAUCAUGAGGACUGGCUAUUUCUGGUUGACCAUGGAAACAGACUGUUGCCAGUUUGUUCAGAGAUGUCCUGAGUGCCAGAUACACGGUGACCUCAUUCACGUGCUUCUUCAGAAUUACAUGCGUUGACUUCGCCGUGGCCAUUUUUAGUAUGGGGUAUAGACAUUAUUGGGAAGAUUUUACCGAAGUCUUUCAGUGGGCAUGAGUUCAUCUUGGUCGCCAUCUAUUACUUCACCAAGUGGGUGGAGGUUGCUUCGUAUGCAAGAUUGACGUCAUUUGAAGUUGCUAGUUUCAUCAGAUCACACAUUAUUUGUCGCUAUGGAGUCUCUCAUGAGUUGAUUUCCGAUAAAGAGGUACAUUUCACAGCAGAGGUUGACACCUUAGUGCAGCGAUAUGGCAUCCGACAUCUUAGGUCAUUUGCGUACAGGCCGUAGACGAAUGGAGCAGUAGAGGUCGCCAAUAAGAAUAUUAAGAGGAUCUUACGAAGAAUGGUUGGGACUUCUCGGGAUUGGUCAGAGAAAUUCCCUUUCGCAUUGUGGGCUUAUCGAAUUUCUUUUCGCACCUCCAUAGGAGCCACACCCUACUCUUUGCUGUAUGGUAUGGAGAUAGUGCUACCAGUUGAGAUUGAGAUGGGUUCAUUGAGGAUAGCAUUAGAGCGGCAGAUUCCAGAGGCAGAUUGGGCUCAGGCCCGAUUAGAUCAACUCAAUCUCCUAGAUGAUAGGAGAUUGAGGGCAGCAGACCAUGUUCGCUCAUAUCAUUAGAGGAAGAUGACCCGUGCUUUCAAAAAGCGGGUCAAGGCUUAACCACUAUGGAUAGGUGACUUGGUUCUGAAUGUCAUCAAGGGAUUGAUAAGAGAUCCUAGAGGGAAGUUCAAACCCAAUUGGAGCGGACCUUACUUCAUCAAGGAGUUAACCCUAGAGAACGCUACAUGGUUGAUGGAUCUAGAUGGAAACCGAUUCUCGGAGCCGAUCAACGUAGAUUAGCUAACGAGGUACUAUGUUUGAGACCAUGGUCAUAGGAUGGGUGGUCAUCAUUUCAGUUAGCCAUAUACCUUGUUAUUCCCCUUUGAUACAUAGACUGUUGCUAGCCCAUUGAGCCUCGUGUGUGCAUUAUAGCAUUUCUAUCUUAUUACCUUGCUCACAUUGUUACACCAGGAUUGGGGCCCUUUAGUGUGUGCAUGCGUUGUUUGGGAGCCUGAUAAGUCUUGGACCUACAAGUGCGUCUUUCUCUCAUUAUUUUUUCCUACCAUCACUCUAAUGCAUAUCAUCACAUCUCGUUGGCCAGGUUCUUCAUUCAUUCUCCUUUAUUAUAUCUACUGCUUGUUUUGCUUCAUAUUCUCUUCACCCUGAGUGGUAAUCCUCCUCAGUUCAUUGCAUGAAGGAUAGUCACAUCAUUUCCACCAUCUAUCCCACGGACACUGAUUCUGAGAUCCUUAGUUUGAGAAGGUUAUCUCGUCAGAGAUAGUUUUUGAGAGUGUGUCUAUCCAUUGUAGAUGUCAUAUUUGGGGAUCAUUUGUUUAUGAUUCAGGGUAUAUGCAUUUGUAUAUAUGUAAAAAAAAAAAAAAAAUGAAAAUGUAAAACAAAAGAAAAAAAUGAAAAUGAAAAGAAAAGAAAAAUAAGCAUGUGUGUAUGUGCAUAGUAUUCUCCAUCAUUGGGCAUGUAUAUUGAUGUUUGAGGGUUACUUCAUUAAGUAUGUUUGUUGAUGAGAGCUCGUAUGUGAGCUUUCCGAGACCGUUCAUUAUUUGUAUUCAGGUUUCAUGUAUUUUGAGAGUGAGAUGAGUGACUUUCUCUUAGGAGCUUUGUAUCAUUGUCCUUUCCAUCAUUACAUUCAUUGUUGAUGUGACUUCACCUCAUGUUGGAUUUGAGCGGAUCAUCAUUCCUCUUUGUGUUCUUCGCUUCACCAUCAUCCUCGUUUUUGCUUUUGAUUCAUCAUCAUCAUCUCACCCCUUGUCAUUUUCUUACAACGACUCUUUUAUUCCCAGUUUGACACUUCCUCCACAUCAUCCUUACACAUCUCAUUAUCAGAUCAAUUUUUUUUCAUUGCCUCGUUAUUGACAUCAUAUUCACAUUAGGCACCCUCAGGUCCGUGACUCACGAGAUUUUCUAUACAUGUGGCAUUUCAUACAUGAGGGCAUGGGUUUCUGUUCAUUUGGUAUUUUGGCCUAGUUUCCCUUCAUUUUUAUCACCCUAUCAUCCCAGUCUACGUUACGUCCCGUGUCUUAAGACCACCCUAAGGCCAUGAGAUCAGAUGUCAUCUUUGACAACCUAUAAUUGGACUGGUGUUUGAGAUCUGAUUGACAUUUAGAUAUUGUCAUGCUUCCUCUUCUGGGAGAUGUCUUUCUGAUGAUUAGAUUUGUUUCAAUUAUGUUUGGAUUACCAGGAUUACAUGUUCGAUGAUAGAUGAUUCCAUGUCACCUAAUUUUAUGAUCUAUCACAUAUUUGGUGUCAUACUAGGGCAUAUUCCGUUUCGGGCGAGAUUUACAAAUCUUCACGGAGUUGCAUGCUUAUCCCCACUUGCGAGAUAUACGCCGAAAUGAUUGACUGGUUCGCUAUUUUAUGAUGAUCCAUUAGUGGAGCCUCUGUGGAGCCGUUCAGCCAGCCCCAUAUUUCUCGGUAUUUGGUUAUUAUCAUGCUUCUUAUUCCGAGAGGCGUUCCCUAGAUGUUUGGAUUUGAUUUGGAUCACGGAGAUCACAUGCUCGAUGAUAUAUGAUUCCAUGUCACUUGAUUUUCUGAUUUAUCACAUAUUCGAUGUCAUACUGGGGCAUAUUCCGUUUCGGGAGAGAUUUAUAGAUCUUCAUGGAGUUGCAUGCUUAUCCCCACUUGCGAGAUGUACGUCGAGAUGAUUGACUGGUUCGCUAUUUUAUGAUGAUCCCUCAGUGGAGCCUCUGUGGAGCCCUUCGGUCAGGUCCACAUUUCUCGGUAUUUGGUUACUAUCAUGCUUCUUAUUCCGAGAGAUGUUCCUUAGAUGUUUGGAUUUGAUUUGGAUCACGAAGAUCACAUGCUCGAUGAUAGAUGAUUCCAUGUCACCUGAUUUUUUGAUCUAUCACAUAUUCGGUGUCAUACUGGGGCAUAUUCCAUUUCGGGCGAGAUGUACGCCGAGAUGAUUGACUGGUUCGCUAUUUUAUGAUGAUCCCUCAGUGGAGCCUCUAUGGAGUUGUUAAGCCAGACCCAUAUUUCCCGGCAUUUGGUUACUGUCAUGCUUCUUAUUCCGAGAUACGCUCCCUAGAUGUUUGGAUUUGAUUUGGAUCAUGAAGAUCACAUGCUUGAUGAUAGAUGAUUCCAUGUCACCUAAUUUUCUGAUCUAUCACAUAUUCGGUGUCAUACUAGGGCAUAUUCCAUUUUGGGUGAGAUUUGCAGAUCUUCAUGAAGUUGCAUACUUAUCCCCACUUGCGAGAUGUACAUUGAGAUGAUUGACUGGUUCGCUGUUUUAUGAUGAUCCCUCAGUGGAGCCUUUGUGGAGCCGUUCAGCCAAACCCACAUUUCUCAGUAUUUGGUUACUAUCAUGCUUCUUAUUCCGAGAGACGUUCCCUAGAUGUUUGGAUUUGAAUUGGAUCACGGAGAUCACAUGCUCGAUGAUAGAUGAUUCCAUGUCACCUGAUUUUUUGAUCUAUCACAUAUUUGGUGUCAUACUGAGGCAUAUUCCCUUUCGGGAGAGAUUUAUAGAUUUUCAUGGAGUUGCAUGCUUAUCCCCACUUGCGAGAUGUACGCCGAGAUGAUUGACUGGUUCGCUAUUUUAUGAUGAUCCCUCAAUGGAGCCUCUGUGGAUCCGUUCAGCCAGGCCCACAUUUCUCGGCAUUUGGUUACUAUCAUGCUUCUUAUUCCGAGAGACUUUCCCUAGAUGUUUGGAUUUGAUUUGGAUCACGGAGAUCACAUGCUCGAUGAUAGAUGAUUCCAUGUCACCUAAUUUUCUAAUCUAUCACAUAUUUGGUGUCAUACUGGGGCAUAUUCCAUUUCGGGCGAGAUUUACAGAUCUUCACGGAGUUGCAUGCUUAUCCCCAUUUGUGAGAUGUACGCCGAGAUGAAUGACUGGUUCGCUAUUUUAUGAUGAUCCCUUAGUGGAACCUCUGUGGAGCCGUUUAGCCAGGCCCACAUUUCUCGGUAUUUGGUUACUGUCAUGCUUUUUAUUCCGAGAGACGUUCCCUAGAUGUUUAGAUUUGAUUUGGAUCAUGGAGAUCACAUGCUCGAUGAUAGAUGAUUCCAUGUCACCUGAUUUUCUUAUCUAUCACAUAUUCGAUGUCAUACUGGAGCAUAUUUCCAUUUCAGAUGAGGUUUACCAAUCUUCAUGGAGUUACAUGAUCAUCUCCACUUACGAAGUAUGAGCUGAGACGAUGACGUGUUCGUUACCUUAUCAUGAUCUCUCAGUAGAGCCUCUUUGGAGCCAUUCAGCUCGACCCACAUUUUUGGCAUUUGGUUGUCGCCAAGCUUAUUAUUCCGGAGACGUUUCAUAGAUGUUUGGGGUUUGAUUUGGGUCAUGGAGAUCGCACAUUUGAUGAUGGAUGAUUUCAUGUCACCCAAUUUUCGACUUAUCGUACAUCUAACGACAUACUGGGGCAUAUUUCCGUUUUGAUCGAGAUUUACAAAUCUCCAUGGAGUUGCAUGCUUAUCUCCACUUACGAGGUACACACCGAGAUGAUGACCUAUUUGUUAUCUUAUCAUGAUCCCUUAGUGGAGCCUCUCUGGAGCCAUCCAAUCAGAUUCAUAUUUUUUCGGCGUUUGGGUUGUUGUCAUGUUUCUCCUUCUGGGUUAUGGAUUUGGAUGACGAGGUUCGUGCUCCUGAUGAUAGAUGACUUGAGGCCAUUUGAUUUUUCCAACCUAUCACACAUUUGAUUCCAUACUGGGGCAUUUUUCCCCUUUCGAUCAAGAUUUGUAGAUCCCCACGAGUUUGCAUGAUCAUCCCCAUUUAUGAGAUACACAUCAGGUUGAUGAUUCGAUUUCAUUUUGUCUUGAUUCUUUCGUGGAGCAUUUUUCUUGAGUCAUUUCGUCAGGCUCACACUUUCUGAUUUUGUUGUGAUUUUUGGAUAGAGUCAUCUCAGGUGCAUAGGAUCCCAUAUCAUCAUUUCAGUGGGACACAUGUCAGAUCUUUUAUAUAUUCCCAUGGAGUUAUUCUCGGGUUAUCAUGAUAGACCGAGUACAUCUGACGCCAUAUUGGGGCAUAUUUCCUUCCUCCAGCUGUAGAGUUUCGAUGAUUUUUGCUAAGAUGAGCCACCAGAGGAACACGACUUCCGGGUUUUGACUGCCCUACUAUCCAUGACUUUUCAGUGGAUUGAGAUCGUAGUAGUUACCCUAGCAGACUAUUCUUUUGUGACCCCCUAGUGGAUCAUUUUUUCGGUAUGAUGAUGGAUUCUUCCAAUAAAACAUUUUGAGUUAGAGAAGUUCUACUUAUUGCGACACUUCAUCAGAUCUCGCGAUUUAGUCAGAUGGGUUGUGAGACUAAGUUCACAGUCGAUUUAAUCAUUUCGACUCGCUAGCAGAGCAUCCUUCAAGACUCAUGAAGUCUUUUUUGUCAUUUCCAUGGACUGAAAUCUGUAGUAGCAUGCUACAUUGGGGCAUAUUCCCCCCUCAUCAUCUCUAUUCAUCUUCAGUCUCGGCGUUCAGAGCCACCGUUUCUUCACAAUUUGGCGUUCAGAGCUAUAUCUUCAGUUUGGUGUUCCAGGUCACGCAUUCUUUUUAGCGUUCAGAGCCAUCAUCAUGUUCACAGUUUGGCGUUUAGAGUCACUAUCUCUUCUUAGUUUUGGUGUUCAGAGUCGCAUCUUCAUUUUGGCAUUUAGAGCCGUUAUUUCUGUUCAGCAUUCAUAGUUACUAUUUUUAGUUUGGUGUUCAGAGCCACCGUUUCUUCGUAUUUUGGCGUUUAGAGCCAUAUCUUCAGUUUGGCGUUCAAAGUCACACUUUCAUUUUGACGUUCAAAGCCAUCGUCAUCUUCUCAAUUUGGGUGUUCAGAGCCACCAUCUCUUCUUAGUUUGGGUGUUCAGAGCCACCAUCUUUUCUCAGUUUGGGUGUUCAGAGCCACCAUCUUUUCUCAGUUUGGGUGUUCAGAGCCACCAUCUUUUCUCAGUUUGGGUGUUCAGAGCCACCAUCUUUUCUCAAUUUCGGCGUUCAAAGCCACCAUCUUCUCAGUUUUGACAUUCAGAGCCACCAUCUUCUUAGUUUAGGCGUUCAAAGCCAUCAUCUUCUCAGUUUGAGCGUUCAGAGCUACCAUUUUCUCAGUUUUGACGUUCAAAGCCACCAUAUCUUCUCAGUUUCGGAAUUUUAAAGCCACCAUCUUCUCAGUUUCGGCGUUCAAAGCCAUCAUCUUCUCAAUUUGGGCGUUCAGAGCCACCAUUUCUUCUAAGUUUCGGCGUUUAGAGCCACCAUAUUCUCAGUUUCGGCGUUCAGAGCCACCAUCUUCUCAGUUUGGGCAUUCAAAGCCACCAUCUCUUCUCAGUUUGAGCGUUCAGAGCCACCAUCUUCUCAGUUAAAGCAUUCAGAGCCACCAUCUCUUCUCAGUAUGGGCAUUUAGAGCCACCAUUUCUUCUUAGUUUGGGCGUUCAGAGCCACUAUCUCUUCUCAGUUUCGGCAUUUAGAGCCACCAUCUCUUCUCAAUUUGGGUGUUUAGAGCCACUAUCUAUUCUCAAUUUGGGCGUUCAUAGCCACCAUCUCUUCUCAGUCUUGGUGUUUAAAGCCACCAUCUUCUUACGACUCAGCCUUCAAAGUCAUCAUUGCUUAUCGGUUACGACGUUCAGAGUCAUCUUCCUCGGUUUUGACGUUCAGAGCCACCAUUUCCUUAUAGCUUGACGAUUAGAGUCAUCAUCGCUUCUCAAUUACGACGUUCAGAGUCGUAUUUCUCAGUUAUGGCGCUCAGAGCCUUCAUCUUCUUCAGUUUGACGUUCAGAGUCGCACCUCUAGCUUGGCAUUUAGAGUUACUAUCUCUUUACAAUUUUGCUUUCAGAGCCAUCAUCCUAUUGCGAUCGGGCAUUCGUUGCCACUUUUUCGACAUUCAGAGCCACCAUCUUUUCUCAAUUAUGGCAUUCAAAACCAUCAUCUCUUUACAACUUGGCGUUUAGAGUCAUCGUCCUUCUCAAUCAUGGCAUUUAGAGCCACAUUUCAGGCAUUCGAAGUCAUGAUUUUCUAAAGCUUAUCAUCCUCCCUUGUGCAUGAUAUAGCUCUUUGAGCUUAUAGCUUAUGUUUUGAUUGUAUCAUUGGUGCCCCUCACUUCGCGCUCUUGUAUGGUGCAUGUAUAGUUUCCCUUUUAUAUAUGUUCCUCUCUAUGCUCCUAGAUGGUUUGACUACUACUCAACUUUGACUUCGAUCUUUGAAUCACUUUUGGUGACAUCUUAGAGGGAGUCUAGAUCCUUAGCGCGGCUUCAAAGGCACUUUGAGAGAUCCAUUUUUCUCUUAGGAUUUUAAAGCUCUUUUUACUCCUCUGAUGGUUUGGGUGAGUUUGUGUUUUACUUGUGUACCUUUAGGGAUCUUUCUUUGUCUUCGGUAGAGUUCACUUCAUUUCACUCUCUAUUCACACUUUUUUUUCACUUUAGUGUUUACAUUCAUUACACUCGUGAGCUCUACCGAAGAGGGGCAUAUUUGUAGACCCCUUUGUGGACACCAUCCGAGAGAGUGGUUUUUCUUUCAUUUUUUUGAAAUGGGGGGACCCCUUUCUGCCAAGAACAAGCUGCAUGGACAUGUGGCCAAGAGCAUGGCUCACCAUGGUGGUGGUUGAUGGUGAUGACAUCCUCCCGGGACAAGGAGCAGUAAAGUGGUUGGUGGCUUGCGGGAGAAGACAGAAAUGGGGGCAGGCAAGCAAGCUGCGAGGGGGUAGGUGAUUUUGGGGUUGCUGGUUUUGGGGAGAUACACUGGAAAAUGCUUUCUUUGGCUGGGGAGUCUUUGUUCUAGGGAGGAGGAAUUCUUUGGCCAGGCAAGAACUGUGAAAGAGCUCUCAGGUAAGUUUACUGGGUAUCUCUUGUUCACAUUUACUAUCACCGUUCUUUCAUUUUCCCCCUUCGCUAUUUGGGGUUUUGUUUGUUUGUUUGGUUAUGGAUAACAGGAGUUAUGCAUGAGUUUUGUUAAUUUCCAGUUUGUUCAUAUACCCAUUGAUCGCUUCAUUCACUAUCCUUCUUAAUAUUGGUUUAAACCCAAUGAAGUUCUGUUUCAUUUUGCUCUAUGUGAAGAUAUUGCUUGUUAUUUUCUCGUUUGGACCUGUUGGUACCCUUCCCACCCAUCCAAGCCCGUUGAAAGAGCAUUAGAUAUGGUUUUUCUUAAUUCACACACACACAUAUAUAUAUAUAUAUAUAUAUAUUUGUUUACUUUUCCUGGCUCUCCUUUGUUCUAGUCUAUAUUUUCUUUUUCCCGUUUUUUUUAUGCACUCGAUCCAGAAUGUCGGUUGAUUGAGUGUCGGUCAGAGGAAUUGGUUUUGGGCUUGUUCUAGAGAAAUGCGCUGGUAAAUAUACAUGCACAAUGUGGAAAAGGUGAAGUUGUUAAUACCUUAUCCAUUUGUUUUUCCGGGCACACGAAUGUUGGUCAAGUAGCCGAAAGAUUAAGAUGAGGCUUUCUCCCAUCACCAUUCCAGCUGAUUCAGUUGUGACUGUUGGUAUUGUGCCCUAUUCCGGGGUCCGUUCAAAAGUGUCUUCGGCUAAGGUUGUGCAAGCUAAAUCAGUUGAUGCUUAAUAUGCUUAGGAAUACUACUUGUGCGUUUUUCAAAUUUUAUGCAAAGGUGACAAGCCAAACAUCAGUGGAAAUGAUGCAUGACUCCUCCAAUAGAUCAGUUCAUACAAUUUUCAGGUGUGGGAAUAUAUGCUAGCAACGUUCUUGAAGUCACUAAUUGGUUCCCAUUUCCAACCCUAGAAGAGAAUGGUGAGACUGAAACAUCAUGUGGUCCCGACAUUUCAUCAUAUAUAAUUCCUUCAUACCCAUAUUCCCACUACCUUCCAUCCUCUAAGCCUCAUUCAUACCCAUAUCACUACUUCAUCUACCCGUAUUCUCAUAUUUCCAUCUCGUCACCAUAUUUUCUCUCUUUACACCACGUGCAUGUCCAUUACCACUCAUGCAUAUCACCACCCUCCUAUGCCCACCUUGCCCAUUCUUUCUUACCACCUUUCUCUUUUUACACCACAUGCCUCCCAAACCCACUACUCGUAUUUCACGCUUCAUCCCAUCUCAUCCCAUAUCCCUCCCAUGGAUAUCAUCACUUUCACAUACCCAUCACUACAUUUCUCUCUCUACACCACACCAUGUUCCCACUUUUUUUUUUUAAUAUGUCACUAGAUCCAUUUCUUCCCACUUUGCAUGGUCAUGCAUGGCCACACUAUGUCACUUCCACACUCAUACCCGUUCCAUACCCACAUCUUCCUAUCUGUAUUCCUACCCUUUUUUAAAAAAAAAAAAAAAAAUCCACUCACUCGUUUCUCUCACUACCACUACCCUUCAUUACUCAUCCCUACCCAUGGCAACCCAUACUCUCCUCACUCAUCUAUUACACCCACUGUCAAUAGCUCUCUUCAUCACCAUACCUAUUUUUUCCACUCUUUCUAAAUCCAUUGGACUCUCUCAUCUCACCACCCUCCAUCAUCCGUUCCAUCAAUAACCUCCCCGAAGACCAAGAAGAUUUUGCAACUUCUGCGCUUGAGAUAGAUAUUUAACAGUGUCUUCCUGAAAGUGAACAAGGAAACAACGAAUAUGUUGCACAAGGUUGAGCCUUACGAGACAUGCGGGUAUCCCAAUUCAAAGAGUGUUAAGGAAUUGGUUCACAAGCCAGGGUGCCUACCCGCUACAGUGAAACGCUUGGCUUUCAUAGUCUGCAUCGCGAGACAAUCAUGAAGCAUCAGUAUUGUUUGCAUUAGAGCGGGGUAUACCUUCCAUAGUUGGUACUCUUGGAAGUAUGUCUAUGGGAUGAAGCUGAUAUAUUAUCUGUUUUAUUUGAUAAUGGAUGAAAUCAUGGUGACUUUGUGGUCUAUAUCAUCCAGAAGUUCUCUCAAGAGAUAUAGCCGUCAUGUGAAGAUUCUUUUUCCUCACACGGUUACGCUGCUAAGAAGGAUUUCUCAUGCUUUGAAGGUCAUCAUGAAUCGAAAGACUCAAGAAGAAGGGUUAGCAUUGGUUCGUACUCAUCAGAUGCCUAGAAACAAGUGGGCAGAGUUGACAAAACUCUCGUCGAGAAGAACAGACAAUGCAAUAAAAGACCACUAGGACAGUUAUGUAAAGAAGAAGUUGGACUCUCAUAUAGCAUCAGAUUCACUUGCACAGUCCCAAGGCCAGCCUCUUGUUGGUCACUGAAACUGAUCGAUCCAUUCAUCUUCUUCAAAUAUGUAAUAGAGUAGUGGAGGUGAUGGCGGAGCCAAAGGUGGGAUAGAAGCAGAGGAAAUUUCAGAAUAUAGUCAAGGUUCAAUUGCGGAUUUUCUGGAAGCGUGAGGCACCAGUUUAAUUCAAAUGGGCAACCCACUCCUUCUUUUGAGCUGGGACAAGCAUCAUCAGGUUUAUCAUCGCAUUUUAAAGGUGGCAGAGGAAACCAGGGCACAGUUUCUGUCCCGUUCAUGAACUUCUGUAGGGUUGAGUGAUUCCUCUUCCACGGGAAAUAUAGGUGUGGACUCUGAUAUACCUGAGCAUUUACUGAUAUCUGAAGGCGACUGUUGUGGGUUCAGAUUCCAAGAGGAACUCCAGCUUCACAGUCAUAUUACUCCCUAAGGAUGACAGCGGCAAGCAUCACUAGCACCAAUAGGGUAGUCACAAUCGCACCCAAGGCCCAUGUGUAUUAUGGCCAACCUCCCAGACCCAUUUUCAAGGCCCACGUGCUUCUUUCCUUCACCUUAAAAAAAAAAACAAAAAAUGAUGAUUUUCUGAAAAUCCAAUUUCCAAAUAAUUCAACUCUCUAUUCUUUCAUCUCUAGAAUUUUUGGGUCCUAAAUUCCAUUUCCCAAUUUCCAUAUUUAUUUAUUUAAUAAGUAUUAUUUUUGUUAUUAUUAUUAUUAUUAUUCUAUUUAUUUAUUCAUUUAUUAUAAAAUUCCACCUUUAAAUAAUUUUCCAAAAUUCCGACUUCUGGAUUUAAAGUUCCAAUUUAAAAAAUCUCAAUAUUCACAUUCAUUUAUUUAAUUAUCAUUUUUGUUUUUAUUAUUAUUCUUUUUAUUUAUUUAUUCAUUUAUCAAUUCUUCAAAAUUUCGACUUUCAAAUAUAAUUUCUGAUUUUUCAUAAUUUCACUAUUCACAUUCAUUUAUUUAAUUAUUAUUUUUGUUAAUAUUAUCAUCAUUCCAUUUAUUUAUUUAUUUUAAAAUUUCAUCUAUUAACAAUUCUUCAAAAUUCCAGUUUCCGAAUUUAAUUUCCAAUUUCAAAUUUUCCACUAUUCACGUUCAUUUAUUUAAUUACUAUUUUCGUUACUAUUAUUAUUACUCCGUUUAUUUAUUUAUUUAUUCAUUUUAAAAUUUCAUCUUUUAACAAUUCUUCAAAAUUCCGGUUUCGAAUUUAAUUUCCAAUUUAAAAAAUUCCACUAUUCACAUUAAUUUAUUUAAUUAUUAUUUUCGUUAAUAUUAUUAUCAUUCCAUUUAUUUAUUUUAUUUAUUCAUUUUAAAAUUCCAUCUUUUAACAAAUUCUUCAAAUUCCAAUUUUCAAAUUUAAUUUUCAAUUUCCAAAAUUCAUUUUUUCACAUUUAUUUAUUUAAUCAUUAUUAUUUUCGUUAUUGUUAUUAUUUUAUUUAUUUUAAUUAUUUAUUUUUGAAAAUUCCAUUUUUAAAUAAUUCUUUAGAAUUCCAAUUUUUGAACUUAACUUCCAAAAUUUCAAUUCUUAAAUUUAAUUCCCAAUACUCCAAUUUCCAAAUAAUUUUCAAGACUCCAAUUUUCAAAUAAAUUUCAAAAAUCCAGUUUUCACUCGAACAAUUUUAAUUUCAUUCCGAUUCUCAAAUAAUCUAUUGUUUAUCUUGAUUUUACAUAAGUAUGAAUGCAAUUUUUCAUAAUUCCACAAUAAUGGAAUUUGCGAAACUAAUUCGUGCAAGAUAGAUUGGAUUUUGGUGGGAGGCCCAACAUUGGUGUUUUUUUCCUCUAAAAAUAAAUUUAAUUGAAUUGAAUUGUGAUAUCUAUUGAUUUCUCACUCUGUUUAGUGGCAUAUGUGACAUAGUCUGUUUUUGUUAAUUCUGCACUAAUCUCAUUUCUUGAUAGCACAUUGUGGCUCAUGGCCCAAGUACGCAUCCGCUCCCAUUCUAGUCAUUCUCCAUGCAUAUUCUGAUUCUCAUAUGUGCAUGAUCGAUUUGAGUACCCAUUGAUUUCCUUAUUGAUUGCCACAUCAACUUCCUUUUAUCAGUAGAGACCUGACUUUAGGGACUUAUAUGGGUGCUACGGUCCUUACUAUACAUUCCCGAUAAGUAAUCUGACCUCCGAGUCUGAUCCGGUUUUUCAAAAAUCACUUUUUUCAAAAUAAGGAGUUACACUUAGGGUUUUCUUUCUUAUUUUGUAUACCCUUUUGAUUACUACUCAAAAAGUGCUAUUUGAUAGCUUGUAAUUAACUCUUUUAAACACUUUUGAGUAGUAGUUAUUGCCUUUUAACCCAAUUAACAUGUUAAGGACCCUUGCAAUCAAUUCUAAUCAAAUUGUGUUAAGUUUUGGUGUUUUUGUUAGUAAUUUGAUCACCAAAACAAUCCAAGAUUGAGGAGAGUUAUUUGGAAUCCAUGGCAAAGCUUUUGGAAGCUCAAAUUUAUGAAGAACCAAGCUUUGGAGCUCCAUAGCCCUUUGCCAAAGUCGUUCAAAGUAUGCAAGGAGAGAAGCAAGGAGAAGAGGAAAACAGAGUGAAGAAAACAGAGGACAAGAAGCUGCAGUCUUCAUGCGCACUUUUGGAGCACUUCCCGAAGUCCAUUUUCUACAUUCUAUAUACCAUUUCAAAGCUCAGGAAGUCAAGAAUCCAAUGCUUCAAACGGUGCGUGAUUCGGAGUUGAAACGAAGAAGUUACAGCCAUUGCAAGCAGAUCACUCCAAAGUGUUGCGAAAUCAGCCUUUUGUUGCGAGAAUUUCGCAGCCUUUUUGUACAGUGCUAUGGAAUUCCUCCUGAAGCUACCCGAUACAUGCCGCAAGCUGGAACGCUGAGAACCUCAAGGUGGAAGCCAAUUUCGCAGCCCUGCGAGUUUAACUUGUUGUUGCGAAAAUAUUUCGCAGCCCUCUUGGGUGUCUGCGAAAUCUCGCAGACACCAUUUUCACCUGCGAAAUGGUUCCUGAAGCUUCCCGAUAUUUUCCACCGACUCUUUUGGAUAUUUUUCUUCAGAUAUUUUUGUAUAAAUUUCCAUUUUCUCCUUGUAUUCAGCCACUCAUGUAAUUCCUUAGCUAGGAAGUGUCCAAGGAAGGGUAAAUUACCUUCCUAUAUAAACUCUCUUGCAUCCACUGUAAAAAAAACGCUCGGAGAAGUAUGUAAUAUAGAAACAAUAUAUAGAAUCAACGAACAGAGCACUUGCUCUGUUUUUUCAUAUAUAUUCUUGUCUUCUCCUUCAUUUUCAUUUUCUAGCCAACCAAACUCUGAGGAUUUUUCCACAGAGGAUGAGAGGCUAAGCUUUUUGUCUCUUGGAGUAAGGAAAGCCGGGUAAGUUUCCACAUGCAUAAUUUGGAAGUUUUGUUGUUUUAGUUUUAAUGAAGAGAAAGUGUAACCCGUUAAUGGUUUUUAUCUUUUUAGUUAACUUAAAACACCUUAGAGUCACCUGAGCCAACACUUGGUAAGGCAAGUGAUUUCUAUCCAUGGAAAUGCACUAGUUUACCCCUUGCGAGCCUUUGGGAGGUGACUUGAAGGUAGGAUUUUCUAGAAUAGCCAACACUUGGUAAGCUUUUGGACUCCAAGGAGACAUCCAUUAGUUAUCUCUUGCGAGCUUUUGACGGGUAAUCCAAGGUUAAAGAUCUCCUUGAAUGGCAAGUGCUAGGUGAGAGGUAUGAGCCAUUGCAAGAUGCAUCAGUGAGAGGGAUUUAGUGUUUGAACCCAUUAAUGGGAAGCAUCUGUACAACACCGGUUGGAGAAGGAACUAUAUGUUAAUUCUCUAAUGCGAGGAAAAGAAACAAGUGACCGGAACUCCCUUUUUGUAUGAGGAAUCUGAGCCUAGUGAUCUGAAAUUCCAAGAAACACUUUUCUUUGUAAGUAAAAUCAGUUACUAUUUUUGGUUAGCUUAAAACCAAUCCUUUUUCAUUCAAAAAUCUUUAUGUUUUCUUUUAAAGCUAACCUUGAAAUGAAAAGGCACCAAUUCAGCUUUAAAUUAAUAUCAUUUGCAAAGUGAAAACCCAUCCCAGUGAACGAUCCUAGAGCCACUAUACUAUAGUAGUUUUGUCUUUGCUACCCUAGUAUAUGGUGUAAUAGGUUAUAAAUUUUGUUGAUUACUCCCUCAAUCAAGGAGCACCAGCUGUACACGAAUCAGCUGAGACAUCAAUUGGGCACGAAUCAAAUGGCGCCGCUGCCGGGGAUCGAACCCCGAAUCAAAUGGUGCCAUUGCCACUGCCGCUGCUAGGGACGAAUCAUUAAAAACAAAACAAAAAUAAGUGGCGAUUCCAAGUCAUUUCUAAAAAAAAAAAUCAUAUUUUUCAUUAAAUAAAUAAAAAACGAAUUUGCCAUCGAGUGAGAACGCAUUGAGCAAAAAUGCGAGGUCCACAUAUUGUUAUUUUUAUUUAUAAAGAAUCGAAAUUUACUUUAUCAUUUAUUAAUUGGCAUGAAAUGUUUUGACUUGCCUUGAUUAAUAAGGACUUCCAUGGCUUACCUGAUAGAGUUGGGCCCUUAACGUUAUCCACUCUGCAAUGUAUCAUGCCCUUCCAAAGCUUAAUCAAGUCAACGGCUAAGGUGUAAUUUCAUGCAUUAAAUUAUUUUAAAAAAUGUUUAAUACUGCAGUCAAGCUCGUACUACAUAUACUCUAAAAUCAACAAUGUAAUUUUCUGCACUGAGCAAUUUCAUAAAAAUGGUUUUUGAGUAAAAGAGAUUUGGAUUUUGGCCUAUGGCCUAUGGACUUUCAAAACAGGGGGUUACUCCUUGCAUUAGCUUUGUCAGGAGCACAAACCUGACAAAGAAAGCAAUUGGCAACAUGUUGAAUUUAAGCCACAAGCAUAGAGAAUCUUCAAACUUUGCAGCCUCCCCAGGUUUUGUGGCAACUUGUGGAGUUUUGAACACUCACUGACAUUGAGAACUUCAAGAAAGCAUAAAUUACAAGUGCUUCCUGGAAGAGUCACAAGGUUUUGGCAUCUGUCCAGAUUCAAAAGUUCAAGCCUAUUCAAAUGUUCGAUUGAUGAUGGUAGCUCUUUUAUAGCCGUUCCGUUCAAGUGAAGCUCCCUUAAGUUUUCCAUAUUCUCCAAGAUUUCUGGAAAGUACUGUAAUUGUGAACAGUCAGAGCCAAAGAGAGAUUUUAGGGAUUUGAACUCCCGAAUGCUUGUUGGCAGACUCUCAAGGUUUUUGCACUCUCGCAAACAUAAGGUAUCAAAUUCAGAGGCAUGCUCAAUGGGUAGUAGGUUGAUUGUCUGACCCUUUAAACAAAGCUUUCGGUGUUCCACGUUCCUCUGACAUUCCACGCAGCUAGCAUCCACAUCCUCAGUCUGUACUAUUGGAUCUUGGGAGUAUAUAGGUUGAAGCCCACACUUGAGCACCUUAAAAUGAUUGCGAGAGCCCAUAAAUAGAGCCCCAAGAAACAUGGAUGGAUUGGUGUGACAGCUCUCCAGAAUAGCAGCCUUGGGAUAGAAUAUCACCCACAUUUGUUCUGAUGCACCUCCAUCAUGGUAGCAUUUACAAGUAGUGCGAAAACUGAGAGGUUGCACACACAGGGGAGAAAAUCCAUAUCCAUCAUGCAAUGACAAUUGACAUUCUAACUCAGUGGAGAUUGAAGAUUCAGCUUCAAAUAAAUCGUCAGAUUCAUUCAGGGCUUCGUCACCAGAUUCAUUCUCCGAAAAUGUAUGUGCAAAAUCAUUUUCUGGUAUGUCCUCACAUUCAUCGAGUGGAGCAUAAACACAGCAUAUAGCAAUUCCCAAGAAGUCAUUAUUUUCAUAACAACUCUGAGGAAGGUCCAUUGUGAUCUGAUAUCCCUCUCUCUGUUUCCUUAUCCACUUGGGAAUUCCACUGCUUCCCGGAACAACAAUACAGAUUCCAUGGCCAAUGAAGUCAGAAUCAGGGAGAAAUACUUCAUUUGAACUGCUCUUGUAUUUCAAAUCCUGUACAAAGGGACAAUGUAAAUCCAGUGGGUCUGUGCCAUUAUGUGAGUUUUUAUGAGAGAGUUUGUUAUCGGUUUUUGAUAAAUUGAUUCCCAGUUUUAACUUUCUUUGAUCUAUGCUCCUGAAUCUACUUAAUAUCCCUUUUAGAUGACGGAUAAUCAAUCAACAUGAAAGUGAGUGACAAGAUUAAGUGUGAAAACUGGAAGUGAGGGGAAACUGAAACUGAAAGUGAGUAGAAUAAGCAGAUCUGUUCUUCACUUGCAGUAGCUUCUUCUCCAUUCAGAUUCAGAGAUCUUAGAAUUGUAGCUUCAACUUAACUCUCAGAAUCUUAAAGACAAAGUUCGCUCAAGUUUCAAAAACUCACAGAAAAGUUUCUCCUCAUGUUUCUUUUAAUCCCAUGAGGCGACAGACAUGUAGCACACACUUACUGGCUUUUUGCCAUGCAAGUUUCAAGGUGGAGUGUCCAAUGAACUAAAACAUUCCCUCAAAUCCUAGUGGAAAUUCACACUAUAAAUUUCAGAAUUUGCUAAAGAAAAGUUUAAUUAAUUUUACCCAUGACUAAAAAGGCAUGUGAGGGCAUUUUAACAGCCUAUUAAUUAUUAUAUUAAACUACUAUUCUCAUUACUCAAACUCAUGAUCCUUCACAUCAUCACCACAUUUUGAAGAGACUUUCGUCAACUCUUCUAUGAAUGAAUUGAUGUUUAAGGAGGCAUAAUAAACUUUUAAUUGAAUUUAACAUUAUUUCUAUCCUUAUACUCAUCUUAAAUUAUUAUUUUUUUAUAUUCUUAUCAAAAUAAAUAAAAACUUAACAAAAAAAAUAAAGAUUUCAAAACAAACUUUAUUAGCAACACUUAUUUACAUCAUUCUUUAAAAAAAUAUUCAAAAACAAAUUUUUUUACAAUUAAAAAAAUGUGAUUUAAAAUUUAUAAAGAACAAAAUUUUUAGAAAAAUAUGGUAGUUGUUUGAAAUAAAAUAAAAGGGAAAUCAAAAUUCUUAGUAAAUGAAUAGUCAAAAAAACUGUAACAGAUAUGCAAAUGAGAAAAAAAAUAAUCAAUGUCAAGAAUGAGAAACAAUUUUUUCUUUUUUCUUUUCUUAUUUUAUGCAUUCAUUACCAUUUUUAAAUUAAUAAAUAAAGUUUUUCUCACAAAAUUUUAAAAUGGCAUGUAUGCUUCAAAAUUUAUAUAUUGUUAUUAGAUUUUUAUAAAUUUCAUUUAUAUCCUCAAAAUUAGAAUCAUUAAACUCACAUUUUAAAAUAAGAUAUCAAAUAGUUAUUUUUUCAUCCUUUAGCAAUAUCAAACGUUUUUUGUACUUUAAUAAAAAAAAAAAAAGCUAUUUUUUCUAAUUAAUGACUAUUUUGCAUAAUAUUUGUAUAAAUUAUUUAAUAUAUAAAUAUUACUUAUUUAAUAGUUUUUUUUUAAUUUCUUAUAGAAAGAGUAGUGCAUACAUAAUUCAAACAAAAGGUAAUUUUAUAUUGCAAAAAAGUUUGUGGAAAAAGGAAAUUUGAACAAGGAUUGAAAUUUAUAGAACCAUAUUGGACACCUAGUUCUAGGUUUGUCCCUUUCCAACAAUCAUGACUUGGUAGUAGCCUAAUCUCAAAUCUAACUUUGUCAGGCCCUUCCUUUACUAAGUCGAUCAAACAAGUUGUUAACAAACAGAAUAAGAUAUUUUUUCUUUUCACCUUGUUGAGUCUUCGAUAAUCUAUACACAUUCAGAGGGAUCCAUUAUGUUUCUUUUAGAAUAAUAUUGAUGUGGCAUAUGAAGCUUUAGUUGGUUGGAUGUAUCCCAUGUUAUGCAACUUCUUAAGUUGUUUCCUUUGUUCUUCUAAAUUAGGUAGUAUCAUCCUAUGGGACCUCCAUGGCAAGGGGCUUAGCUCCUGGCUCUAAGUCAAUCUUGUGCUCCCCUUCCCUUAUUUGUGUGAGUUUCUUAUGUAAUUUUAAUGACAUCUAAGGAUGGCAAAGUUUGAUACAAUUUUUCAACCAAACUUGAAGAAGCGUUAUUAGUGGGUUUGGAAAGUUCUAAUCUAUUUUACUUUUUAAAACAAAGUAAAAUAGAGAACAAUUUUUAAAGAACAAUUAGGAGUUGUUUUUACCAAUUUUUAAAAAACAAAAAAUAUAUAAACUCAUUUGACUAUAUUCUUUUAAACUUGUUUUUAAAUUAAAGAAUAAAAAAUAAUUUUUUAAAAUAAGUUUCAAAAAAUAUGACCAAGUCGGGGUUUAUAAUAUUAAAGAGGAAAAAAGUUAAUUUAAGAUUUUGCAUGCAGGUAAACAUCAGGCUGUAAAACUGGUUUACUAAGACACUCAUUUUAUUUAUAUAUUCUUCUAUGUGCAUGCAUUGACCAUGUGGUUAAGAUGUGUUGCACCGAAAUCUAAUGAUUAGCUGUAAAACGUUAAUUAAUCCGAGCAUACAUUUUUCUUUAUUUGUUUUGGUUUCUUUACAAGAAUGCUUCUUUAUGUAUUCUUGUUGAACCUAUAAAAUAUCAUCCAUAGACAUUCUUUUUGAAUAAUUAAGAACCGAGAUUUCUAAUUGGUUGGUUAUUAUUUUUAUCUGUAAGGAAUCGAAAUUUAGCUCAUCAUUUAUCGUAUGAAUAUCAUAUAGAUUUGAAAAGAAUUUCACACUUAGAAAUGUACCUCUCAGAACAUUUGAAGUUAAGAUGUUUUUGUCUUCUUCAAUUUGAUUGCUCAUUACGACUUUGAGAUUCAAAUUCCUUUUGAUGUAAAAAACAAACUUAAAUAAAUAAAAAGAAUUAAAAGAUAAGCAGAGCAAAAAAUUAAAUAGUGUGAGUUGGAAUGAAUAAAGUUUUAAUCAAAAUUGGAAAUUAAGGUGAAACAUCCUAAAUUAUAUACAAAAGCUCAUAUAAUAUUACACCAUAAUUUCUCUAAAUUAAUCUUAACCUUUUAGUGCAGUGUGUACAGUCAUUGCUUGUUUGUGGAUUAGAAUUAGUAUCUUCUGCUGCUGAUCUGGUAUCACAACUUCUCUGCUCAUCAUUGUACUCUAUCAUUGUCUGAUGGUCGCGCCUGGUGGCUUCUGUGUUGUCACAGCUUCUCCGAGCAUCACUACUGGUAUCUUCUGGGAUGUUUCUGUUUAUAACAUCAGGUGUAUAUAUAAGAUGGAACCCACACUCUUUCACUUCGACUGGUGUACCGUCCAAGCUAUGAAAUGAAGCCUUCAAACGUCUCCAUUCGUUCGACCAAUACUGGUUGCCAAUAACAACCUUGGGAUAAUAAGUCACACACAUUUGACUUGAUUCACCGCAAAUUCGGCAGCAAUAAGACCGGACAUCAUCCACGUGACAGCAUUCAGAUUGAUCACCACAGAUAUUGAGUUCGCAAUUCAACCAACCACAAGCCAUAGGAAUAAAAACAGAGUAUAAAGCAAAUCCUAAGAAGCCAUCUUUUCUGUACAAAUCCGUAGAAAGCUCUAUUGUUAUUUGAGAUCCUUUUUUUGGCUGGCUUAUCCACUCUGGAAUUCCAUCAUUUCCCGAAAUAACAACUCUGAUUGCCUUGUUCCAAUAGGAGCCGCAUUCAAAUUCCUGCACAGAAGUACAGUGUUAAUACUCUGUUCAUAAGGAAAAAGGGCUGAAUGUUAUGAAAAUCAUACCUCAAUCAUUGAUUUGAAGCAUUUGAACAGAGAAAAACCAAGUUGACUUGAUGGACUUGAUAAAGUUUCCAAGCAUGUGCAACUGUGGACAUCUAGAACUCGUAAACUUGGUGGAAACUCUGGAACUUGUAGAAGCCCCUGGCAGUGACUCAAUUCAAGGACUCUCAGUUUAGAAAGUUGAAUGAUGCCUGCAAGUAUGCUACUAAAACAGUCCUUGCUUAGAUUUAGACCUGAAGCGUACAAACCCUCUAAACAUUGCAAACUCCUCAGGUUCUCGGGAAAUCUCUCAAGUUUUGUACAGAAACUGACAUUUAGAAUUUUGAGAGUUUUCAAAUUACAAAAGGCCUCUGGAAGACUCACAAGGUAUUGCGAGAUUCAAAUAUUGAAGCCCUCUUAGAUAUUGAAUUGAUGCUGGUAGUUCUUCGAUAGCAGUUCCAUCUAAAUGAAGCUCUCUUAUAUUUUCCACAUCCUCGAGGAUUUCCGGAAAGCUCCUUAAUCGUGAACAGCCUGAGCAGAAGAGAGUUGUAAGGGAUUUCAACUCACAUAUGCUACUGGGAAGAAGCUCAAGGUUUUUGCAUUCUCGCAAACAUAACCUAUUAAGUUUAUGGGGACACUCAACAGUGGGUAGUUCAUUGAUGGCAUUUCACUUUAAACAAAGCUUCCAUAGGGAUUGCACAUCCUCUUGACAUUCCCGGCAAACGGUGGAUAUCAUUGCUUUACCAUGGUUCUGUUCAUGAUCAUGGGCAUAUAUAAGAUGGAUCCCACACUCUUCUACUUUCACUGCUUUACCUCUCAAGUAGCCACAAAAUGAAGCCGUCAACUGCCUCCAUUUAUUUGAGUGGUACUUCUCCUCAAUCUCAUGCUUAGGAUAAUAAAUCAUCCACAUACAAGGUACAACAUAGACGUGAAAUGAGGGAUAAAACUGGAGUUUAUCCACAAACUGAAUUUCAUGACCACGCAAAGUUAAACCAUACUCGAAGUAAGUUGCACCAUUCUCCAGUGUCUCCUCAGAUUCAUUAUCCAGUGGAUAAUAGACACAGUACAAAACAAAACCCAACAAGUCGUCAUUUUUAUACCAAUUUUGAGGAAGCUUUGCUACUACUUCAGCUCCCUUUUUGUGAUGGCUUAUCCAAUCUGGAAUUCCACAACUUUCUGAAAUAAUAAGAUUUACUCGGGCAAAAGGUUUUUCUAAAGGAUAAAUCUUGCAUUCCAAAUCCUGCAGAAAAUUUAAUUAACACUUAAAUCCCCAUGUCUCCACAAAAAAAGUUUUGGUCUAUGAAUAUCAUACCUGAAUCAAUGAUUUGAAGCAGUUGAAUAGAGAAGACCAGAGUAGACCUGAAGAAGUUUCCAGCCGUUUGCACAAAUGUAUAUCUAAGACACGCAAACUGGAUGGAAGUGCUGGAAUUUGUCGAAGCUCUUGACAGUUACCCAAGACAAGGAGUCUCAGCCUAGAAAGUUGAUUGAUCCCAGCAGGUAUGCUCCUAAAAAGAUUCCCGAAUAGAAAUAAUUCUUGCAGAGAUGAUAGCUGGCAAAUUUCAGUGGGGAUUCCUCCUUCAUCUAUACCACACACACGUAGAUCUACAACUUCCAAGGAGUACAAGCAGCAAAUAUCACUCAGGACUACUCCUUGCAUUAGCUUUGAGUAAAUAAGAUCUAACUCCUUUAAGGAGCAUAAACCUGACAAAGAAAGCAAUUGGCAACAUCUUGAAUUUAAGCCCCUAGCACGGAGACACUUCAAGCUUUGCAGCCUCCCCAGGUUUUGUGGCAAUUUGUGGAGUUUUGAACAGUAAUUCACAUUGAGAUCUUCAAGAAAGCGUAAAUUACAAAUGCUUUCUGGAAGAGUCACAAGGUUUUUGCACCUCUCAAGAUUCAAAACUUGAAGCCUAUUCAAAUGUUCGAUUGAAGAUGGUAGCUCUUUUAUGGCCGUUCCGUUCAAGUGAAGCUGCCUUAAGUUUUCCAUAUUCUCCAAGAUUUCUGGGAAGUACUGUAAUUGUGAACAGUCAGAGCAAAAGAGAGAUUUUAGGGAUUUGAACUCCCAAAUGCUUGUUGGUAGACUCUCAAGGUUUUUGCACUCUCGCAAACAUAAGGUAUCAAAUUCAGAGGCACACUCAAUGGGUGGUAGGCUGAUUGUCUGACCCUUUAAACAAAGCUUUCGGUGUUCCACAUUCCUCUGACAUUCAGCGCAGCUAGCAUCCACAUCAUCAGUCUGUACUAUUGGAUCUUGGGCGUAUAUAGGUUCAAGCCCACACUUGAGCACCUUAAAAUGAUUGCGACAGCCCAUAAAUAUAGCCCCAAGAAACAUGGAUGGAUUGGUGUGACAGCUCUCCAGAAUAGCAGCCUUGGGAUAGAAUAUCACCCACAUUUGUUCUGAUCCACCUCCAUCAUGGUAGCAUUUACAAGUAGUGCGAAAACUGAGACGUUGCGCACACAGGGUAGAAAAUCCAUAUCUAUCAUGUAAUGACAAUUUACAUUCUAACCCAGUGGAGAUUGAAGAUUCAGCUUCAAGUAAAUCGUCAUAUUCAUUUAGGGCUUCGUCACCAGAUUCAUUCUCCGAUGUAUGUGCAAAAUCAUUUUCUGGUAUGUCCUCACAUUCAUCGUGUGGAGCAUAAACACAGCAUAUAGCAAUUCCCAAGAAGUCAUUAUUUUCGUAACAAUUCUGAGGAAGGUCCAUUGUGAUAUGAUUUCCCUCUCUCUGAUUCCUUAUCCACUUGGGAAUUCCACAGCUUCCCGGAACAACAAUACAGACUCCAUUGCCAAUGAAGUCAGAAUCACGGAGAAAUACUUCAUUUGAACUGCUCUUGUAUUUCAAAUCCUGUACAAAAGGACAAUGUAAAUCCUGUGGGUCUGUGCCAUUAUGUGAGUUUUUAUGAGAGAGUUUGUUAUCAGUUUUUGAUAAAUUGAUUCCCAGUUUUAACUUUCUUUGAUCUAUGCUCCUGAAUCUACUUAAUAUCCCUUUUAGAUGACGGAUUAUCAAUCAACAUGAAAGUGAGUGACAAGAUUAAGUGUGAAAACUGGAAGUGAGGGGAAACUGAAACUGAAAGUGAGUAGAAUAACCAGAUCUCUUCUUCACUUGCAGUAGCUUCUUCUCCAUUCAGAUACAGAGAUCUUAGAAUUGUAGCUUCAACUUAACUCUCAGAAUCUUAAAGACAAAGUUCGCUCAAGUUUCAAAAACUCACACAAAAAUUUCUCCUCAUGUUUCUCUUAAUCCUAUGAGGCGAGAGACAUGUAGCACACACUUAUUGGCUUUUUUACAUGCAAGUUUCAAGGUGGAGCGUCUAAUGAACUAAAACAUUCCCUCAAAUCCCAGUGGAAAUUCACACUAGAAAUUGCAGAAUUUGCUAAGGAAAAGUUUAAUUCAUUUAAUCCAUGAAUAAAAAAGUAUGUGAGAGCAUUUUAACAUCCUAAUACUUAUUAUAUUAAACUAUAAUUCUCAUUAUUUAAACUCAUGAUCCUUCACUUCAUCACCAAAUUUUGAAGACACUUUUGGCAUCUCUUCCAUGAAUUAAUUGAUGUUUAAGAAGGUAUAAUAAACUUUUAAUUGAAUUUAACAUUAUUUCUAUCCUAAUACUCAUCUUAAACUCUGUUUUUUUUUUUUUUAUACUCUUAUCAAAACAAAUAAAAACUUAACAAAAAAAUAAAGAUUUCAAUUACUCCGUGUUCAAAAGGGAAAAUGGCUAAAUGUCAUGAAAAUCAUACCUCAAUAGUUGAUUUAAAGCAUUUGAACAGAGAAACACCAAGUAGACAUGAUGGACUUGAUAAAACUUCCAAGCAUGUGCAACUGUGGACAUCUAGAACUCGUAAACUUGGUGGAAGCUCUGGAACUUGUAGAAGCCCCUGGCAGUGACUCAAUUCAAGGACUCUCAGUUUAGAAAGUUGAAUGAUGCCUGCAAGUAUGCUACUAAAACAGUCCUUGCUUAGAUUUAGACCUGAAGCGUACAAACCCUCUAAACAUUGCAAACUCCUCAGGUUCUCGGGAAAUCUCUCAAGUUUUGUACAGAAACUGACAUUUAGAAUUUUGAGCGUUUUCAACUUACAAAUGGCCUCUGGAAGACUCACAAGGUUGCUGCAAUCUGCAAGAUUCAAAUGUUGAAGCCCUCUUAGAUAUUGAAUUGAUGCUGGUAGUUCUUCUAUAGCAGUUCCAUCUAAAUGAAGCUCUCUUAUAUUUUCCACAUCCUCGAGGAUUUCCGGAAAGCUCCUUAAUCGUGAAC
rnacentral:lncRNA from 1 species